AAGAACGCCAAGUAUGAAAUAGUGACUGCAAAAUUGGCAAAUAGUCAGUCUGAACAUCAAGAAUUAAAAAGGAAAACACGAGAUCUAGAAAAUAUGCUGCAAUCUCGUCAACAACAAUUAGAUAACCUCUUGAAGGCUCUAGAAGAAAAGAGUGAGCAGUACGAUAGGGACAUUCACGCGUAUGAAGGAACUCUCAAAGAAAAAGAAAUGCAACUUGACUUCUUGAUCAAUGAAAUUCGUAAAGCGGCUAUACAAGUUGUUCAAUUAUCAGAUGAAGCCGAAGUUCUCAGUUGCCAAUUCCCUCCGAGUCAAAGAUCGAGCAUAUCAGAGUUUUUAGAGCAAGUGAAGAAACAAGGCAAUGUGGCUAGGAAAUUUGUGUAACUGUUGGAAAAAUGAGAACUUUGUGUAAUAGACUAUGUUGAUAAAUGAAAUGCCUAAAUAUGGGGCUAUCUUAAAAUCAACACCAAUUUCUUGCAUUUCAUUCAUAACUUACAUUCAUUUGACAUUCAUGCAUUCAUUCAUGCAUCAAUUCAUUCAUUGCAUAUCCCAUACUCGUUCGCUGAGAUUAAAGCGUACAAUUCGCAAUUGCCAGACUUCAAGACUGGAACCACGUCAUCCGUAUAAAACGCGCCGACAAGCUAGAGUAAUGGAGAAUGAAUUCAAUGAGAGAAUUGAAAGGAUGGAAAUGGCUCAAAAGGAAUUACAAGAGCAACUGGCCAAAUCGCAACAAGAGACGAGAGACCUAAUGGUGAGAUCUCGAGAGGAAUCGCUCGAGCAAAGAGAUCAGAUGGCUAAAAUGAUGGAGAUGAUGACAACUUUGGUCAAAGGAAAGGGACCCAUGCAGAACUCCGAUGUUAUGGAACCUCGGUCAAGAAUUCACCAUGAUCAAGAUCCAUUCUAUCCCCCGGGAUUCACUCCACCGCCCGCAUAUACAAUACAAAGAGGGUAUACUCAAGAGGAACCCACUGGCUUGGAACAUCGACCUAUGCCACCUGCUCCACCCACUAAUUUGGGGCAAGGAAUGUUAGCAUCGAACCCAGGGGCUAGUCCUGCUAAUCCACUAGUUCUAGAUCUGGAUGACCCAACAGAGGUAGCCAAGUUGAAAUUGGAUAACCAUGACGCAAAAUAUAGGAGUCUAGAGGAAAGACUCAAAGCAAUAGAAGGCACUGAAGUCUUCUCCGUACUAGGUGCCAAGGAACUCAGUUUGGUACCUGAUCUAAUUUUGCCUCCGAAGUUCAAAGUGCCUGACUUUGAGAAGUAUGAUGGGACAAGGUGCCCAAAAGCACAUCUCAUUAUGUUCUGUCGAAAGAUGACCGGUUAUGUGAACGAGGAUAAACUACUCAUACAUUGCUUUCAAGAUAGUCUAACAGGGUCAGCUCUUCGGUGGUACAAUCAACUCAGUAGAGAAAAGAUUCGAUCUUGGAAGGACUUAGCGUCAGCAUUUUGCGAGCAGUACAAGCAUGUAUCGGAUAUGGUGCCAGACCGUAUGACGUUGCAAAUGAUGGAGAAAAAGCCAUCAGAGACCUUUAGACAGUAUGCGCAGAGAUGGAGAGACGUCUCAGCUCAAGUGGAACCCCCACUAACAAAAACGGAGAUAACCAUUCUCUUUAUCAAUACUUUAAAGGCACCGUUUUAUGACAAAUUAGUGGGAAGUGCCACGAAAGAUUUCACGGAUAUUGUAAUAUCCGGUGAACUCAUAGAGAAUGCCAUCAAGAGCGGUAGAAUGGAAGGAUCAGAAUGCUCAAGAAAAGUAGUACCCUUAAGGAAGAAAGAGCCAGAAGCCCUCAUGGUGGGAACUGGGAGUCGUUACAUUCCCAAUUCGUAUCCUAAUCAACCCCGACCUCGAGAUUAUCCACCCUCGAAUUUCCAUUAUCCCCCUCAAACCCCUUACUACCAAGCACCACAUCCGUCCUGCCCUGUAUAUGCCACGAACAACCAAAGACCCGUCACUACUUUUCCACAAAACACGGUACCCGCCCAAAGCCAACCCAGAAACGAACCAAGAUCAUCAAGGUCUAAUCCCGAGAGAUCGCAAUUUACCCCCAUCCCUGUGUCGUAUGGGGAAUUGUACCCAAAACUUUUAGAAAAACAGCUAAUUUCUCCCCAUUACAUGGCACCCCUUAAACCUCCAUACCCAAAGUGGUACGAUCCAAACGCUAGUUGUGCAUACCACGCAGGGAACCAAGGGCACUCUAUUGAGAACUGUCUCGCUUUCAAAAGGAGAGUUCAAGGACUCAUUGACGCGGGUAUCCUACGAUUCGAUAGUGCUAGUAACGCCACGAGGAACCCGUUCCCUAACCAUACCGAAGGGAAUGUGAGCACAGUGGGGAAAGAGGAUGAAUGGAAGGUCAGAAGAUGUGUGGCAGAAAUAAGGACGCCUCUGCAGAAAAUCUGGGAGGUAUUAGUUAAGAAAGGAUUGCUCUGUCACUCUGAUAGAGUUUUUGGAGAAGAAGGUCAAAGUUUUUGCAAUUUUCAUGGGAUUGUUGGGCACGACAUUCAGUCGUGCGAGGACUUUAAAAGGUUACUUCAAGACCGGAUAAAUAAUAAGGAGAUCAAGGUCCUUAAUAAGAGUGAAGAUGCCAACGAAAGAGAAGUAUGCGUCUCUGAUAGCCAAUCAUCAGGGCCCCCUUAUAGUGCUGAUCGACCGUUGGUAAUUUAUUACGACGCGAUGAGAGAGCCAUUGAAACCACAGAUGGUAAUUGAAGUACCAUCUCCUUUCCCGUAUAAGGACAACAAAACAGUACCGUGGAGAUAUGAUGUUAAUAUCGUUACACCGGAAGUUGAAAAGUCCAAAGCCAUAAUUGAAGAUGUUGGGGAGGUAGGUCAUUUUACUCGAAGUGGACGAUGCUAUUCUAAAGAAGUUGAACCGGUAAAGAAAAGUAGCGACUCGAAGCAAAAAGGGAAAGCAGUGAUGCACGAGGUCGAAGUCGAGCAAGAAAUUCCACCCGUGCAAGAAACUAAAAAGCCUGUGAAUGAGGAAGAAGCUCAAGAAUUCUUGAAAUUUAUUAAGCACAGCGAAUAUAGUGUGGUGGAACAACUGAGCAAGCAGCCAGCACGAAUCUCAGUUCUAUCUCUACUGUUAAAUUCAGAGCCACACCGGAACGCUUUAUUGAAGGUGUUAAAUCAAGCUUACGUGGCCAACAACAUAUCUGUCGAAAAGCUUGAUAGGUGGGUAAACAAUCUGAAUGCGGACAACUUCAUCUCUUUUAGUGAUGAUGAGAUACCGCUAAAUGGUAGAGGUUCGGUGAAAGCGCUGCAUAUCACGACCCGCUGCAAGGGCUACAUAAUACCGAACGUACUCAUCGAUAAUGGGUCAGCAUUAAAUGUUAUGCCAUUGGCUACACUUUCCAGAAUACCGAUAGAUUUGUCCUACUUAAAGCCCUGUCAUUCCACGGUAAGGGCCUUCGAUGGGACGAGGCGUGAAGUCAUGGGAAAGAUCGAAAUCCCUUUGGAAGUGGGCCCCUACAUAUAUGAGGUCGAAUUCCAAGUCAUGGACAUUACACCCUCUUAUAACUGCCUUUUGGGAAGACCUUGGAUUCAUUCUGCUGGAGCAGUCCCAUCAUCCCUCCAUCAAAAAGUGAAAUUCAUCAUGGAUGGUUGUUUGGUCACAGUCGAGGGCGAAGAAGACAUCAUCGCAUCUAUCUCUGCUGAUGCGCCAUACCUGGAAGUAAGCAAGGAUGCAGUGGAAUGUUCCUUUCGAUCCCUUGAAUUCAUCAAUGCCACUUUCGUCGCUGAGGGAAAUAGAAUUCCAAUGCCAAAACUGUCGAGAAAUACCAGAAUGGGUGUCAAGUUGACCGUAGGAAGGGGAGCUCGUGCGAGAAGAGGUUUAGGGAGAUAUAUGCAAGGAAUAGUGAGGGCUUUAAAGCCAGUGCACCACAAGGCCCGAUACGGUUUGGGGUUCCAGCCUGACAUGCGCCAAAGAAGAAGACAGUGGAAGAAGGAUCAAGAAAGAAGAAUUGCAAGAACUUUGGGCCGAGAACCAGAAUGGGAACCAAUAGAGUACCCUCCUUUGUCAAAAACAUUUACAUCUGCGGGAAUGAUGUACCCUGGACAAGAGGAUCCACGAAACAUGCUGGGAUUAAUUGAAAAGGAUUUUCAGAAUGUUAGUAUAAAUGUCAUUGACAAAGAAGCUGGUGCAAGUAAAGAUGUCUCGAGGAUACGCCCUUGCCCUCCUGGUUUCAUGUUGAACAAUUGGAUUGCUGAGGAGCUUCUUGUAGUUUAUAAGCCUUCAGAGUAAUGCUAAACAUCAACCUUCUAUUGUGUCCUUAGAUAUAAUAGAGUUCUUUUGUAAGAGUUUGCAUUCGCUCUUUAUCAUUUAAAUGAAUAUCAAUGAAGAUGCAUUUUGUCACGAUUUUUCGCAUUAUCACUAAUUUCAUAAUCAUUUUCUCAUUUCAUAGCCUAUCCUUACAUUUGCCUCAUUGCCAUGACAUAACAUUUUGUUUGUUGUUUCCAAUACUUGGAUGUCCCCCGAUAGCUUCCUUUUCCAUUCAACUUUCAGGUGCUCAGAUAUUGACGACAUGAAUAAGCCCGUUACGAAUCUUGAAAUUGAUUUUGAGAAGGCUGUUUGCUUAGGAGAAUUUGAAGCCGAAGAAAAUGCUGAAGAUUAUGUCUCGUCUCCUGAAUUGUUAAGAAUGGUGGAACAAGAGGAUAAACAGGUUAUGCCUCAUGAAGAAUCUGUAGAAACAAUAAAUUUGGGCACUGAAGAGAGGAAACAAGAAGUGAAGAUUGGGACUUCUAUUUCAGAAAGUACCAGGCGUAGUUUGAUCACUUUACUCCGCGAAUACAAAGAUGUUUUCCCGUGGUCAUACCAGGACAUGCCAGGGCUAGAUGAAGAUUUAGUGGUCCAUAAGCUCCCAUUAAAGCCAGAAUGCAAGCCCAUCCAACAAAAAUUAAGACGGAUGAGGCCCGAAAUGCUGUUGAAAAUAAAAGAGGAAGUCAAGAAACAAUUUGACGCUGGCUUCCUACAAGCCUCCAAAUAUCCAGAAUGGGUGGCUAACAUAGUCCCGGUACCAAAGAAAGAUGGAAAAGUACGAAUGUGCGUGGAUUACCGUGACCUAAAUCGAGCAAGCCCAAAAGAUAAUUUUCCCUUGCCACAUAUUGACACGUUGGUGGACAACACAGCAAAACAUUCAUUAUUUUCUUUCAUGGAUGGAUUCUCGGGGUAUAAUCAGAUCAAGAUGGCUUCUGAGGAUAUGGACAAAACUACCUUCAUAACAAUGUGGGGAACGUUCUGCUACAAGGUGAUGCCAUUCGGGUUAAAGAAUGCUGGGGCAACAUAUCAGAGGGCUAUGGUGACGUUAUUCCAUGACAUGAUGCAUAAAGAAAUAGAGGUCUACGUCGACGAUAUGAUUGCUAAAUCUCGAGGAGAAGAAGAGCAUGUAAUGAACCUCAAGAAGUUGUUCGAAAGGCUGAGAAAGUUUCAGCUAAAGCUUAAUCCAGCCAAAUGUACAUUCGGGGCUACCUCGGGAAAGUUGCUAGGCUUCAUUGUCAGUGAAAGAGGUAUUGAAGUUGAUCCAGAUAAAAUAAAAGCCAUCCAAGAAUUACCACCUCCGCGAACGCAAAAAGAAGUUAGAGGAUUUUUAGGGAGAUUAAAUUACAUCGCCCGAUUUAUCGCUCAACUUACCAACCAAUGCGACCCAAUCUUUCGGCUUCUUCGAAAACAUAACCCGGGAGAAUGGAACGAGGAAUGCCAAGUGACCUUUGAUAAGAUAAAACAAUAUUUGUCCAGUCCUCCAGUGCUAGUACCGCCAACUCCGGGAAGACCAUUAAUUUUGUAUCUGACAGUGUUCGAAAGUUCAAUGGGUUACAUACUGGGACAACAUGACGAGUCAGGAAAGAAAGAAAAGGCGAUCUACUACCUCAGCAAAAAGUUCACUGAAUAUGAGGCAAAAUAUUCGUCCGUUGAGAAAUAUUGUUGCGCUCUGGUUUGGGUAGCUCGGAGACUCAGACAAUAUAUGUUGUAUCACACGACAUGGCUAAUUUUAGAGCUGGACCCAAUAAAAUACAUGAUGGAAUCGCCGGCACUAUCAGGAAGAAUGGCAAGAUGGCAGCUCCUCCUUUCGGAAUAUGACAUUGCCUAUGUAAGUCAGAAGUCAAUAAAAGGGAGCGCAAUAGCUGACUUCUUAGCAACUCGAACGACAGAGGAAUAUGAGCCUUUAAGAUUCAAUUUCCCAGACGAAGACUUAAUGUGCAUCACAGAAAUAGAAUCUGAGUCAUCAAAAGAGAAGUCAUGGAAGAUGUGCUUUGAUGGUGCGUCAAAUGCUUUAGGGCAUGGAAUUGGAGCAAUCCUGGUAUCACCAGACGGGAAUCAUUAUCCGUUCUCUGCAAGACUGAACUUCUUCUGUACCAAUAAUAUCGCAGAAUAUGAGGCCUGUAUCAUGGGGCUUCGUGCAGCUAUCGAACGAAACAUCGAGAUCUUGGAGGUGUGCGGGGACUCAGCCCUAGUGAUUUACCAAAUCCGUGGAGAAUGGGAAGUGAGGGACUCAAAAUUGAUUAAGUACAGCGAUUUAGUGGCUGGAUUGACCAAGGAAUUCAAAGAAAUAACUUUUCAUUACUUCCCACGAGAAGAGAACCAACUGGCUGAUGCCCUAGCCACUUUGGCUUCAAUGUUCAAAGCAAGUAGAGAAGCAGAAAUAAUGCCCCUCAAAAUGAGCAUAUACGAGGUCCCUGCACACUCUUGUAGCAUUGAGAAAGAAGUAGACGGACGGCCUUGGUUCCAUGAUAUCUUAGAAUAUAUCAAGAAUCAAAGGUAUCCCGAACAAGCGAAUGAGAACGAUAAAAGAACAAUUAGAAGAAUGGCAGCGGGAUUUGUUCUUGAUGGGGAUAUCCUGUAUAAAAGAGGAAAGGAUCAGAUGCUUUUGAGAUGUGUGGAUGAUGUUGAAACCAGAAAAAUACUUGAAGAGGUCCAUGAGGGAAUUUGCGGAACGCAUGCCAAUGGUUUCAAUAUGGCCAGAAAGAUCAUGAGACUCGGUUAUUAUUGGCUGACAAUGGAAAGUGACUGCAUCAAUGUUGCCAGAAAAUGCCACAAAUGUCAAAUCUACGGCGAUAAAAUUCAUGUAGCCCCUUCACCCCUUCAUGUCAUGACUUCUUCGUGGCCUUUUUCUAUGUGGGGCAUGGAUGUCAUAGGGCCAAUUUCUCCAAAAGCUUCAAAUGGAUAUCGAUUCAUUUUUGUGGUUAUCGAUUACUUCACAAAAUGGAUUGAAGCCGCUUCGUUUGCCAAUGUGACGAAGACUGCAGUGUGCAAGUUUUUGAAAAAGGAAAUCAUUUGCCGAUAUGGUUUGCCUGAAAGAAUCAUCUCAGAUAAUGCCACGAAUCUGAACAAUAAGAUGAUGAAAGAAGUGUGCGAGCAGUUCCAAAUAAAGCAUCAUAAUUCCUCGCCCUAUCGCCCAAAGAUGAACGGGGCUGUUGAAGCAGCUAACAAGAACAUUAAGAGGAUCAUUGGGAAAAUGACUGAGACAUAUAAAGAUUGGCACGAGAAACUUCCAUUUGCUUUGUUUGCAUAUCGCACAUCUGUGAGAACAUCUACGGGAGCAACUCCUUUCUCUCUAGUCUAUGGAAUGGAAGCUGUGCUACCUAUCGAGGUUGAGAUCCCCUCUCUGCGAGUAUUGAUGGAAUCAAAGUUAGAAGAAGCAGAAUGGGUUCGAGCUCGAUAUGAUCAGUUGAACCUCAUUGAAGAAAAACGUCUAAGGGCAAUUUGUCAUGGGCAAAUGUACCAAAAGAGAAUGAUCGCAGCCCAUGACAAGAAGGUACGACCAAGAGAGUUCCAUGAAGGAGAACUCGUUCUGAGAAAGAUUCUCCCAAUACAAAAAGACCUGCAAGGAAAAUGGGCACCAAAUUGGGAAGGACCAUACGUUGUAAAAAAGGCAUUCUCAGGAGGAGCUUUAAUCCUUACCGAGAUGGAUGGGAAGGAGUUACCGAAUCCAGUGAAUUCGGAUGCGGUGAAGAAAUAUUAUGCUUAAGAUGAAAACCCGAAAAGGGCAUCUUAAAAAAAAAAGAGGGGCGAAAACCCGAAAAGGGCGUCUUGAUUAGUACCAAAAGAUUAGGAUGAAAACCCGAGAGGGCGUCCUAAUGAAACAAACCUGGCGGUCGAACGAUAGGUCAAGUAGUGAGACUACAGUAUUUGAAGCAUUUCUGAAAGCUCGAAAUUUUCUACGCAAGAAGCCAUGCUCGAAAAGAUUAUUGAUUGAGGAACGUGGAAGAGUUCAUGUGUUGAAUAUCUAGAGCAUUUACAUCCAUUGAAUACGACCUUUUCUUUCUUUUUGACAUUUUUACUCUCAUUGGUUAACUUUCUUUGUUUGCCACACUUGAAAUAAAGGAAUAUGAGAUAUCCUUUGUGUCCCUACCUGACCAUUUUCAUGCAUCUCAUUAUGUGUUUAUUUAAUGAUAAAUAGUGAAAUGACAUACUCUAAACAAAAGAAAUGUCAAGCAUUACCCGGAUAAGAAUUUGAUAAGUGCAAGAUCUUCAAAGCAAGAACAAAGUUUAACCAAGGGCAAAAAGGGUGAUAUCUGAGAAACGUCGAUUACUCGUAAAGCUCGAAGACAGGUAUGAGGCCUGAAGAGAAGGUCGAGAAUCAAAGCAAUGAACGCAGAUCCUCAACAAUCAUGGCGAAAAUGACAUACGACCAAUAUGCUUAAGGAGCACUGCAUAAUCAUGUAGGCAUAAAGGCAUUUAAGACAAACAUGUGCAUAUCAUGAUGACAUCAUGCAUUGCAUAUACAGGUAAUCCAGUAAAGCAAGAAAUCUUGAAUGAGAGUCGCACUGAAUCAAAGGAAAAGAUACCCGAGUUCUACCAAAGAACUGGUUUUGGUAUUUUGAUGUUUAAUAUUCAUGCUUUCCAAGGAAAAUCAACUCAUAUUGCGAGAAAUGAGUUGAGCCUCAAGACACGUUGAGGUAUUUUUAAAUUUUUUUAAAAAAAUCAACUCAUAUUGCGAGAAGUGAGUUGAGCCUCGGGGCACGCCGAGGUAUUUUUAGUUUAUGUUUUAAAUUGACUCAUAUUGCGAGAGGUGAGUUAAGCCUUUUAAUUUUUGUUUUUCAAAAAUCAACUCAUAUUGCGAGAAAUGAGUUGAGCCUCAGGGCACGCCGAGGUAUUUUUAGUUUAUGUUUUAAAUUGACUCAUAUUGCGAGAGGUGAGUUAAGCCUUUUAAUUUUUGUUUUUCAAAAAUCAACUCAUAUUGCAAGAGGUGAGUUGAGCCUCGGCUCACAUGCUGAGGUAUUUUCAAUUUAUGUUUUUUUUCAAUCUAUGCUUUUCAAAAAUCAACUUAUAUUGCGAGAGGUGAGUUGAGCCUCAAGGCACGUUGAGGUAAUUUUCAAUUUCUGCUUCUCAAAAUUCAACUCAUAUUGCGAGAAAUGAGUUGAGCCUCAAGACACAUUGAGGUAUUUUCAAUUUUUGCUUUUCAAAAUUCAACUCAUAUUGCGAGAAAUGAGUUGAGCCUCAAGACACGUUGAGGUAAUUUCAAUUUUUGUUUUCAAAAUUCAACUCAUAUUGCGAGAAAUGAGUUGAGCCUCAGGACAUGCUGAGGUAAUUUCAAUUUCUGUUUUCAAAAUUUAACUCAUAUUGCGAGAAAUGAGUUGAGCCUCAAGACACAUUGAGGUAUUUUCAAUUUUUGCUUUUCAAAAUUCAACUCAUAUUGCGAGAAAUGAGUUGAGCCUCAAGACACGUUGAGGUAAUUUCAAUUUCUGUUUUCAAAAUUCAACUCAUAUUGCGAGAAAUGAGUUGAGCCUCAAGACACAUUGAGGUAUUUUCAAUUUUUGCUUUUCAAAAUUCAACUCAUAUUGCGAGAAAUGAGUUGAGCCUCAAGACACGUUGAGGUAAUUUCAAUUUCUGUUUUCAAAAUUUAACUCAUAUUGCGAGAAAUGAGUUGAGCCUCAAGACACGUUGAAGUAUUUUCAAUUUCUGCUUUUCAAAAUUCAACUCAUAUUGCGAGAAAUGAGUUGAGCCUCAAGACACGUUGAGGUAUUUUCAAUUUCUGUUUUUCAAAAAUCAACUCAUAUUGCGAGAGGUGAGUUGAGACUUUUAAUUUCUAUUUUUCAAAAACCAACUCAUAUUGCGAGAGGUGAGUUGAGCCUUUUUCUGUUUUUCAAAAAUCAACUCAUAUUGCGAGAGGUGAGUUGAGCCUUUUAAUUUCUGAUUUUCAAAAAUCAACUCAUAUUGCGAGAGGUGAGUUGAGCCUUUUAAUUUCUGUUUUUCAAAAAUCAACUCAUAUUGCGAGAGGUGAGUUGAGCCUUUUAAUUUCUGUUUUUCAAAAAUCAACUCAUAUUGCGAGAGGUGAGUUGAGCCUUUUUAAUUUCUAUUUUUCAAAAGUCAACUCAUAUUGCGAGAGGUAAGUCGAGCCUUUAGCAAAUUCUGUUUUCAAAAAUUAACUCAUAUUGCGAGAAGUGAGUUAAGCCUUGGCUCACGUGCUGAGCUAUUUUUAAUUUCUAUUUUUAAUGUCUAGUUUUAAAGAGUCAAUUCAUAUUGCGAGAAAUGAGUUGAGCUCAAGAUCACAUGCCGAGUAAAGAAUAAAGAUUGGACAAUUGAACAAAAUUUAGUGCUUUUAAGUCUUUGCACUAUCCUUGUUUCACAACGAUAAGCAAAGAGGGGCAGUUGUAAGCACUAAAUUUUUGUCCGACUAGAGUUUGUGUUUAAUUUUCAAAAUUUCAAAAAAAAAAAUUUAAAAAUAAAAAUUGCAUUUUGACCCCUAAACUUUUCCUAAAUUUCAUUUAGACCCUUAAACUUUCAUUAAAUUUCAUUUUAAUCCUAAAUUUUCUAAAAAUUACAUUUAGCCCCAGAAGUUUUGCUGCAUUUGUGAUUUGGUCCUUCAGACAAGUUACGUGAUUUGGGGCACCCACUUCCCAGAUUUUCAGGCCAUAAACAUGGGUGGCUGCUCCUUCUUCACCCACUACCUGCAAACAAUGAGAAAGAGGACAAAAUUUGGAGCUUUUAAAAAGAAAAAUUGAAGAGAAGGGAGGGGGGAUUUUUUUUUGGCAGCCAAGCAUAAAAAAAACCAGCAGACCCCCAUCAAAAAGAAGAGAAAACUUUCGGUUUGCCUAUUAGCCUACCACCGCCACCGUGACCACCCAUCACCGAUCCGUCGUUUUCCUCUUUGCCACCAUCACCUAAAACACCCCCACAAUCAAAAACACCCACACAAUCAAAUAAAAUAAAAACAACAGGCAGAGAGAAGAAAAAGAGAAAGAAGAAAAGAGGAAGAAAAAGAAGAAAGAAGAGGAAGAAGAGAGGAGUGCCGGCACCGUCGUAUCAGGGCGGAAGAGGCGGCAGUGAAGAAGAAAGGAAAAAGAAAAAGGAAAGAAAGAGAUUUUUGAAAAAAACAAAGCAAAAAAAAAACAAAACAAAGCAGAAAAAAAUAAAAAUAGAAGCAGGCCACAGCCAGGCCUGUCCAGUAGCCAGCAGGCCCACUCCCAGGCAGCCCACACCAACAGUAGCUGACCCAGCAGGUCCCAGGCCUGUGCAGCAAGCAGCAGACCAAGCAGGCCCCCAGGCCCGAAUUCGGCAGCAGGCCCCCAGGCCCGAAUCCUGCAAAAAUAAAAGUAAAAGAAAGAGUCCACCUUUCAAGCCCAUAAUAUCAGGCCUUUGGUAAUUUUUUUUUAUCUCUUUUAAUUUAGUAUAUGUAUUUAAAUGGUGUUUCAUUUAAUUUAAAGUAGCAUUUUUAAAAUAGUUUUUUUUAUAAAUAUUAUUAUGUCAUUCUACUUCCAUGUUUAAAAUUAAAAUAAUAAUAUUUUAAUGCAUAAGGCAACGAACCGAUUUAGCACCAAGCCGUUGAUUUCAUCGCUAUGUUGGGUGGAUAUCGAUAGCUCGUGUUAAAUUCGGGACCCCUUUUAAAAAUAAAAAAUAUUCAAAAAUCCUCGUGUUUCAAAAAAAAAAAAUUCUCGUAUUUUAUUAGAAUCCCGAUUAAAUAUUAAAUUGAAUUGAGUUAACACUAAUUCGAUGGUUUCAUCGCCAUAUCGGGAUGAAUAUCAUCGAUUCGUGUUAAAUACGGUAUUUUUUAAAGAAAAAUCGUGUUUCAAAAAUUUUCAUGUCUUCAAAAUUUCACGUGUUUCAAAAUAAUAAUAAUAAAAUUUCCCGUGUUUCCAAAUAUAUUCGUGUUUCUUUCUUUUAAAAAAAUCCGUGUUUCAAAAAUUCUCGUGAAUAAAAAAAUCGUGUUUUCAAAAAUUCCCGUGUUUUAAAAAAAUCGUGUUUUUAAAAAAAUUCUCGUGUUUCAAAUAUUUUCGUGUUUUCAAAAUUUUUCGUGUCAAAAAAAUUCUCCUGUAUCGAAAAUUUCUUUAUUUUCAAAAUUUUUCGUGUUUUCAAAAAAUAUUGUGUUUCGAAAAUCUUCGUGUUUUUAAAAAUUUUGGUGUUUCAAAAAUUUCCGCGUUUCUAAAAAUUCAGAUGAUUUAAAAAAUCUUCGUGCUUUCAAAAACUUCGGUGUUUCUAAAUUUUCAUGUUUCAAAAAAAAAUCCUCGUGUUUCGUAUUUUAUCAAAAAAUUUAUGUUUUCAAAAACAAAUUUUCUGUUUUAAAAAUUUUCGUGUUUCAAAAAGAAGAUUCGUGUUUUCAAAAAUAAAAAUAAAAAAUCUCGUGUUUUAAAUUCUUCGUGUUUUUAAAAAAAAAUUUUGUGUUUCUAAAAUUCUUGUAUUUUAAAAUUUUCGUGUUUUCAAAAAAAGAAAAAGCUGUUGCGCUUUAAAAUUCUCGUGUUCAAUCGGAUCACAACUAAUAUUAAAUUGAACUCGUAUUUUUGAAAAUGAAGACAACGCGCGUUUAACGAGAUACCAAUUUUGGGCGUCGCGAGGGUGCUAAUACCUUCCUCGCGCGUAACCGACUCCCGAACUCUAAUUUUCUCUGGAUCUUCACGUAGACCUAAAAUUACCUCUUUUUUAGAAAAGUUUAAAAAUAAAUUUUUCUUCUAAAAAGAGAAUUUAUUAGGUGUCCGAUCACACCUAUGAAAAAGGAUCGGUGGCGACUCCCUUUGUUAAUAAAAUCGAAAGUUGGUUUUCAAAUGUUUAAUAAAUCUCCACAAUUAGCGACCAAGCGAAACUAAUUAAAAAAAUUUUUAGGUCGCUACACAAAGGAGUGGAUGAAGAGACAAUAGAAUGUUCUUUUUGAUCACUGGAAUUUGUUAAUGCAACUUUCAUUGUUGAAGGAAAUAAGAUCCCAGUGACAAAAAUAUCCAAAACCACGAGAAUGAUCAUGGAGUUGGCGGUUGGGAAAGGAGCCUUGCCUGGAAGAGGACUCCAAAAAUACCUUCAAAGAAGAGUCAAGGAACCAAUGCUGAUGGACAAACAAGAUCGCUUUGGCUUAGGGUACAAGCCAGAUGCAAGACAAAAGAAAAAAAGAGUUGGAAAAGAAAUAAGAAAGAAGAAUAGCACGACUAAGUGGGGAAGAGGUCAAAUGGGAACCCAUGAUCUUUCCCCAUAUAUCUAAAACAUUCGUGUCAGGAGAAAUCAUUUAUCCUGAACGAAAGAUGUCAAGAAAAGAAACUGCGGAAGAAAUGUUGGGAAAUUUGAGCAUUAAUGCCAUAUCUAAAGAAGGAAUUGGGGAAGAAAACUUAUCAGGCAUUUGCCCUUAUUUCCCCAGAAGUGUUCUGAACAAUUGGACUACGGAAGAGAUCCCUGUAAAUUUUAGAACUAAUUCAGAGUAAUGUUUAAAACACACUUAUUGCUCUAAGCCUGGGAGCAAUAAGAAUCCUUUUGUGAAAAGGGCAUUUGUCUAAUAUCUUUAUUUUAAUAAAAUGCAUCUUUGUGUCUUAUCUUGGCAAAUAUUCUUUUAUUUUUUCCAUUUCAUUCAUACUCAUACGACACAAAUAUUUUUCUUAGAUUCAUUUAUUCUUUAGGUCUUCUUUUAUUCCUAUAACAGGUAUCUAGAUAUUAAUGAUACGAGCGAUGCUGCUGCUGACUUAGAGUCUCCUUUUGAGCAGGAUAUGUGUCCAGAGGAACCUCGGGACUUUGAAGAUGAUCGAGAUUGUAACCUAUCUCCUGAUUUGUUAAGGAUGGUAGAACAAUAUGAGAAACAAAUCUUACUUUACAAAGAGUCAGUAGAAAUUGCGAAUUUGAGAGACAAACAAGAAAAGAAAGAGGUGAAGAUCGGAGCUUACAUCAUUGUAGAGACGAAGCGAUACCUAAUUGAGUUACUCCAAUAAUUUAAAGAUGUCUUCGCAUGGUUCUACCAAGACAUGCCUAGUCUAAGUAUUGCUAUCAUGGUACAUCGGCUUCCCAUAAAAGGAGAAUGCAAACCGGUUCAACAAAAACUCUGAAAGAUAAGGCCCAACGUCCUGUUGAAAAUAAAAUAAGAGGUCAAGAAACAAUUCGACGUUGGUUUCCUACAAGUGGUUAAAUACUCGGAGUGGGUAGCCAAUAUAGUCCCCGUCCCUAAGAAAGAUGAAAAAGUAUGAAUGUGUGCAGACUAUAGGGAUUUAAACAAAGCUAACCCGAAGGACAAUUUCUGUUACCUCACAUUGACACAUUAGCAGACAAUAUAGUAGGUUAUUCACUGUUCUCCUUCAAGGAUGGCUUCUCUGGAUACAACUAGAUAAAGAUGCAUCCUGAAGACAUGAAAAAUACCACAUUCGUAACCAUGUGGGGAACAUUUUCUUAUAAAGUAAUGUCAUUCAAAUUGAAAAAUACGGGAGCGACAUAUUAAAGAACCAUGAUAACUUUGUUUCAUGAUAUGAUGCACAAAGAAAUCAAGGUUUAUGUCGAUUAUAUGAUUGCAAAAUCCCUAACAGAAAAAGAGCAUGUACAAGUCUUGAGGAAACUAUUUUUGAGGUUGAGAAAAUUCCAGCUAAAGCUCAAUCCAGCAAAAUGUACCUUCGGGGCUAGGUUGGGAAAAUUUCUAGGAUUUGUAGUUAGCGAAGAGGGGAUCAAGAUUGACUCGAAUAAAGUCAGGGCUAUACAGGAGCUACCUCUACUACGCACUCAAAAAGAGGUCCGGGGUUUCUUAGGGAGAUUAAAUUACAUUGCCCAGUUCAUUUCACAACUGACCGAGAAAUGCGACCCCAUAUUUCAUCUCCUUAAGAAUUAUAAUUCAAGUGUAUAGGAUGAAGAAUGCCAAAAGACUUUUGACAAUGUCAAACAUUACUUGUCCAAUGCCUUAGUGCUAAUGCAACCUAGUCUAGAUAAGCCACUGAUACUGUACUUAGUAGUAUUUGGGAAUUCUAUGGGAUGCGUGCUCGACCAACAUGAUCAGUCAGGAAGGAAAGAAAGAGAGAUAUACUACCUCAGUAUGAAAUUCACUGAAUCUGAGACAAGAUAUUUUCCAAUUGAGAAGUUGUGUUGCGCCUUGAUCUGGACAACCUAGAGACUAAGACAAUACAUGUUGUACCAUACAACUUGGCUAAUCUCAAAAAUGGACCCUCUAAAGUACAUGAUGGAGUCGACUACUUUGAAUGGAAGAAUGACCAUAUGGAAAAUUCUACUUUCUAAAUUUUGUAUAAUCUAUGGAAGAAUGGAAGAAUGACAUUACCUUCUGCUACCUCUGGCGAGAUGAAAAUCAAAAUGCUGAUGCCCUAGCUACUUUAGCUUCUAUAGUCAAAGUGAACAGACAAGAGGAUGUAAAACCUAUCUAGAUGAGUAUUUAUGAGGCUUCGACCCAUUGUUAUAACAUUAAGGAAGAAGAAAAGAAUGGUCACCCUUGGUACCACGAUAUGUAAAGAAUCCUGAAUACCUUGAUUAGGCAAUCGAGAAUGAUAAAAGGAUGCUAAGGAGACUGAUCAAUGACUAUGUCCUAGAUGGGGAGAUCCUAUAUAAAAGAAGAAAUGAUCAAGUGCUACUGAGAUGUGUGGAUGCCGUUGAGGCCGAUAAAAUGUUGGAAGAAGUCUAUGAGGGCGUUUGCGGAACGCAUGCUAAUGGUUUCACAAUUGCCAGACAAAUCAUGAGAUUCAGAUAUUAUUGGUCCACCAUGGUAGGGGAUUGCAUCAGUUAUACCAAGAGAUGCCAUAAGUGCCAAAUUUAUGGAGAUAAAACUCAUGUGCCUCCUUCACGAAGUUGGCAGUCAGUAAUUUCUUGAAGAAAGAGAUCAUAUGUCGGUACAGAAUUCCAAAAAAGAUCAUAUCUAACAAUGCAUUAACAACAAUACAAUAUCGAAAGUCUACAGUCAGUUCAAAAUCAAACACCACAACUCGUCAUCAUAUAGACCAAAAAUGAACGGUGCAGUUGAGACAACCAAUAAAAACAUUAAGAAGAUCAUGGGGAAAAUGACAGACACUUAUAAAGAUUGGCAUGAGAAGUUACCAUUUGCCCUUUAUGCUUAUUGAAUGUCUGUCAGAACCUCCACUAGGGCAAUACCUUUCUCAUUGGUUUAUGGAAUAGAGGCAAUUUUGCCCAUUGAAGUCAAAUUUCUUUCUCUUUGAGUUUUAUCAGGGUUGAAGUUAGAUGAAGCAGAAUGGAUCCAAUCUCGAUAUGAUCAAUUGAACUUGAUUGAAGAGAAGAGGCUGAAAGCUAUCCGUCAUGGUCAGAUGUACCAAAAAUGAAUAAUGCGAGCUUAUGACAAAAAGGUUUGCCCCAAAGAAUUCCAUGAGGGUGACCUGGUAUUGAAAAAGAUCCUGCCUAUACAAAAAGACUUUAGAGGAAAAUGGAUGCCGAAUUGGGAAUGACCUUAUGUGGUAAAGAAAGCCUUUUCUGGAGGAGUGUUGAUUUUGACCGAGAUGGAUGGUAAAAACCUGCUUAAUCCUAAAAAUUCAGAUUCAGUCAAGAAAUAUUUCACCUAAAAAAAGGGGGGAGAGGCCAAGGAGAAAACUUGCAGAAGGGUGCCUUGAGACCAAAGGAGUUUUGAGCUAAAAACCUAGGAAAGGGCUGCUCAAAUUUAGAUCGAAGAUUGAACAUGUGGUAGUCGUGUCUACUUAGAAGGAGAAACGUUACAUCUUGGGGCAUCAACAAAGUACUCUAGAUCUCCUGAACACAUAUCAAGCUCAAAAUGGUCCUCAAGAAGUUUGUGCAGAGAAGCUCAUGCUACGAUAUUUUGGCACCUAAUUUCAUCUUACUCACUUUUUAUUUUAGCAAUGUUUGAUAUUUUGAUCAAUCUAUUCAUUUCGAGCUUUGCUCCCAACAAAUUUCAAUCUUUUCCAUUAUUACAACCUUUUUCGAGCAUUUUUACAUUGAAAUAAUGAUUAAUGGACUCACAAUAUUCAAGUAAAAUGAUUUUUGCAUAUUGCUUUGAAAAGUUUCUAAAUAGUACAGGGACCUGAAGCAGGACCAUUAGUUAGAACUAAACAAACUAAGGGCUGGAAAUAUUUGGGAACGAAUAGUUUAAAUUGUGAUUAUUUCUUCGGGUUUCUUGUCAAAGAUACUAGAUCUGAACAAGAAGGCAUGACAAUACAUCAGUGAUGGAAGCUUGACGAACAAUGAGCAAUGUCAACGUAAGUAUUAAAAAGGGAAUCAUUCUCAAAAAAUGACAUUCUGCAUGCAUGCAAAUAUCAUUCAUAUACAUCUAGUUAGGAGAAUUUGAUUCAUUCUAAUCAUAACAUCCUAAUCGCUUGGCAUAAAUAUAGGCCUAUGGAAUGGAUUCUACAGAUCAUGUUCCCUAGAGAACAGUGUAACAGAUCAGUGAAACCACAAAUCCUACACCCCUGAAGUUGUAGUGGGACGGAUUGAAGUCACCGCACCAAAUAUUAUCUCCCUGAAGUUGCAGUAGAGUAGAUUGAAGCUACAAAUGUUAUCUCUCUAAAGUUGCAGUGGAGUAGACUAAAGCCACAAAUUUUAUCUCCCUGAAGUUGCAGUGGAGCAGAUUGAAGCCACAAAUCUUAUCUCCCUGAAGUUGCAAUGGAGCAGAUUAAAACCACAAAUCUUAUCUCCCUGAAGCUGCAGUGGAGCAGAUAAAAGCUACAAAUCUUAUCUCCCUGAAGUUACAGUGGAGUAGAUUAAAGAUAUCGACUCUUAUCUCCCUGGAGCUGCAUGGAACAGAUUGAAACUACAAAUCUUAUCUCCCUAAAGUUGUAGUGGAGCAGAUUGAAGCGACAAAUCAUAUACCUUUGAAGUUGCAGUGGGUCAAAUAAAAUCUACUAUAGCGAGUCUCAUCUCUAUGAAGUUGCAGUAGAGCAGAUUGAAGCUACGAAUCUCAUCUUCCUGAAGUUGCAGUGGGUUAGAAUGAGACUACUUGAAAAAGAAGAGCACCAAAGAAGACAAAAUUCAAGAACACUAGACAAAAUGAGCCUUUCUUAAAGUUUUUGCUCCAUUCCCGUUACACGAUAACGAGCAAAGAGGGGCAGCUAUAAAGGUCCAAUUUUGUCUGACCCGAAACCAAAAAUAAAUAAACAAAAUAUAAAAACCAAAAAAUAAAAAAGUACAUUUACAAAAUAAUGGCCCAAAUACAAAACCUUAAUCCAAACCCAGUGUUACACAAGCCCAAGCCCAACUAACCUAAAGUUUUUCAAAAACCUUGAAACCCUAGGUCCCCCUCUCGUGCUGCUCCUUGCCACGUCAGCAAGUGCCCCUCUUGAAGACACCCACGCCCCGAGGUUUGCUCUUCUGCCACCCUUGCACCAAAAUAACAAAGGCAUGGAUCACUCUCCACCGUUGACUGCGCACCAUCGCCUGCAAUGAGAAAGAAAUAAGGACAGAAACAGGAAGCAAAAAUAGUAGAAAAGACAGAAGCAAAAAAAAGAAAACACAAAAAUAAAAAGCUGAAUAAAUAGAUUGUAAAAUAGACAAAAAAUACGAAGAACAAAAAACAUUUAAAACGAAGGUGAUCCUCUUGUUUUAUUUUUUUAUAUUUCGAAAAAGCAUAAUAAAUAAAAAAAUAAAACCUGUUUACCUGAGUCACUUUACCUUCCUCUGUCCUUAGGGGUCUUCUUCGAUGUGGAAAGCUCUAGAACCCUUUAGGGUUUGACCUAGGCUACGACGAAAUGGGGUGCAAAAGGCGUGUUAGCUAGGCGAAAGGGUCGAAAUUUUUUGGGCUUUUUCUUUGCGAAUGGAAGGCUUUUCCUUCAGAUCUGGCUGAAAGGGCGCUGAAAAGGCCCGUUUUUGUGUAACUCCGACCAUCAGAAGCGACGAUCGUUGUUACCGAUAACCGGUGUCUACGGAGGGCUUCCAAUGACCCUAUGGCUGUAUCUUAGGCCUUGAUUUCAGAGAAAAAAAGGGAGAAAUGAGAGGAUUUUUUUUAAAACACAGAGGAAGUGAUUUUUUUCUGAAAUUUUUGGCUUUUAUAGGCCUCCAAAACAGUGUCGUUUGAGGGUUGGCCUCAAACGCUCAAAACGGCGUCGUUUUGGCUCGACCCGAAUCACACCCCAAGAUCCGCGUGUUUCGUAGAACGGGGAUAUUUUUAGUUUUAGUCCUUUCCCUUUUUAAAUGCUUUUCAAUUUUGUCCUACUAUUUAUUUUUAUUUUUAUUUUUUCCCUUUUGUUUUGUUUUUUGUGCAAUUUAGUCCCUCGACCACUGUGGACCCAUUUAGGGAAUGACACGUGUCCCAGGGCUUGGAACAAUUACCCAUUUGGACCCUGCUACUUUUCGCGCUUACAUUUUGGUCCUUUAUUCAUUUAUUUUAUUACAAUUUAGUCUUUUAAUUUCGUUUUAAUUCUGAUUCAGUCCUUGGUUUAUUUAAUUUCAACCUUUUAUGAAUUAUUUUAUUUAUUUAUUUAUUUAUUACUUCUUUACCUUUCUUUAAUACUCAAAAUUCGUGUUAUUUAUAUUUCCAUUUUAUUGUGCAUUAUUCGUCUUUAUUAUUAUUAUUUUAUUAUUCAUGUUAAUAUUAUGAUAGUAACUAUAAUAUAAGUAUCACUAUUAUUGCUAUAAAUUGUUGUUUUUUUACUAUCAUUAUAGUUGUAUUAUCAUCACUCACUAGUAUAGCAUUUUUAUUUUUAUUUUAUUGAUUUAUUUAUUUGUUCAUUGAUUUACUUGCUUAUCAUUUUAAUAUCAUCUUUACCUUUUUUACUCGUUACUAUAUUACUUUAUUUUGCUAACAUUCGUGCUGAGUAUCGCUUUAAAAUAUAUUCGUUCAUUUUAUUACUAGGACUAGAUAAAUAAAAAAGCAUAUCGUUAAAAGGUUGCACUCAUUUUACCAUAUGAAUGGAAAUAUUUUAAGAAAAACAAGGCAAGGUUCAUUUUUUUGGAAUUAAAGGAGUCGUGCUCCUAACUUACGGAGUAUGACCUCUUUCUAAAACCGAAAUAGUUGAAUAUAUAUUUUAAAAAUAUAAAAAAAUGAGAUUUAAGUAAUAUCUAAUUGGCGAUUAUUCUCGUUUUCGAGGGUUUAAGGCAUCGUGUCCUAACUUACGGGCACGAUCUUUUCUUCUCGAUUAACUUGAAAUAAGCCCUUUUCGUGAAAACCAAUUUAGUUAAGUGAUAUUUUUAUAUCAUGCAAAGAGGGAUCAUAUUGUAAGUUUGCUUCAAAUUUUCAGUUUUCGACAUCAAAACAUUAAGUAACCGGCUAGGUACCAAAUUUGGGUGUUAUGAGAGUGCUAAUCCUUCCUCAUACGUAACCGACUCCCGAACCCACAUUCUUGGAUUUCGUAGGCUAAAAAUUAUCGUUUUAGAAAAAUCUAAUCUUUUACCAAGAUAGUUAGAAUUUGAGGUGACUCAAUUACACCUAAUAAAAAGGAUCGGUGGCGACCCCAUUUUCAUUUUAAAAUAAAAAGUCGAUUCAAAAAAAAGUUUUGACAACGAUAAUCUAUUUAAGCAAAUAUAAUAAAUAUUACUAUAUUAGAUAUUAAGUUCGAGAUUCCAUUUAAGGUAUUAAUAAUGAGUAAAUUAUAAAAAUAGUCAUUUUUAUUUAUCUCAGAUUACAUUUUAGUCACUUACGUCAAUAAAAUUUUUUUGUCAUGAUUUUAACUGCUUUUCAACACUUAAUUAAAAACUUGAACCAUGUAAUUGCUUCUCUGAAACUUUUUGUGCACACUUUUCGUGACGGUUCGCAAGUUUUUGCGAUGCGUUGGAAAACCUCACAAAAAUUUGUUUAUUGAAAUCAAUAUUAAAUUAUAUUUUCCUACUUAAUUCUUAAAAUAUAUGUUUAAAAUUAUGAACCCAUGAAGUUAGAAAUCUCAAAUUGGUAUCCUAAGCAACCCAAGUCCUAAAUUAUGAACCUUAUAAUAAACGCUCUAAAAUUAUACUAUGGUUUAUAUUUUGUAUGGUAUGAAAUUAAAUGAUCAUAUAUUUUCAUAUGAUCAAAUGAAAAUAAUGCAUUGGUUUAUUAAUUAAACUAUUGAAUUCAAACAAUUAAUUGUUUGUUACUAAUUAAAAUGAAUUUUUUUUAUAAUAAACACUAGAAUUUUAUUUGACUAAAGUUACUUUCCACUUACACGGGCAAUCUAGAUUUCAGCAUAAUUUUGGAUAAAAAAAUCAGCCCUAAUUCUUUGUUCCAGCAACUUUUUGGGAAGUAAUUGUGUUUUACUAUGAGAUAAACAAUAUGUAAGAAAUUAUAAUACCGUAUGUAGUGUUAAUAUAUUAGUAACAAUAAUGAUGUAAUACAAUGUAAUAGUAGUAACAUAACAGAAUACCUGUAAUUAGAAAGAGCUAAACAUUAGAAGGAGAAUUUUGUUGAGGCCUGUAUGAACAGUUUCCUUAAGACAAAUUUGACCUCUCUUCAGUGCUUUGAGUAACGUUGGAUGUUUGUCUUUCAGGAUACAACAACAAAUGAUCACAGUAGUAGCACAAUAACAGUGAUCAAUCAACACAAUCUUGUCUUUCUCUAUGACCAGGAGGAAUGAAUUUAGAAGAAAUUUUUUAUAUUGAUGGUUUUUGAUGAUGUGUUUUGGAAGUCUCCUAACUUGGUUUUAUAUAUAGGAGAGGAAAUGAAUGAAGAUAUUUAGACUGAUUUAUGAAGAGUUUUGUUAAAAUGUUAAUAGAUAUAAGUGAACAGACACAAUGAAUGAAAAGAUGCAAUAUUAAACCAAAAGCAAUGAAUCUGUUCACCAAGAGAUAUAAUUGUUCAAAAGAUACAACUGUUCAUCAAGAGUCAGAACUAUUGUUUAAUUUCAGCAUCAAUUUAUCAUUCUAUCACUCAACAAUUUUGAACACGUUAUAUAAAAUAUAAAUCCAUAAUUUAUUAUUCAAACCUUCAAUUUUAUCAAUAAUAUAGCAUACCUCAAAGUUCCAAAAUAUCAAUUAUUUUUCAACACAAUCUUAUCGUUUGGAUUUUUGUAAAUUAUACUUAAGUUCUUUCAAAAAUUUAUGAUUCAUCUUUUACUCUCUCAAAAUUAUUUUCUUAUAGGAAAAUAAGAGAGCUAUCUUUUUAAUAAAUUUAUACUCCACCCUCUUAAAUUAAUAAUGGUGAUCACCUACAUGUUAUGAGCACACUGUUAGCCCAAAACAUUUCGAUGUUAGGGUAUCUAUUUAGUUUAUUUAGUUUAAUGAGCUUUCUAAUCGCUUUUGGGUUUUCGGUCUUUUGACUUUGGAAGAUUCAUGUUCAUGCAACUAAGGAAUUCCUCAAGUCUGUUGAGACGAAUGUGAGUUGUCACCGGCUUGCUUAGCAAGUUGACUCAUCCUAGGUUGAUGUAAAUCGUGAUUCUGUGACAACUUUAUCGGAUCAUUCGAUCUUUCCCCGAUGGUAAACUGAACUUGCUGAUCUCAUGUUGUACUUAUCAAUGUGAAAGGAUGACUCUUAUAGACUAAGGAAGGCAUGAUUAUGUAAUCCUAUUCAACUGAGCUUAAUUGAAUAGUUUUAUAGCUUCCUUCCAUCUUAUCAUUGUGAGAACAAAGUACUACUAGAGGACUUUUACUAGAAUGCAGAUGAAGUAAGGAAAGGAUUAGUGAAGUAGCUGUCAAUGUGUAAUCUGUUUGGAAAUUAGUAUAUCUUAUAUUACUGUGUGUAGGCUAGAAGUAGAUAAAGGACUAAGAAGUAGCUCUCAUUGAUUUAUUGGUGUGGGAAAUUUUUUAUUAGAUACGUGGUACUAUUUCAAUGACAAAACCAUGAAAUUGAUAAAGAAUUUAUUAUGGAAAUAAAGUUAUGUAAAACGUGGAAAAAAGAUUAAAUUACAAGUUUUGAAAAGUUUAGGGAUUAAAAUGAAAAUAUGACCAAAAUGAAAAAAGUAAGUUAUUGGUGAUGAAUUGACAUAUAUAACAAUAGGUGGGGAUAUGUAUUGGUAAGAUGAAUUUUUUUUUAAGACUAAAUUGAAAAGAUGGGAAAAUAUAAAGAUUAAAUUAUAAAUUUCCAAUUUUACUGAAUAAAAAAGGGGAAAUAUGUAAUUUUGUGUUGGUGUUGUGUUUAGGAGGGAUGUUCAAACGGUUAACCGAACCGAACUAGUAUUAAUUUAAUUAACCAAAUUUUUUUACCUUUAACUGUUAAUUGAAUCGAAAAUUUUUCAAAAAAUAUGAACCGAACCGAAAUUUAUAUGUUUGUUGUUUUUUUUGUUAAAAAAAUAUAAAAAAUAAAUAAAUUGAUAACGUUCAUUGACCGAAUUAAAACUACAUAUUAUUUGUAUUAUUGAUUAUUAAUUAAGUUAAUUACCCAAUUUCAAACCGAAUUAACUGAUAACCGAACUUCCAAAAAAUUAUUAACCAACCUCCGACCGAAUUAAAUCGAUUAAUCAACUAAUUAAUCGAAUUAGAUUGAUUCGAUAGGUUAACUCGAUUUUAAUUGAAAUUUGAAUACCCUAAUAUUUAGUUACAUGAUGUAUUGUUUUUUGUUUUUUGUUUUUUUUUUUUUUAUCUCUAACUUGGUUUGUAAACUUCGUGCUCCCGAAGUAAUGAAAUGGCAUUUUAGUAAAAAGAAAUUCCAAGUAGUUAUUACUAUAUACAUUACUAUCAAACUUUUGCUACAUUGCCACUUCAAUUUGUUUUUGGAAGAGGUUUUUUUUUUUUUUAAAUCAUCAUUUAUUCAUUAUAAUGGCUAGAAGAACACCAAGAGUACAAGAGUGAUAGUUCCAAACAGACCACAGACAUCAACACCAAACGAAAGGGAAAAAAGAACAAAUACAACACAUAUCUUAGACCAUUUAACACUGCUAAUUAAUUAUCGUAACUUACCUAUCAGUAUGCUCGAAAAUUAGUCAAGCAGUACAACCACAUAUAUAUAUAGGUAGAGAAAUGUCCAUUAUAUGAACUUACAUAACGGGAUACGAAGCUUUCAUGGCGAUACCACAUAAGCCACCUGGUGUAUUCGCGUCCCUUUGAAUCCUAAUAUAUCCUUUUUCACCCCAAGUUUCUCCCCAUGAAUUCUUAGCCAGCCAGUAGUUUAAACCUUCUUCACUUGUUCCGUAUCCGACAACGGUGACUGCAUGGGAGAGAGCAUUGCCACAAUCUCCGGUAAACACUCCCCCGCUGUAAAACCGAAAGUCUUGUCCAUGGCCUUCGAUUGCAACUGAGACAGGUUGACUUGCGACGACCUUAAGCAACGCUUCUUCGUCGUUUUCAGGCACCAUUUGAUAUUCAUUGAUGGUGGCAACUUUGUUUAUCUGUUUCUCAGUGUCGCAAGUUUCUUGCGUUUCUUGAUAUGGGUAGCUUUCUUCAGUAGUUAUUCCUUGGUUUCGGAUAACGUAUUCGAAAGCAUUUACCAUUUGUCCACCAUCGCAACCUCUGUUUCCUCCAUCUGUGCUGCAAUCCAACAAUUGUUGUUCAGAUAAUGACAUUAAACUACCAGUUUUGAUUUGGACUAUCCCUUCAAUGGCUGCCACUGCUGAAAAUGCCCAACAACAUCCUGCAAAGUAAACCAACAAUAACCCUUUGUUAAGUAUAAAACAAUUACUGAAAAAACUAAAUGAAUGCUUCUUGGCUGAGCAAUAUUUAUAAAAUAUUUUAUAGGAGUUGGGUUAGCAUACUAACAUAUUUUUAAGGGAAAAAUCAAAUAGUGACACGUGGUUGUUAAAAAGUAAAUAAGUCUUAUUGAGCAAAAUUAAUUUUUAUAUAUUGAAUCAAAAAGUAAAUAAGUCUUUUAUGUUAAAAAUUUAAUUCAUUUGUACUAUUAAAAACUGUCGUGACUGACAAAAUAACCAAAUAAUAACACGUGGCUUGCCAUGUGUGUUGAUAUAUAAGGACCAGUUUUUCAUAUUAAAAAUGAAUGAAAUUUUUAAAAGAAUGAUGAGUUUGCUAUUUGAUUAACGUGCGAGGAUUCAUUUGCCCAUAUUUUGAGUAGAGACGACAAAAUGCAAUUCGGCUCCUAGUAUAAGAGUCUCCAUAAACUUUUACCUCUUUUAUUUAAAAAUAUAUAUUUUUAAAUAUUAUAAUUAUAAAUUUAUUGAUUUUUUUAAUUUAUUCGUCAUUAAGCAUACAUCAAUGUUAAAGUAAGUUUGCAUUUUCUUUCCAUAUGAUAUAUGUUUUAAUUUGGAAUCGAUCUAAUAUUUCUAUCAUAUCAUUUAAAAAAUUGAUUUUUUUCAAAAUAUAUCAAAGGAUUGAAAGAUUUGUAUAUUAAUUAAAUAAUUUGACAUUUUUAAUUUACUUAAACCUUGAUUAAUAUUAUUUAUGUUAAUACAACAUCACAUAUGAUGGUUGAAUUAAGCAAAUAUAUUGCAGAAAAUUAUUUCUUUUCUACAAUGAUGGAAAAUUAACUUAGGGUGCUGUGUGUUUAACUUACUUUUUGUCUCAUACUACAGUAUUGCUACAGUAUCUAAUCUCACCGUCAUUGUUAUUUUUAUAGUAUCGGCAGGUAAACGCACCACCCAUCCAAACUCACUCUUAGUUUUAUAGUAAUAUAAGUGAAUUCCCUACAUAUAUAUACAUUAGAUUAUGAGAUAUCUAUGAUGUCGAUGAAAAAUAUUUACGUAAAAAAUAUAUUAACUAAAAUUUUAUAUAAAAAUUAAAUAAAAUUUUAAUUGAAAUAAUAAAAUUAAAGGUUUAAAAACUAAUGCUUUAAGCUUAAAUCUCAUCAUGUGUACUUUUAAUGAUUUUAUAUAUAAAAAAAACUCUCAUAAUAAUACAAGUUAGAUUGUAAAAAGAUGACUUUUUAAUUAGUUUCGACUGCAUUUGUGUUCGAUUGAUUUGUAACAUUAACUUAAUCAAUGGUUGUAUGUAAAUUGAGACUUACCACAUUGACCUUGAAACUUAACAGGAGUGACAGCACCUUGGGCCCUCCAAUCCAAGUUUGUCGGAACAUCUGAGACGUUUUCAUACAUAAAAGAUGUUGAUUCGGACAGUGUGGGAUUGCCUUGCAUCUUGUAUCCUGUAUGAGCUGCAAUGAAUUCAUCUUGUGUCAUGUCUGCAAAUUCAUUGAGACUUAACUUAAAACUCCUAUUUCCGCCAUUGUUGAAGCUCUCAAUAUAUUCCAAGUUUUCCUUGAAUAUAUUAAGACGCUUCUCCUUCUCUAAUUUGCUCUCAUAUUUUCGAUUAUAAUCAACCAUCCAUUGCUCAUGUUUGUCAACAAUGAAGGUUUCAUGGAUUGUUCGGGACAUGGCAAGAGAUUCCAAUGUCCCAAAAAUUAAAAACAAAAAGACGUGGAUUAAACUCAUCAUUGUUUGGCAGAGAUACUACACUAAUUGAAAGGUCUAGCACUCAAUGAAUCUAUAUAUACUACAAAAUUUGAUUAAAAUAACUAUUUUUAAUUAAGUCAUCUUAUGAAAAAUCCAAAUAAAAGGCCAAUAAAAUAUUUGAUUUAAAUAAAUAUUUUUAAUUGAUUAACCCUACUACAAGUUUGUUUGUAUUUGUUUUUCUUCCUUUGAGUUGAAAAAAUUCAACACUCCCAUUAUGUUAAGGGUAAAUUGCAUAAUAAUCACUCAAUUAUUAAUAAAUUAAGUGACGAUAACUAACAAGUGAGUGAUUAAAAUAUUUAAUUUAAAAAAAUUAAGUGACUAAAUAAAAAAAUUUAAUAGGUGGGUGACCAAAAUAGAACCAAGUGCAUAGUUGGAUGACUAUAUUUUUAGUUUACCCAUUAUUCAUAGUUGCUGACAUUCAAAAUUAACAUGGAUUAAAUUGCUCAGAUUUUUUAGAGGGACGAGCUUACUCAAUUUCUCGUAGAAGUUGUGGUUUUUAUAUUUUAUUUUUAAAACUCAAAAAUAAAUUGUAAAAACUUGUUUUUAAAAUGAUUUAAAAAAAAUAAAACCAAUUUGAUUAAAGGGUUGCAAUUGAUAAGGGGAAAUCUCAUUACCUUCGCCUACAAUUAUUUUAAACAUAGGUUAACACGUAAUUUGAGGAGGAACUGAGAGAAAAACUUAUUAAACCAGAGUUAAAUAUUCAUCCCUUCAUUGCUGUUUUCCAGUUGUAUUGCUGCAUGCAAGCACUUCACUUGGAUUUCACUAUCAACCUUCCAACUUCCCCACUAUGUACGAUUAAAAUAUCACACAAGUGAAGAGAUAUUUUAAAGGAGAAAACUAUCCACACUUAAUCUAAAUUAAAAGUGAUCUAAUUUAAUUAAAAUUUAUUGAGCUUUAAUUAUUAAAUAAAAUAUGAAUCAAAUAUUAAUUUCUAACUAAUACUGGGCUGAUUAGGAAUUAAAGUAGAUUUAACUUUUUUAAAUUACUUAUCUGCUAAUUUAAAAGAUUAAAACUAUAAAAUUCAAAGAUCUCAUAAAAUCGAUAGAUUUAAGUACGCUUUUGUAUUUUAUUUUGCUCUUGACUAAACAAAUUUUACUUUAUUAAAUAAAAUAUGAAUCAAAUGUUAAUUUCUAAAUGAUAAUGGGCUGAUUAGGAAUUAAAGUUAACGUAGAUUUAACUUUUUUAAAUUACUUAUGUACUAAUUUAAAAGAUUAAAACCACAAAAUUAAAAGAUCUCAUAAAAUCGAUAGGUUUAAGUACGCUUUUGUAUUUAAUUUUGUUCUUGACAAAACAAAUUUUACUUUAUUAAAUAUUUAAAUAAUGAAAUACCUUAAGAUGAAUGAAAAAGAAAAUGAAUUUCAUGAUAUUUUAGUAAUAAAAUAUAUGAAAUGAUGAUUAUAUUUAAAUUCCAAAUUCUUUAGUGCAAGUGUCUGGGUCUUCAUUCUUGCAAUAAUGUAAGAUUGAGCCAAUUAAACAUUACAUGUAGUCUUUAGUGAAAUCAUCUAGGCCUUCAUUAUCGUCUCUAAAGCCCCAUUACAUAAUUGGCGCGCCGAUGAAGCAAAUGAGAAUGUUGACAAGCAGGAUUUGCUCUAUUUUUUCUCUUAAUUUCUUAUGUUUGAUAGUUGCUGCGUGGAAUAGAAAGAUAGACCAGAUGCAAGUCACGGUCAAGGUCAACUGCCCUUAUUUGCAACAGAGCCAGGGUGAUUUUUUUUAUUAAUUUAUUUUGAAUAUUUUUAUUAAAAUAAUGCGUGAACGGACAAAACAAAAUUUUAUUGUGGAUUCAGUUAUUAUAGUAUUUUGAGUUUAAGGUUAAUUAAGAUACGACCAAUUUCCUCUGGUUUGCAAAAGUUAUUUCAUCAAUGGUAGUGGGACAUUUAGACUCCACCAUCAUGAGUCGUAGAAUAAUACAUAUUCGUCUAUUAAGAAUGAGGAAUUAAUAAAAACAGAAGCAAACCGAGUGAUUGUUUCCUCUAUAGGGAGGACAAGCAAUCUAAGGAUAAGAAAAUGCUUAAAACUUCAAGUUAUCCCAAAGCGAACAAAAAGAAGUAUAAAAACUUAUUAAAAUCUAAGUAUUUUUAUCAACAAGUGUUGGUUACAAUGGUAAGGUAUAUUGCAUUGUAGAGGACAUUGUUGGAAGGGACAGUCAUUAACCUAGAACAUAGACCGUAAAACAGACAUGAAUAAUACCCCAAAAAAAGUCCAAGUGUUUCUUUUGUAAUAACAAAAAGAGCACUGCAAGGAAAAAUGCAAAGAGUGUAAGGAUUACCUAGUCUCUAAGGGUAAAGGUAUGAAACUCUUGAUUAUUGAAACUUGUUUAGCGGAAGACUUAAUAGACCAUUAAGUCAUUGAUUAUAGAGCCACUAGUCAUGUUUGUAUUUCUUUGUAGGGGUUUAAGGAAAUGAAAGAUCUUCAGGAUAAGAAUCUACCAUUGCGAACCGGAGAUGGGAGCUAUGUGGCUACAAAAACAAUUCGAGAAGUACAUCUUUAUUUUGAUAGUUUUAGGAAGAUUGCUUUGGGAGAUGUUUUCUAUGUACCAAACUUUAGAAGAAAUGUAAUUUAUAUUGCAUGUUUAUUUAAAGACGAUUAUACUGUGACUUUCUGUAAUGGUAUUGCAAUUCAUAGAAAUCAAUCUCUUAUCUCUAAUGGAGGGAUGCAAAAUAAUAUUUAUUUUAUCAAAUCAAAUAUGCACUUACAGCUAGAAAUUGAACUCGUAAAUGAGAAACUUGAAACUUCUCUCUAAUGAGGCAUACUCAUUUCUAAUUUCAACGAGCUACCAGAGGGACUGAUUGGAUAUAUUUAAUUAGGGCUUAAAUGAUUUGUAAUUAAGUUUUCGCUUACAGCCUGUUAAUUAUAAACUCAUUUCAUCACAAAUUCAUUCGACUAUAGUAUCGUUACUGAGCUCUACCUAGAGGCAUACCAUUACAAAAGCAACUACUUCAGUGCUCGUCCAAUGACAUUUUCAUAAGUGUGUCACCCUCAUAUGAUAUCCUUGAUCUCUUUGGAAUAAUAUCCGCUCUCCCAAUAUGAUCCUUUUUUUUUCUCUUGGUAACCAUUACAUCUUCCUUCAUGAAAAAUCUAUCACUAUCAAAUAAUGAUCAAGUCAUCCAUCAUAAAGAGGAACGACCUGCUGCCACAUUUACUUUUCAUCAACCAUGUAAUGCAUAUUGAGGAUAUCAUUUACCCAUGUCUCGACCUAUGAAUUUCACUAUUGUGAAUGAUGCGAUAUACUGAACAAAUCUUACACCCAAUGAACCAGCUUUCAGUUCUGUAUCUAUUUGAACUCAAGCUUUUACUUACAUCAAAGUGUACAUAAUAAUUGUAACCUUCUCUUGCACUAAUACUCAUGGGGCCACAUAAGUUAGUUUGAACAAGUUAUAGGGGUUUUCUAUCCCUUGUUCCUUUUGCAUUAAAAGAUCGCUUAGUUAUCUUACCUUCAAAGUAAGAUUCACAUUGUGGAAGAUCAACUUCUUUAAGCGAACUUAAGAUGUCAUCUUUAACAAGCCUAGUGAGUUUUUCUCAGUUAAUAUGACCAAGUAUCAAAUGCCAAAUGUAUGCAUUAGAGUGAGAAGUUUUAAGUCUUUUAUUUGAUAUUUUAGUCUCAAGUAAUGUGUACAUCUUUGGUUUGAUAAAAUAAAGAUUAUUGACAUCCACCCAUUACAAUUAAGAUUGCGAUUCCAAAAUAUUGCAAUUCCAUUACUAAUAGUCACGAUUAACAUAAAUUAAGAUUGCGAUUCUAAAAUAUUGCAAUUCCAUUAUAUAAACAGGCAACAUAAAUUAAGUUUCUUUUGAAAUUUGAUACAUAGAAAAAGUCUCUUAAAAAAAUAAUCAUCCUAAAAUUUUGAAAAUAAAGAUGUACAUCUCCCACUACUUCAUCUGCCACACUUGUCCAGUUCCCAGACCACAACGAUAAGCUCUUAUACCUAAGAUCCUUUCUUUCCUCGAACCCCUAUAGAUAAAUACUAAUUUAAGGGUGUUUUUUUCUUUGCUAAUUGCUAAGUUGUGAAGAACUAGCACUCAGUGGACGUAUAUAUAUACUACAAAAAAAAUUAUUGAAAUGAAGAUUUUUUUAAUUAAGUCAUCUUAUGAAAAUUCAACUAAAAUGCCAAUCAAGUCUAUUUCUUUAAAUAAAUAUUUCUUUAAAUACUAAUUUCUAACUAAUAAUGGGCUGAUUAGGAAUUAAAGUUGACGUAGAUUUAACUUUUUUAAAUUACUUAUGUACUAAUUUAAAAGAUUAAAACCACAAAAUUCAAAGAUCUCAUAAAAUCGAUAGAUUUAAGUUUGCUUUUGUAUUUAAUUUUGUUCUUGACUAAACAAAUUUUACUUUAUUAAAUUUUGUAUCUUAACAAAAGAUUAAUAAAACUGGAAUUUGAAACAAUUAAUAUUGUAUUAAAUAUUUAAAUAAUGAAAUACCUUAGGAUAAAUUAAAAAGAAAAUGAAUUUCAUGAUAUUUUAUUUGUUGGCAUGUUUUACCAAAAUAUUUUGAUGAUUUGCUUGCAUUUUUUUGAGUAUCUUGUGCAACCAAUCUUUUGUUUAUCAUUGGAAAAGAGAUUCAAUCAAGCAAAAUUAUUUUUCAAGGAUCCUUAUAUUGUUUACUUAUGUAACACCCAGUUUUGCCGGGUUGUAAGUUCUGACGAGAAGAUUAAGAGUAAUCGGUGAGAAGUAGCCUAUCUACUCGAUUAUCAUUUUGGCACAUAGAUUAGGCGCAUAGCAGAUAAUAGAAUAUUAAGCAGGGAUUGUCAGAUAAUAGAAUAUUAAGCAAGGAUUGUUCUCAGAAUGUAUUCAGUUGUAAAGAAGAAGAGAUUGAUGAGAGUGUUGAGAACCUUGUAAUAAGGGGGUUAUCGCCUAAAUUGACAAUUUUCCAUUUUAGGAGGGGGCCCUGCCAAGCUCCCUAGAUAUACCACUCAUAGUGGUUGAUUUUCAAAAUUGGCGUGGAUUAAAUUGUUUAAAUAUUUAAGAGGGACCAGCUUACUCAAUGUUAAAAUUGAGAAGGACCAAAAAUUGUUUUUUUUUCCUUGUAGACAGUUGUUUAUAUAUAUAUAUAUAUUUGUAAAAACUUAUUAAACAGGAGCUAAAUAUUCAUCCCGUCAUUGCUGUUUUCCAGUCGUAUUGCAGCAUGCAAACUUAUUAUAUUUAAAUUCCAAAUUCUUUAGUGCAGGUGUCUGGGUCUUCAUUCUUUUCUCUUAUAAGAAGUUCAGAUUCAGACAAUUUUGUUUAGCCUUAGACACGACAAAGUGUUCUAAUAGUACAUCCCGCACGUUACUUAAUUGGCUGAUGUCGAUAAGUAAGAAUGCCCUUAAUUUCUAUCCUUUGAUAGUUGGGUGAUUGGGAUGAUUUAUUUAUUCAUUUUGGAAGUUUUUAUUAGAAUUUGACUUGCUAAUUUGCAUAUUUAUAUUAUAUUUGUGCUUUUUUUUACAUAAUUUUUUAUUAAUUAAUAAUGUGUUAUAGUAAACUUUUUUAUUCAAUUUAAUAUUACCAGCCCAUUCCAUAUUAAUUCAUUCAAAUAAAUUAUAUAGGAACUAUUUUUUAAUAAAAUAAUAAAUAGUAUUCCAAUAUUAUUUUUGUUUUCUAUUAUAUUUGAGUUAAUAUUUAAUAUAAUAUUAGUGGAAAUUUCAAUUCUAUAAUUUAAAUGCUAUCACAUAUUCCAUUUGAAGAAAAAAAAACAUUUAUUUUUUAUUACACUCUAAAAGUGUAUGAGCCGAUUGAGUCUUAACUCGGUUGGUAUUAACAUUGUUGCCUAUGCAGGAGGACAUGGGUUCAAGUACGUUGAAACACAUUUAUCCUCUUAUUGAGGGAGUGGAGAGACACUAUGGGUAGCUCUUUUAUUUUAACUCGAACAAUUUCACUCGAUGCGACUCGACUCAAAUUUUAUUUCACUCGACUCUAUUCGAAAAAAAAAUCAAAUUUACUUAAGAUCUUAAAAUAAGAAUCGUAAACUCGAUUAACUCGAAAUUUUUUAUAUACCAUUAUCAAAUCUACUUAGAACCAAGUAGACGAAAAUUCCAACCCAUACGAUACUUCAUUACUUAAUUGACGCAGCAAAUAUUGACAAAGCUGGGUUUGCGCCAAUUUUUUUUCUUCUUAAUUUCUAUUGUGUGAUUGGUACAUGGGUGGGAACGAACAUAAUUAGUGCCAUCCCACCAUGCAAUUGCAACCCUAAAAAAAAAAUCUAAAGAUGGUGACAAUUCAAAAUGGUAAUAAAAUAUUGAAAUAAAUUCUUUUUAUUUUACCUUGAUAUUAAUAAUAUUUAAUAACAUAAAAUAAUUUAUAUGUAUUAAAAUUUAUUAACCACUUCAUAUUAGAAUAACCCUAUCAUUAUUUCAAAAGGUAGAAAUGUUAUUAUUACAACAAUUAAAAAAUAUCAUAUAUUCCAAUCAUUAAUUCAUCAUAAUUUUAAUAAAAAUUCUCACAUAUAAUAAUGAUAAAUAAAAAUUAUUUAUGCUUAAUUGCAAAUUAUGUGCAAAUAUACACAAUUGUAACAAGUAAUAAAGUAGUAAUUAUACGAGUACCGUCUCCUUAGGGACUGAACAGGUAGUCAAGAUUUGCGAAAAUAAUUUAAAUAACAAUUAUAAAUGGGGUUUAUGCAAUUAAUUAAACUAAAUGCUUCUAUCCUGCAAAAUUUCAACAGAAUAAUGAGUACUUCAACAAAUGAAUUAAUAAUGCUAGAAUAAUUAAUCCACUUCUGUCUUUGUUCAAUUUAGUCUGGAUGCAAUUGUUAUGAAAAUCUUGGCAUAAUUAGCGUGUAACAUCCAUAACCUGUUUUCAUCACCAGAAUAGGGUUACAGAGUAUUACCAUACAAUUCGAAACAUUCCAUAACAAUAGCAUCUAAUUCAUCAAGUUAAUUAACAAUAUUCAUAAAUAAUUCGAAAUCAAGGAAGACACACAUUCAUAGAACUUAAAUCGAGCCUACGAGGCCUAAUAAUCAGAGAUUAAUUCAAAACAAAAUAGGAGAUUUGGUACAAAAAUAAAAAAAUUUCAAAAUAAGGGUCACACGGCCAUGUGUCUAGGCCUAAACCAUGUGGCCAUCACACAUGCUCGUGUGCAUGGGCCGUGUAACUCUCUAACUUGGGUCACACAGCCGUGUCACAGCCCGUGUAAACCUUGCACCUAACACACUAACACACGCCUGUGUGUGACACACGACCGUGUAACAACCUGUGUCCCAGGCCGUGUGUACCCAAAAGUGACUAAAAUCAUGUUGAUUUUUCAUCCAAUUACAUAAGUACCUAAACCAAUUCAUAACACAUGAUCAUAAGACUAUAACCACACCUAAAAGCAACCAAAACAUGUCAAUUUCAACCAUCUAAAACCAAACCAAGGUGUCAUACAUGAAGUUACAAAUAAUGUUUAUACCCAACAUAAUCAUUUCAUAUCACCUACAAAUCAUACAUAUACACCAACUAAUCUAUGUCAAUCUCAUCAUACCAUACUUAAACAUGAUAUUUACUAUUCCGUGGGCAAAACACUCAAGCUCAACUUUGAAUUUAACAAGCAUACCAUAUAAAGUUACCAUUCUACAACAUCAAACAUAUCAAACACCACACAUAGCUAUGAAACAUUACAAACAUAAAUCAUUUUUCCUAUUACAUGCUAUAUAACCAAAUUGUUUACAAAAUCUACCAAAAGAGUCUUUAGGAUAGUGUGAUUUUACGAGUUGAUCUGAUCUCCCCUCCACAAAAUGUAAUCUACAAGAAAAGGAACAAGACACGAGUAAGCUUACAGAAGCUUAGUAACUUCGUUGAUUAAAUGAUAAUCUUAUCGGAUUGAACAUAAAUAAACAAUGUAUGAGAUUUAAGAAAAUAAGUUCCUGUCAAUCACAGCUAACAACAGGUGAGUAUUGCACAGUACAAUAAUUCAAAUCAUAUUCCAUAUUACUAUUAUUUAAACUUUCCAAAAACACUUAUACUUGGAUAAUUCACAUCAUCAAGAUGCCAUAUGAUAAAUGAUCAAAAACCAUGUCAUAGUUCUAACAAUAUCUCAUUUCAUGUAAUCAAAAGGGUAUCACUCAUUCGAGUUAACAUUUAUAACUUUAACCGACUCACGAUGUUGCUUACACAAGCUGCAGAGAAUCCGCAACACAUGUAGGAUCUCAAGCCAUCGCUACGGUCUAUAUCACAAGUACACAGUACCUGCUAAAUAAUCACGAGCCCACAACCUACUAAGACCCGAAAAGAUCUCAAAACACAGUAGAAUAUACUUCAUGUUGCUCACCUCCUUUUCAUUUGCUCUUAAGAAUAGUAUAGUGUCGUCCGCGAAUUGUAAAUGAGUAAAAUUCUGUCUAAGAAUAACAUAUUGAAAGUCUUCAAUUAGCCCUAACUCCACAGCUUUAUCCAUUGCCAAAUGAAGCAUUUUCGUCACAAUUAAAUAAGAAUGGGGAUAGCGGACCUCCUAGACGAAGACCUCUGCAGAAUCUGAAUUCGUUUAUGGUUAACCCGUUGAUAAUUACUGUUGUCAUAACGUUGCCUACAUAAGAGUACGGGGGCCUAGUAAGCAAAGCUAGACACGAAGGGCCUAAAUUAAAGUAGAGUUGCCACUAACCAAUUAGGGCUAGCUUCGUAAGCCACCUAUCGUCUAAAAAUCUAGAAUUAAUACGUUGGAAAAUCCUAAAAGUCUAGAGUCAAUCUCAUCACCAAAUUUUGGGUUCGGGAGUACGGUUACGUAUGGGGAACGCUAUAGCACCCCCACAAUGCCUAUCCGGGGGAUAGUCCUACGGGGUUAUAAAACCUAGAAUUUUUUUUAAUUAAGCAUAUUAAUGUCUUAAUCUAGGCUAAAAUCUUAUGGAAAUUUUAAAUAAAAACUCUAAAGAAAUGCCUUUGGUUUACUUGUAACUCGAUUAAGAUGUGUUUACCAAGCUUAUCUAAUUUGAAACUUUAAUGAGAGAUUUUUAAUUUUAACGGGAACCUUAAAGGAUACCUAAAUAAGUAUAGUAAAAUAUCUUUAAUUCCUAAAGUUAAUUCUAUUUUAGAAUUCUAAAAAAACCUAGAAAUUACCAAUAAAAUAAGAGAAAUAUUAAAAUCAAUCUACAACUUAUUUGAUCUUUUAUUAUUAUUAUUUAAAAGAUUUAAUUAAUAACUUUGAACCUAUCAAGAUAUUACGAAAGUAUCCUAUGCCGGUUUAUGAUCUAUCUUACUUUAAAAUUCUUGAUCUAAUAUUUAAAUUCGUCAAAAUCCUGAAAUAAUAUAUCUUAAAUAAUAUUUAUUAGGUUUCUUAAAAAGUUUCUAAAAUAAAAUACUUAGAAAGACCUACUCAUGAUUUACAAUUCACCUACAAAAAUCUUUAAUUUUAAUCUUGAAUAAAGUCCUAAAGAAUAAUUACAUAUUAAUUUAAAAUUCUAAAGAGGAAUCCUAUACGAUAUUUAAAACUAGUUUAAAACCCUAAAAAAAUCCUACAUAUUAUUUAUAAUUUUUCUAGGGUAAAUGGUGGAUAAGAUCUUAAGGACUAACCUAAAUCCAAAUGUAAAAACCUUAUGGUUUCAUUAAAAUGUAACACCUAUUUAACUAACUUCAUGUCAAUAAUUACAGGAUGGAAAAAUGACCUAAAGUUAUUUUAAAACAAAUAGUAAUAAAAUAGGAAAAUCAAUUAAAUUGGCUAAAGUUAAUGAAAAAUUAAAACUCUUCCAAAAUGAAAAAAAUUAAAAGAAAGAUUAAAUAAAUGAAAUAAAUAAGACCUUAACAUGAUGAUAAUAAUAAUACACCUUAUUCAUAAUAAAAUAAAAGAAUCAAAGUAAUAAAUUUUGGAUUAAAUCGAAUGUUUGAAAAAAUCAAAGGGCUACGGGUGUAAAUAAUCCAGAGAGUGAGGGCGGUGCUGCAAAAAAUAGGGUAUUUUUGUAAAUUUAAAAAGUAAGGGGUGGGAAUAAAUUACCUACUUUUGGCACCUAUAAAUGAAAAAAAAAACUAUUAAUUCUUUCAUUUUAACCUCAUUUUUUUUUCAAAAAAAAAAAUCUUCCUCUUUCUCUUCCUCCUUUUAUGUUGGCCAUGGCUCUACCACCGGAGAGCCGUCAGGCUCUCCGGCCUCCGGUGGUGGAGCUACAGCAUACGAUGGUCGGGUUUUUUUUUUGUAAAAUUAAAGUUUUCUUUUAAAAAAUCACUACUUUUCUUAAAAACCGAAACUUUAUUUCAAAAUAGUUGAAAAAAAAUCAAAAGUUUGUUUUAAAAAAUUUAAACUGCUCCUUUAAAAUGUCUAAAAAAUAGAUUUUUAUUUUAAAAAUCUAAACUUUCUCUUUUUUAAAAAAAAUGCUAUUUUUCUUAAAGUUCAAAGAUUUUAUUUUGAAAUAGUUGAAAAAAAUAAAAAAAAUUGUUUUAAAAAUUUAAACCUUCCUUUUAAAAUGAUUAAAAAACAUAUAUAUUUUUUAAAAAUCUAGACUUUCUUUUUUUUUAAAAUCAAAACUUUUCCCAAGAUCAAACUUUAAAAAGAAAAAAAGAAACCUUUAUUUUAGAAAUGGGAGGGAAAAAAACAAGAUUUUUGGGGCUCCUAGGGGCAGAGGACCGACAGUCAGGUGACAUCCCCUUCAUCGGAACCCAAAACCUGAUCCCUCUUGACAUAUCUAUGGCCAAAAAAAAAAAGAUAGAAGAAAAAAAGAGAAAUAACAUGCUUAUUGUUGUUGUUGUUGUUGUUGUUGUUGUUGUUUUACCUUUUUUUAGAAAAAAAAAUAUGGAAAGCCUUUCUCUUUUUCAUUUCAUUUCAUGUUUAUAUAUUGUUUUUUAAUCUUGCUUAUUUGUAAAAGAUGAUGAUAAUAAUAUUUAAUAAUAAUAGUAGUAGUGAUGAUAAUAAUAAUUUGAUCCCUUGACAAGCCCAAAAAAAAAGAAAAAAGUCUCAAAUUGACCAAAAUUAAGUGGGCUUCGAAUGGCCCAACAGAGAACAAAAAUUUAAAUGGGCCUCUAAUUGGACUUGGACAAGAUGGGUGUCUACAACUGUUGCUCUCAUUGUAGAUCCACACUCGAUUAUCCAUCAUAUCUAUUUUUCGCCAAAUCCCAUCUUGAAUAAAACCAACUCCAAAAAAUCCCACCGAACACAGUCAUAUGCUUUAGAAAAAUCCAAUUUAAAGAUCAGAUUGCCCCCUUCCAUCUUUCUCUUUAAUCGAGUGGAUUAUUUCCUUUGCUACUAAAAUUCCAUCAAAUAUUUGUCUUCCUCUAAUGAAUGCACAUUGAGUAUCGCUCACCACCUCUCCGAUGAUCUCCCUUAUUAAUUGAGACAAUACCUUUGCCACUAUCUUGUACAAAGAGCUCACCAAACAAAUUGGCCUAAAAUAAUAUAUUUCGAUUGGAUUUUUAGUCUUGGUAUGAGUGUGAUAAAUGAUGAAUUAGUAGUCCUCUCAAGCUUUUCGGAUAUAAAAAAGUCUAUCAUCAAUCUGAAAUGAUCCUCCUUUACAAUCUCCCAACUUUUUCUAAAAAACACAGGUUAAAACCGUCCAGUCUAGGUGCUUUUGAUUCAUCACAGCUCCAUACUGCCUCUUUAAUCUCAUCCAUCAAAAAUGGUGCCUCCAGUUUCAAAGCCUUCUCCCCAUUUGGCUUUCUAAAAUUCAGUUCCAAGUCCAUUCUCCACUUCCUCACUGGGCAAUUAAAACAAUUUUUGAAAAAUUGUAUUGUCUCUCUUUCAUCUACUUAGGUUCACUGCACCAAUGACUCCCUAUUUUCAAACUAUAUACCAUAUUCCUUUUAGCUUUGAUCUUCGCUGCUCUAUUGAAAAAAUUUGAAUUAGCAUCCCCUUGUUUUAACCAUGUAAUCCUUGAUUUUUGACGCCAAACUGAUUCUUUAAAUUUAAUUGCUUCCCAAAGUUCAGUAUUCAACUUUUUUAAUUCCUCUAUUUCUAACUUAGUCAGUUCUCUGUGUUCACUAGCAUCAUCGAUCUCCUUAAUCCUAUCUUCACUUUCUAUAAUUCUUUUUUCCGAUGCAUUGUCAGCAUCCAAAGGAGAAGGGAAGAGUAGGAGUGGUGAAUAUUAGAAUAAAAAAUAGAGCAUUAUUGGCUAAAUCGAGCUGGAGAUUUGCGAUCAAGAAAAAUGUGUUAUGGAAAAAAGUUAUCCUAACGAAGUAUGUUUUGAGCUUGCAACAGUGCCAAUUUAGGACGACUUGUACAAAAGAUAUGUCAACUGUUUGGAGAGGUAUUGUAGAGAAUUCUAAAGAUGCCAAUACGUCUAAAAGGGUGGGGAAUGAAGCUUUUUGUAGGCGGGUUGGGAAUGGAAGGACGACAAUGUUUUGGGUGGACAUAUGGUGUGGUAAUUGUCCACUAAAAUUGGAAUUUCAAAGGCUGUUUCGCUUAGCAAGACAAAAAGGAGGUACAGUAGCAGAUUACUUGAGAAAUAAUGGAUUUGGUAGAGUAAAGUGGAGUGAACUCUUUACAAGAUCCUUAUUGGAAAGAGAGGAAGAGAUGCUUCGUAGAUUGGAGGAUAAAGUGAGUAGCACGGAGUUAGUUCCUAGUGGAGGAUCGGCUUUGUUGGGUACACGAUCGUAAUUAGGAAUUUAUGGUAAGGAAGUGUGCUAAAUAAUUGAAUUAUUUUGAUAUAAAAUUUUCAAUUGGUGGGAGGCUGAAUGGGAACCGGUGGAAGGAUUUGAUAAAUUAUACUCAUUGUGUUAUAAUAUGAAAUUGGAUAGAAUCUGAAAAAGCUUAUGGUUGAUAUCAAUUUCGGUAGCCUGUUGGACAGUAUGGUUGGCAAGAAAUGGACUUGUCUUUAAAAGAAAGAUGAUGACCAUGGAAACUUUGAUUUUUCAAUCAAAGAUGAGGGCAUUGCUGUGGAUAAGGUCCGCCUAUGAUGAUUUAUUGAUGUAGGAGAGCUCUUGGUGGAUUUGCCCGAACAGGUGCAAGAUAGAUACAAUUAAAUCCAGAUCAUCCUCAUCGAUAUGACGCCCUCCUCCACAAGGAUGUUUAAAGUUCAAUGUAUGUGGGAUAGAAAAUAAGGAUAGUGCAGGUUGUAGAGGUGCUUUGAGAGACAUGGAGGGUGUUGCAAGAGCUCUAUUUUCAAGUCCGAUUGCAACAGAUGGUACUGAUUUGACAGAGGCAGGAGCAGUGCUUUUAGCAUUAGAAGUAUUUAUAUCUCUGGAAUGGAAGAUAAAUGACUCACUGUUGGUAGAAAUUGGUUCUAAAGUGGUGUUCAACUGGUGUACAAACAAGUCGAUGAGACCAUUGUCACUCCAAUCAACAUUUGCAGAUAUUGAGAGGAAAAUUGAGAAGGUAGGUAGUGUUGUAGUUUCAAUGGCAGAAAAGAAAGGAAAUGAAAUGGCCUCAAACUUGGCAAUAGCAGGUAUAAAUCGUGGAGAAAUGUUUAAAGCUAGGUGGUGAGCAUUAGAUUUGAUGUCAAACGUCAGUUUUCUAUUGUUGAAAAUGUUACAUUAUGGGACGCUGUAAAUUUAAACUUUUGAAUGUUGUUCUUGCUGUAUUUACAACAGGUCAAUUCAAAUGAAGAAAAACAAAUAUUUAGUAGGCUUUUUAUUAGUCAAUUUGGAUUUUGGUAAUAGAAAACUAAAAUAUUCAUUAAAAAAAUGGUUGGUUGGAAUUUAAUUUAGAUAUUUCUUAAGGUAGGCAAUUAAAAAAUUGACUUGAUUGGCAUUUUAUGUAGAUAUUUCAUAAGUUUCUAAAGUCAAAUUUUAAAAAUUCGCUUACUUCGCAUUUUAUGAUGAUAUUUUAUUCAAAUAUUUUUAAUGAAUAUGAAAUGUGAGUUUUGCUAUUAAAUUUUGGAUUGUGUUAAUAUGAAAAUUAAAAAUGAUGAAAUUAAAGAGUUUUAAUAGCGAUUUCUCUCUAUGUUGAGAUUCUAGCUCCAAAUGUUGGCAAAUAUUUGAUUGAAAUAAUAUAUGAGAGAUUUGGACGAGUUGUGGAUAUAUUCAUAGUAAAAAAACUGAAGGUGAUACGAUUUUUGUAAAUGAAUGUGAGUUUCAUACAAAAAUAUUUAAGAAACAUGAGAAAUGAAUUAUUUUUAUUUAAGAAAAUAUACUCGUCAAAUUCAUAUCACCAUUUAGUUUAAAAUUUUAAAAUAUUUUUUUAAUAAAAGAAAAAGAAUUGCCAAAUACUUUUUGGAAGCUUUUUUUUUAAUAAAUAAUCAUUUAUUCAUUAUAUAGAUAAAAGGUUGGCAAGAGUGCAAGACUCAUAGUUCCAAACAAACCACAAACAUCAACACCAAAUGAAAGGAAGAAAAACACGAGUACAACAUAUAUCUUAGACCAUUUGACACGGCUAACUAAUUGUAGUAAUAUGAACUUAUGCUAUUGGAUACGAAGCUUUCAUGGCGAUACCACAUAAGCCACCUUUCCUUUCCACAUUCCUUUGAAUCUUCAUAUACCCAUUUUCACCCCAACUUUGUCCCCAUGAAUUCUUAAUCAGCCAAUAGUUUAAACCUUCUUCACUUGUCCCAUAUCCAACAAUGGUGACUGCAUGGGUGAGAGAAUUUCCACAAUCUCCUUUAAACACUCCACCAUUGUAAAACCGAAAGUCUCGUCCAUGGCCUUCAAGUGCAACUGAGACCGGUUGAUUCGUGACGGCUUUAAGCAAUGCUUCUUCGUCGUUUUUAGGCACCAUUUGAUAGCCACUGAUGGUGGCAACUUCGUUUAUCUGUGUGUCGCAAGUUUCUUGCAUUUCUUUAUAUGGGUAGCUUUCUUCAGAGGUUAUUCCUUGGUUUUGGCUAAUGUAAUCGAAAGCAUUCAUCAUCCAUCCUCCUUCGCAACCUUGGUUUCCUCCAUUUCUGCUGCAAUCCAACAGUUGUUGCUCAGAUAAUGGGAUUAAUUUACCAGUUUUGAUUUUGAUUAACCCUUCAACGGCUGCCACUGCUGAAAAUGCCCAACAACAUCCUGCAAAGUAAACCAACAAAUAACCCUUUUCAAGUAUUAGUGAAUAAAUAAAUGCUUGGGGGAGCAGUAUAUAUAAUUAUUUUAAAUUUUUAAUUAAUUUUAGUGUUACGUAUCAACUGAAAACUAACUCGGUUGUGAAAUUAUUAAAAUACUCUCGUAACACCAAUUUAAUCUAGAGUUUUAUGGGUUUAUAUAUAUUAUGGAGACUUACCACAUUGGCCCUGAUUCUUAAUAUGAGUAACGGCAUUUUGGUCCCUCCAAUCGAAGCUUUUCGGAGCGUUUGAGUAGUUUUCAUACAUAAACGGUGUUGAUUCCAACAAUGUGGGAUUGUUCUGCAUCUUGUAUCCAGUGUGAGUUGCAAUGAAUUCAUCCUGUGUCAUGUCUGCAAAUUCAUUGAGGCCUAACUUAAAACUCCUAUUUCCGCCAUUGUUGAAGCUCUCAAUAUAUUCCAAGUUGUCUUUGAAUAUAUUAAGACGCUUCUCCUUCUCUAAUUUGCUCUCAUAUUUUCGACUGAAAUCAACCAUCCAUUGCUCAUGUUUGUCAACAAUGGUGCUUUCAAGAAUUGUUCGACACAUGGCAAGAGAUACCAAUGUCCCAAGAAUUAAAAACAAAAACACAUGGAUUAAACUCAUCAUUUGUUUUUUUUUUUUUUUUGCAAUACAAGCAGAGAUACUUCACUAAUUUAAGGGCUUUUUUCUUUGCUAAUUGCUAAGUUGUGAAGAACUAGCACUCAAUGAACGUAUAUAUAUACUACAAAAAAAUUAUUGAAAUAAAUAUUUUUUUAAUUAAGUCAUCUUAUGUAAAUUCAACUAAAAUGCCAAUCAAGUCUAUUUUUAAAAAAAAAAAAAGAAGAAGAAGAAAAGUAUUUUUUUUCUUAGCAAAAUCCAAAUUUGACAAAUAAAACUCUGCUCACAAUAUAAUAACAAAGAGAAAAUUGUAAUCUUUCUAAUUGAUGAACCCUACUCACAAUAUUUUCUAUUUUUCUUUCUCUUGAAUUGAAAAUCGAUUUUAGGAAAACACCCAAAGUUCACAUUAUGUUAAUUACUACUACAUAUUUUCACUUUUUGACCUUCUAAUCUCUAUUAUUUUGUUAGAAUUGUAACUUUGUGAAAUUAUAUACAAGUUAAUUAUUUUAAUAAGAUUAUGUUUUGUAAUAUAAUUAGGGGAACAUAAGAUGAUGAGUAAUUCCCUUGUUUGGCUCAUUUGGAUGGAAUAUAAGAUUCAAAUGAUUGAUUUACAGAAUGUAAGAUUAUCUAGAAGCACAUUUUAUUAAAUUAUCUUUGUUAUAAAUUUUUUUAACAAGUAUAGUUUCUUUAAUAGUUUUUAGUCUAAAUUUUCAGAAAUUAAUCAUAAAUUAUUAUAUUUUUUUAUUACAGUCUGUAUACUAAUAAGUGUAUAAUAUUUAAAUAAAUUUAUAAAUCAUAAUUAUAAUAAUUAAUGAAAAAUAAUUACGUCACCAAUCAUAAUUAUAACUAUAAUUAAUAUAGUAAUAAAUAAGUUAUUAGAGUAAAUAUAGUAAUUAUAGUUUUAAAGUAUGAUAACUGUUGUUUCACGAUUUAUUAAAAACUUUAAAUUUAUUAAAAUAAUAAAAACAAAGAGUAAGUAUGCCCAAAAUUCAAGAUUAUAUCUAUAAUCUAAGAUAAUCUAACAAAUGAAUUGUAUUAAGAUUACGAUAUCUUGAUACUAUUUUAAGAUGUAAGAUUAAGGGAUGAUUAGAAUAUUGAGAAUCCAAAUAAAAUAAUCUUCUUCUAGAAUGUAACAUUACAUGCAAUAAUGUAAGAUUGAGCCAAUUAAACAUUACAUGAAGUCUUUAGUGAAAUCAUCUAGGCCUUCAUUAUCGUCUCUUACGCCCCACUACAUAAUUGGCGCGCCGAUGAAGCAAAUGAGAAUGUUGACAAGCAGGAUUUGCGCUAUUUUUUCUCUUAAUUUCUUAUGUUUGAUAGUUGCUGCGUGGAAUAGAAAGAUAGACCAGAUGCAAGUCACGGUCAACUGCCCUUAUUUGCAACAGAGCCAGGGUGAUUUUUUUUAUUAAUUUAUUUUGAAUAUUUUUAUGAAAAUAAUGCGUGAACGGACAAAACAAAAUUUUAUUGUGGAUUCAGUUAUUAUAGUAUUUUGAGUUUAAGGUUAACUAAGAUACGAACAGUUUCCUCUGGUUUGCAAAAGUUAUUUCAUCAAUGGUAGUGGGACAUUUAGACUCCACCAUCAUGAGUCGUAGAAUAAUACAUAUUCGUCUAUUAAGAAUGAGGAAUUAAUAAAACAGAAGCAAACCAAGUGAUUGUUUCCUCUGUAGGGAGGACAAGCAAUCUAAGGAUAAGAAAAAGGUUAAAACUUCAAGUUAUCCCAAAGCGAACAAAAAGAAGUAUAAAAACUUAUUAAAAUCUAAGUAUUUUUAUCAACAAGUGUUGGUUACAAUGGUAAGGUAUAUUGCAUUGCAGACGACAUUGUUGGAAGGGACAGUCAUGAACCUAAAACAUAGACCAUAAAACAUACAUGAAUAAUACCCAAAAAAAAGUCCAAGUGUUUCUUUUGUAAUAACAAAAAGAGCACUGCAAGGAAAAAUGCAAAGAGUGUAAGGAUUACCUAGCCUCUAAGGGUGAAGGUAUGAAACUUGAUUAUUGAAACUUGUUUAGCAAAAGACUUAAUAGACCACUAAGUCAUUGAUUAUAGAGUCACUAGUCAUGUUUGUAUUUCUUUGUAGGGGUUUAAGGAAACGAAAAAUCUUCAGGAUAAGAAUCUACCAUUGCGAACCGGAGAUGGGAGCUAUGUGGCUACAAAAACAAUCCGAGAAGUACAUCUUUAUUUUGAUAGUUUUAAGAAGAUUGCUUUGGGAGAUGUUUUCUAUGUACCAAACUUUAGAAGAAAUGUAAUUUAUAUUGCAUGUUUAUUUAAAGACGAUUAUACUGUGACUUUCUGUAAUGGUAUUGCAAUUCAUAGAAAUCAAUCUCUUAUCUCUAAUGGAGGGAUGCAAAAUAAUAUUUAUUUUAUCAAAUCAAAUAUGCACUUACUGCUAGAAAUUGAACUCGUAAAUAAGAAACUUGAAACUUCUCUCUAAUGAGGCAUACUCAUGGCAUCUAAGACUUUAUCAUAUUAAUGAAGAUAAAAUCAUUAGACUUGUGAAAGAUGAGACUUGAAGUUCACUUAAAAAGGUACAUAUUUCAUAAUGAGAGUCCUUCCUUAAAGGCAAAAUGAUCAAGUGACCUUUUAAUGCAAAAGUUACACAAACCGUUCAACCCUUAGAAUUUGUACACACUGAUGUAUGCGGUCUCAUGAACGUUAGUGCUUGAUAUGGUUACGAUUAUCAUGUAACUUUUAUAGAUGAUUAUUCCAAAUUUGAUUUGGUGUACCUAAUGCACUGAAGAGCGAAAUCUACAAUAAAUUCCAAGAGUUUCAUGCAGAAGUGAAGAAACUAUUAGAUUUUCCCAUUAAGGCACUUCGGUCUAAUCGAGGUGAGGACUACUUGUUAGAAGUCUUCUUAGGAUACCUCAUAGAAAAUGAAAUAUUAUCCUAAUUAAUUAUGUUGGGUACUCCACAAGAGAAUAACAUAGCAGAGAGAAGGAAUAGAACUUCACUAGGCAUGGUUUAUUUAAUGUUAAGUGAUUCACAACUGUCAAUAUUCUUUUGAGGAUAUGCAUUAUAGACAACUUGAUAUAUUUUGAAUGAUGUACCAACUAAGACCAUAUAAAACUCCCUACCAAUUGAUAGAGAAAGAAUCAAGAGUAAAGCAUUUGAGGAUUUGGGGAUUCCUAGCCUAUUGGAAAUAUUAGUCUAGAAAAUAGUAUUUUUAAGCAUAGCAAAAGAUUGAUUUUAUUUUAAAUUGAGCCCUUUUUAUAUUUAUAGUAAUAAAUCCAUAACUGAAAUUAUAUUUGUGUUUUAAACGAGGUGUUUAAAGUCAAUCCCACCUUUCUACCGAAUGAUUUUAUUAGCUAUUCUCGAACCCAAAUUGGUUUGAGUGGGGGCUCUUCAUAGAAAAAAAACAUUUUAUUCACUUUCAAUGGGAAAAUUUUAUAACAGGAAACUAUGCGUUUUCCCUAAAAAAAUAUUCUAUAAUAUAAUAUUUCACUAUUUUCUUAAAAAAUAAAGACGCUCAAUAGAGUGUGUACAAUUGGAAAAAAUUUAGGUUUGAAAACAAUUUUCUUACACAACGAAAAAUUAAAAUCUUGAAAAUUGACUCGGUUUGUGAUUUUUAUAGCAAUAAGCCCUAACCAAAUUCAUACCUGUGUUUUCAGCUUAGCGAAUGUUCGCUAUUCUCGACUUUCAACUAAAUGAUCUUCUAUUCUUGUACCACGAACUUCUUCGAGUGUGGGCUCGAACCAAUUGAAUCGAAACACAGAACUAUAAAAAGUUUUCUCUUUUAUUUAGGGUUAAAACAAAAUUUCUCUCUUCUUUAAUAGAAACUGGUAGAAUUCUUAUUCAGGAAAAAUAUGUUUAGUAGUUGAUAAUAAAUUCUCUUUAUUUUUUGGUAGAGUAACAAUCUCUCAAAGUUGUGUAUAAUACCAUACUAUUGUCAUCUAUUUAUAAGAAGAAAAGGUAGAACCAUUGUUUUGUUGUAGUGGUUUAUUUUAAAUAGAAAAAUAAUUUCUUAAUUAGAGUAGUAGUGGGGUGGACGACACACCCUAGUAUUCCUACUAGGGUUGUCACCCCCUUCAUGUUAUAUGAGGGGUUUUGGGCCUCUCUCACACCGGGUCCAAUUACGAGUACUUCUUAAACCUUUUGAAUCAGUACUCUAUAAUGUGAUCCAACUAGAUUUGGUUUUUCUAUUUACCAAAAUAAACUUUAAUAUUCUAUAUUAAAAAAAUUUCUCAUCCCUAUUUUACCCCCAAUAAAAAUUUAACGAUUUUCCCCAUUGUAAAAUUUUUGGCAAUUUUUCUCCUAAUAAAAGUUCGAGAAUAUAUAUUCAAUAUUUCAUAACUCAACAUGUUCACUGUGACUAAAUGAUUUAUUUUCAUUUUUGGGCUUCAAAAUAACUCAAAAAUAUAAACUUGUUUUUCCAAUCAUUUUUAAGUAAUCCAUAUAGAAUUGCAAAUGGAUCAUUUCCAUUUCCAUUUCUAUUUCCAUUUUUUGAAACCUACAUUCAUUUAAAAAUGAUUCCAUUUUUUCAUUUUGAAAAAAUCAUAAUCAUUCAUGAAUGUUUUUCAUUUCUCUUUUGCUUUUCAUUCUAUUCAUUUCUAUUCAAACUCGCAAUUCAUUUCUAAUUUCAACAAGCUAGCAGAAGGACUGAUUGUAUAUAUGUAAUUAGGGCUGAAAUGAUUUGUAAUUAAGUUUUCGCUUACCGCCUGUUACUUAUAAACACAUUUCGUCACAAAUUCAUUCCACUAUAGUAUCGUUAUUGAGCUCUACCUAAAGGCAUACCAUUACAAAAGCAACUACUUUAGUGCUCGUCCAAUGACAUUUUCAUAAGUGUGUCACCCUCAUAGGAUAUCCUUGAUCUUUUUGGGAUAAUAUCUGCUCUCCCAAUAUGAUCCUUUUUUUUCUCAUGGUAACCAUUACAUCUUCCUUCAUGAAAAAUCAUUCACUAUUGUCGAAACCAUUUUUUUGAUAAAACGGGUUCGACUUAAAUUGUGAAAACGAAAAUGGAGUCGCCACCGAUCCUUUUUGUUAGGUGUGAUCGGAUCACCUCGUAAUAGUUGUUUUAACAAAAUAUUUCGAUUUUAUCAAAACAAUGAUUUUGGUCUGGGAGUCGGUUACGCACGAGGAAGGGUUAGCACCCUUGAUGCGCCCAAAAAUUGGUACCUAAUCGAUUAAUAGAUGUCUAAAUGCCGAAAGUUGAAAUUUUUAAAAAAAUUUAAAAUACGAUCUUUUUUUAUUAAUGUAAGUUUAGAAAAAUCAUUUGAGCAAAUUAAAAAAAGAUCACAGACCCGCUUAUACCAAAGUAACGAAAUAUUGCAUCACGUAAGUUAGGACGCGGUAUUUGAAACUUUAGAGAAUAAGCUUGUCUUGAAUUUUAUUUAUAUUUCAUAUUUUGAAAUUUAGGAAGACAUUUCGCUGUUUAGGUUUGAUGAGAAAAAUUGAAACCCCGUGAGUUAGAGCACGAUUUCUUGGGUUACCUAAACGCGAACCGUUACCUUAUAAUGAAAUUUUUCAUUUUUGAAAUUUUAAGAAGGAUACUUUGUUAUUUAGGUUUAGCGAUAAAAUCGAAACCCCGUAAGUUAGGGUACGAUCUCUCGAAAACGCAAAGUUAUUGCCUUAUCGAGAUUCCUUUCAAUUUUUUUGAAAUAUUUUAAAAGGAUAUUUUGUUAUUAGUUUUAACGAGAAAGACCAAAACCUCGUAAUUUAGGGCACGGUUUUUUUCGUAUUUCUAACAUGCAAAAUAUUUCUUUAUUUUGGGAAAUUUUUCUUUUUGAGUAAAUAUGAAUAAAAUACUUAAGGGGCACAUGUGUAGUUCAUUAUGCUUUCAAAGAAAUCGUUAACACGUAAAAGGAACUAUACAUGGCUAUUAAUAAUAAUACAACAUACAUUGAAACAAAGGCCUAAUAUGCAUCAUAAAAUAAAAAUGUUUUAAUAAUACAACAUACAUUGAAACAAAGCCUAGCCUUGGAACCUCGUCGUCGUCUGCCGCAUCUUCACUGCAACACCACCGAGGACAGUGGCCGGAGAUAUGCGAGAAAAGGGCUUUUUAGCCCGUGCCCGUAAGAAAAGAAGAACAAAAAGGGGUUCUUCAUCGUCCCCUUCUUAAAACGAAGCCCAGGUACGUUUCUUUACUUUUUUUAUAUUUUUGAAUGUAUAUAAAAGAAUAAUAAAAAUAUUAAAAAGAAAAUUGCAUAAAUAUUGAAAACAGAAAAACGAAAGUACAAAAUCACCUUAGUUUUUGCUUUUUUAUUUCUAAUGUGCGUAAAAAUAUACAACGAGAAUAUUUUGGCUUUUAUAGCCAGGUUACAGCCCUUUAAUUUCUAUCUUUUUGUCAUCUUGCUAUUUAAAUUCUCUGUUGUUGCAUGUGGUUCGUUUUGCAGAUGUCAGACACGUGGAUGGCCAAUGAUAUGUGAGUCUUGAGCGAUGUCGGCGUGCGCGAGGGAGGCUGGCAGAACGUGAGGCACUGGGGCAGUGGGCAGAGGCGUACGGUGCUGAGGCAUUAGGCAGAGGCGUGCAACGCCUUAGGGUUUGCUUCUCUGCUGAAUGUUUGUUGUGGGCUGAUGUUGAUUUGGGCUUAAGGUUAUUAAUUGGUCUUGGGUUGUUGUUUGGGCUGGAUUUUGGGCUUGUUUUUUAUUUAUUAUUUUUUGGUUUUAUUUUCUGGUUUUGGCACUGGGCCCGGGUAAAAUUGGGCUAUUAUAACUAUCAAAUAAUGAUCAAGUCAUCCAUCACAUAGAGGAACGACAUGUUGCCACGUUUACUUUUAAUCAACCAUGUAAUGCAUAUGAGAUGAUAUCAUUUAUCCAUGUCUCGACCUAUGACUUUCACUAUUGUGAAUGACGCUAUAUACUGAAGAAGUCAUACACCCAAUGAAUUAGCUUUCAGUUUCGUAUCUAUUUGAACUCGAGUUUUUACUUACAUCAAAGUGUACAUAAUAAUUGUAACCUUCUCUUGCACUAAUACUCAUGGGGCCACAUAAGUUAGUUUGAACAAGUUAUAGGGGUUUUCUGACCCUUGAUCCUUUUCCAUUAAAAGAUCGCUUAGUUAUCUUACCUUCCAAGCAAGAUUCACAUUGUGGAAGAUCAACUUCUUUAAGCGAACUUAAGAUGUCAUCUUUGACAAGUCUAGUGAGUUUUUCUCAGUUAAUAUGACCAAGUAUCAAAUGCCAAAGGUAUGCAUUAGAGUGAGAAGUUUUAAGUCUUUUAUUUGAUAUUUUAGUCUCAAGUAAUGUGAAAGUCUUUGGUUUGAUAAAAUAAAGAUUAUUGACAUCCACCCAUUACAAUUAAGAUUGUGAGUCCAAAAUAUUACAAUUCCAUUGUUAAAAGUCACGGUCAACAUAAAUUAAGAUUGCGAUUUGAAAAUAUUGCAAUUCCAUUACAGAAACAAGCAACAUAAAUUACAUUUCUUUUGAAAUUUGAUACAUAGAAAACGUCUCUUAAAAUAAUCAUCCUAAAAUUUUCAAAAUAAAGAUGUACAUCUCCCAUUACUUCAUCUACCACACUUGUCCCGUUCCUAGACCACAACGAUAAGCUCUUAUAUCUAAGAUCCUUUCUUUCCUCAAACCCCUAUAAAUAAACACAAACAUGAUUAGAGGCUCCCGAAUCAAUGACAUAGUGCUCUAUUGAAUCCUUCACUAAACAAACUUCUAUCAUCAAGAGUUCCAUGCCUUUAACUUUGGUGGUCAAAUAUUCCUUCCACUAUUUACAUUUUGGCUUGAAGUGUCCUUUCUUGUUGCAGAAGAAGCAUCUAGACUUAGAUAAGUCUUUCAGCUUCCUAGUUCUCUUCCUUUCCACAUAUGGUGGCCUCGAGACCAUAGCCAUGCCUUUCUUAGCACGCUUUGUAACAACCCUUACCCGUCUCUGUCACCUGAUUAGGGUUACGAAAUGCUACCAUACAAAAUAGGAUAGAAACAAGCUAUCACAAUUCAAAUUUUAUUUUUAAAAAAUUAUUCAUUAAAAUCUUGAAAAUCUACAAUAAAUUCCAAGAGUUUCGUGCAUAAGUGAAGAAACUAUUAGAUUUUCCCAUUAAGGCACUUCGAUCUAACCAAGGUGAGGAAUACUUAUUAAAAGUCUUCUUAGGAUACCUCAUAGAAAAUGAAAUAUUAUCCUAAUUAAUUAUGUCGGGUACUCCAAAAGACAAUAACAUAGCAGAGAGAAGGAAUAGAACUUCACUAAGCAUGCUUUAUUCAAUGUUAAGUGAUUUAAAUUAGUUCUAAACAAUAGUAUAUUGUCAAAAUUUGAAGCACAAUUAUAACUAUUUCAUAUAAACAAGUCUACCAAUUCUAAUUUAUUAAACAAAAAUUAUCUUAAUUAAAAUGUUAUUUCAAUAAAAUGUUUAAAUUUCACCUAAAAAAAUCUAUUAAUCAUAUUUUAUUAAAUGAAAAUAAUCUUCAAUGAGUGGAAUUAAAUAUAUCAAUUCAAUAAACUAUUAUGUUCCCUGAUUAAAUACUUUACUAUGAAUUUGGAACAUUAUAAACUUAUAAAUUCAUUACUUGAAUUUAAUAACUUAUUAUUAAUUAAUUUAUUUAUUUAAUUUGAUAACUUAUAUUGAUUAAUUGAACUUGUUAGAUUUAUGAACAACAUAAUUAGUCAUGUGAAAGAAUGUACAGUAAAAGAUGCAUAAAAAUAAUAAUGUGUGCACCAACUAUAUGUUUUUUUUUAAUUUUGUUGUUUGGAUCUUUAAUUCUUUUUUUCUGAACAUAAUUUUUAUUUUUUUAUUUGAUGGAAGUACAUAGUAUAAAUUUUAUGCAAGUGUAUAACAAUUGUCUUUCUAUACUAGACAAAUUCUUGAAUAAAGUUAUUAUACAGAAGGUUCGACUGUUUAAUCAAAAUCUAAAGUCUUUAGUGAAAUCAUCUAGGCCUUCAUUAUCGUAUCUUACGCCCCAUUACAUGAUUGGCGGGCCGAUGAAGCAAAUGAGAAUGUUGACAAGCAGGAUUUGCACUAUUUUUUCUCUUAAUUUAUCCAAUUCUCUAUAAUAGUCACCCGUUAUAAUAAUAUUUUAUUAUAAUAGUUAAGUUUCUAGUGGAAUCAGUUUUUUUAUGUUUUAUUUUAAUCUUGUAUAAUAGCAAGAGAUACCAAUGUCCCAAGAAUUAAUUUUUCCUAUAGGACAUGCUUUCAGUUAUGUUAGCUAUAGGACGUGUUUUGGUAUAAAUUAACAAUUCAACUUUGUUGGUUAGAUGGUUAAAUAUUAAUAUUUUUGUUCUUAAAUUUCGUGUUUGAUUCGUCUUCUACUCAAGGACAAAAGUAUUAACAUUUAACCAUCUGAUCAAAAGAGUUGCGUUAUCAAUUUUUAGGAUGCGCUUUCAGCUGAUAUGACUGAAAGCAUAUCCCGUAGGUCACGUUUUUCUUUCUUUCUCCAAAAACAACAUAUUUUUUUUCUUUUUCAGCAUAUAUACAUAAAUUAGCCUUUUAAACCAUACUUGAGUAUCAAAUAAUAUUUCAGUAUUUUUUAUAGGAAAUGUUUAAAUCAAAUAACUAAAAAGAGAAUAAAAAACUCAAAUGUAAAAGGGUUGAUGAGAUUAUUCAUAAAUACGAAAUUUGUUUUUAUAAAUAUACUUACAUAAAUACAUAAUGGAUGUGACAUAGUUGAUGUUUGUUUUUAUUUUUCAUGUGUAGCACUAUCAAAUCUACUUGCACCAAAAUUCUAACCCAUACGAUAAUUCAUUACUUUAGUUGGCGCAGCAAAUAAUGAGAGCGGGAUUUGUGCCCAAAAUUAUCUUAUUUUCCAUUGUGUGAUUGGAUGACAACUUCCAUCCCUCCAUGCCUCAAAUAUCUAAACAUACAUUGAAAUCAAUUUUUCUUAUAUUUCUUAAUUCCUUUACUUCUUAACAAUUCUCCCUCUUUGUCUCAGAUUUAUGUAUAAUUUAUCAAGAGUCUACCUUUUUUUUAAUUCUUAAAUCUAAAAUCUUAAUAUUAAUCACUUCAAAUAUUCAUAUAUAAUGGGCGUCGAAAAUAAGUUUUAUAUACCACUAACUAGUUCACUUUCCAAGUAAGGAUAUAAGUCCCAAUUGUUGACACCAUUUUUUUUAUUCAAAACGGGGUUGACUUGGGGUUUUGAAAAAUGAAACGGGAGUCGCCACCAAUCUUUUUUUAUGAGGUGUGAUUGGAUUACCUCGAAAAGUGGUUGUUUUUAAUAAACGGUUUGAUUUGAUUAAAACAAGUUUGGUCCACGAAAUUCAGAAAACGGGUUCGGGAGUCGGUUACGUACGAGGAAGGAUUAGCACCCUCGUAACACCCAAAAAUUGGUACCUAGUUGAUUAACUAAUGUCUUGAUGUCGAAAAUUGAGAACUUUGACGAAUUUUAAAAAUACGAUCCUUGUAUUAAAACGUUGAAAAUUUCCAGGAAAAGGGGCAUAUUUCACGUUAUUCGAGAAAGAGGAUCAUAUCCAGUAAGUUAGGACACAAUGUCUCGAAUUCUCGAUACGUAAAUGAAUGCCAAAAUUUUACUUAUUUAAAAGACAUUUUAUUAUCUCGAGUUUAGGAAAGGGAUCAUGCCCAGUAAGUUAGGGUACGAUUCUCUCGAAUCUAAACACGAAAUAAUAUUUAUUCAAAACAAAUUUUGUUAUAUCGAGUAAAAUAAAACAUGAAAAUCGUAGUAAAAACAUGUGAAAGCAAAUUACAUUGUUAUGAUGCAUAGCUGAACCAUAAUGGGUACGAAAAUAUGAAAAUGAUACAAACAAUAGCACAAUAUAAAAUAAAUAAAAGGUUAAAUCUACAACGUUCAAAAUAACGAUCAUAUAUAAACGAAUUAAAUUAAAGCAUGCAUCCGAAAUAAUAAUGAAGAUGAAGUAAAUAAAUACUGAAUACAAUUCAAAAUGUAAAGAGGUAUGUAUACGUAUGUAAAUAUAAAUUAAAAUAUGUAUGCAUAUGUGAAUUAUAAAAUAUGUAGAAAAUACCUAUGUAGAAUAUAUUUUAAAAUAUAAAGAAUAUAAAAAAGUACAUAUAGGUGUAAGUAUGUAAAAUUAUGAAACAUAAAGAAUAUAUAAAAAAUUGUAUAUUUUUUGAAAGUAUGAAGUGUAUGCAAGUAUGUGUAUAUAUAUAUAAUAAAGGUGUAUGAAAGUAUAUUUUAUACACGUGUAUUUAUAAAAUGUGUAUAAAUAUAUAUUGAUUUACCAAUACAUAUGGAUAUAUAAUUAUAGAAUAUAUAUAUAAAAUAUUUACAUAUAUACGUUUAUGCGUAUAUAAAAGUAAGCUAUUAUAAAAUAUGAGCAAGCAUAAUACAUAUAUAUAGAGAGAAUAAAAAUGAAGUUGAAAACAAUAUAAAACUACUUAAUAUAUUAAUAUAAUAGUAACAAAAUAAAUAAACAGAAAAUAAAGCUAAUAAUAAUUAAUAAUAGUAGUAAUAAUAAUAAUAGUAAUAAUAAUAAUAAUAACACUAAAAUAAUUAAUUAAACAAUAAAAUUGCUAAAAAGGGUUUAAAUUGAAAUAAAAACCUAAAUACUGGGCGAUUUUGAUAUAAAUAAAAACUAAAAGGAUUAAAUUGCAACACACGCCAAACAUAGAGGGACCAAAAUAGUAAAUAAGCCGAAGCCCCGAAACGCGGCGCAACAGUGGGCCAAAUUGGAACAAAAAUAAAAUUCUGGGGCUAAAUUAAAAAUAAAAGGAAAUAGCGAAAUAGGACCAAAUUAAAACACGCCGCAAAUCGGAGGGACUGCACACGCAAAUAUCCCCCUUAUCGAAAACGCGCGGAUCCUCCCCAAGGUCGGGUCACCGCGCGGGUCAGAGACCAAAAUGACACCGUUUUGGUCUCUGAACCCUAAAUUCAAAAACGGCACCGUUUUACAGGGUAUUUAAACCCAUUUUUACAUCAAAAAAACACUUCAGCCGUUUUUAAAAAAAUAUAAAAGGGGAGCCCCUUUUCUCCCUAAGAAGUCCGGCCAUGUGGGUUUCCUUGGCCCCUGUUGCACCGCCGCUCGGCUCGCCGCACCGCCACCACCCCGACGACUGGCGAAGCGCCAGAAAGACGUUCAAAGCCCCAUCCUCCGGUGAGUUUCCUUUUUCCUUUCUUUUUUUUGAUUAUAAAUAUAUUAUGUAUAUAUAAGUAGAUGAAUAAAAGAAAAUAAAUAAAUAAAAGGUUUAAAAUCUGUAAAAAUGAAAACAAAAGGGAUCAGAAAUCACCUUUGAAACUUAUCUUUUAUUACUUUGGUAAUAUUUGUAUUUUUUUGAUACCUCAAAUUCUAACCCAAGAAGAAGAAAAAAACGGGGUACAUAUUAGGCUUUUUAUAGCUGAUUUUUGGCUACUGUUUCUGUUGUCUUUUUGUGUUGUUUUCUUUUUUGCAGGUGACCGGCGGCGCAAGUAGGGUGAUUGGAGCAAGUGGUGGUAGGUGCGACGCAGCAGUGGCGGUGGCAGAGGAGGCCAAGGGUCGAAGAGGGCGACGCCUAGGGUUUCAGUCUCUGAAACCCUAGGCUAAUUUUUUUAGAGAAAAUGGACCUGGGCUAUUGGGCUCCGGGUUUGGGUUAGGGGCAUUUAGGUUUGGGCUGGGUCUGCUGGGUUUGGUUUAAUUGUAAUUGGGCUUGGUGUAUUUGGGUAGGUUAAUUUGAAUUAAGCUUGGGCAUUGGGCCGGGCAAAAUAUGGGCUUCACAGCUGCCCCUCUUUGCUCGUUGUCGUGUAACGAGAACAGAGAAAAGACUAAAAAAGACCAAUUUUGCCCGGUCUCACCGGAUUUCGACUUCUUUUGACGCUUCUCUUCUUCAAGUAGCCACAUUUCAAUCCACUGUGUCUUGUCGCUUCAAUCCGCUCUACUGCACUUCAGCAAGAUCUGACUUGUAGCUUCAAUCUUCUUCAUAGCAACUUCAGGAGACGAGAUUCAUGGUUUUGGUCUACUCCACUGCAACGUCAGGGAGAUAAGGCUGGAUGCGAUCUGCUCUACUGCAACUGCAGAGAGAUAAGUUCUGUGGUUUUAAAUCCGCUCCACUGCAACUUUAGGGAGAUAAGAUUGGCUUCUUCUGUCUGUUUAACUGCAAUGUCGGGGAAGUAAGAUUCGCCAUCAUAACUUCAAUCUGUUUGACUGCAAUGUCGGGGAAGCAAAAUUUGCUGUCGUAGCUUCAAUCUGUUCCACUGCAUCGCCUGGGAAGUAAGAUUCGCCGUUGUGGCUUCAAUUUUUUUAAUUGCAAUGUCGGGGAAGUAAGAUUCACCAUUGUAGCUUCAAUAUGUUCCGCUGCAUCGCUUGGGAAGUAAGAUUCACCGUUGUGGCUUCAAUCUUUUGAAUUACAAUGUCGGGGAAGUGAGAUUCGCCAUUGUAGCUUCAAUCUGUUCCGUGGCAUCGCUUGGGAAGUAAGAUUCGCCGUUGUGGCUUCAAUCUUUUGAAUUGCAAUGUCAGGGAAGUGAGAUUCGCCAUUGUAGCUUCAACUUAUUCCGCUGCAUCACUUGGGAAGUAAGAUUCACCGUUGUGGCUUCAAUCUUUUGAAUUGCAAUGUCGGGGAAGUGAGAUUUGCCAUUGUAACUUCAAUCAUUGUAGCUUCAAUCUGUUCCGCUGCAUUGCUUGGGAAGUAAGAUUCGCCGUUGUGGCUUCAAUCUUUUGAAUUGCAAUGUCGGGGAAGUGAGAUUUGCCAUUGUAGCUUCAAUCUGUUCCGCUGCAUCGCUUGGGAAGUAAGAUUCGCCGUUGUGGCUUCAAUCUUUUGAAUUGCAAUGUCGGGGAAGUGAGACUCGCCGUUGUAGCUUCAAUCUGUUCCGCUGCAUCGCUUGGAAAGUAAGAUUCGCCGUAUGAUCUGUUCUUUGGGGAACAUGACCUAUAUGAACCUAUUUAUGCCUAGUGAUCAUGAUCGAAAAUGAAUCAGAAUAUCCUGGCUAAAUGUGUAUGCAUGAAUGCAAAAUGAAAAUGAUCUUUCAAUGUUUGAGUUAUUAUUGUCCCUUGCUCAAUAAGGUCUUUUUGCCAACGCGUCCGAAUGCUAUCUUGUCCGGUUGGUAAUGCUCAUCUCUUACUUGGUCAGAUUGCCCCAACUAUAAUCUUCAAAGUUCAACUCACUGAAUGCAAAAUGUGAAUCAUCUUUCUCCCUCUGUGACCCAAUAAUAGAAAGACCUGGCCUUUUCUCGUUCCUCUGUUAUCAUAAUUCAAUGAUACAGAAUGUGAAAACUCUUUGGUCUCCUACACUAUUCCCAGGGUGUCAUACCAAAUGUUUAUACACAAUUGCAAAAUUUUCUCCAAAAAAACCUCUUUUCAUCACUUGGUGAUUAUUGAAGCUUUGUCACCAAUAUGACAUCUUGCCAUUUUGUUUAAUCCAUGUUUGGACAACAAAGUUUGAAAGGAUAGUCCUAUCUUAGACUUUUUCCUUUUAGGCACUUUAGAUUUGGUGUGUUCUAAACAACAGUCCUGUUUCAGGUUCCUUCAUUUUUUAGAAAUUUCUAGAGUAAUAUGCAAAACUCCUUUUGCUUGAACAUUCAGUCCAUUAAUCGUUAUUUCAAAUGUUUUGAACAAGAUUAUCACAAUGGACCAACAAAAAUGUUAUUGAGAACAAAUCUCAAAAUGAAUAAGUUAGUUAAGAUGACAAAUUUUGCUAAGAUAAAAAACAAUAGAUAAAAUGGAAUUUUAUUGGGGAGCAAAACUUGAAAUGAAUACAUUAAUCAAGACAACAAAUUUUGCCAAAAUUCAAAAUAUAUAAGAUGACGACAGGUGCCCUAGAUAUCGCAGCAUGAGCUUCUCUGCAUAAGCUUUAAUAUGUGUUUAGGGAAUCUACAAUAUUUUGUCGAUGCCCCAAGAUGUCGCCUAUCCUUUCUUACUGAUUCAAGUAUAGUGAGACCUCCACAUGCCCCAGAUCUUGAUCAAAAUUUGAGCUAUUUCGUUCACUUCAUACCUCAUCAAAAUUUGAGUCGCCUUUUUUAGGUUUUCAACUCAAAUCCCCUUUGGUCUCAAGGCGCCCUUUAUGGGUUUUCACCUUGGCCUCUCCUUUUUUUUAAGCGAAAUAUUUCUUGACUGAAUUUGAGUUUACAGGAUUUGGCAGGUUUUUACCAUCCAUCUCGCUCAAGAUCAAAGCUCCUCCAGAAAAGGUCUUUUUUACCACAUAAGGACCUUCCCAAUUUGGCAUCCAUUUUCCUCAAAAAUCUUUUUUUAGAGGAAGAAUUAUUUUCAAAACCAGGUCCCCCUCGUAAAAUUCUCUGGGAUGAACUUUUUUGUUAUAGGCUCGUAUAAUUCAUUUCUGAUACAUCUGACCGUGACGAAUAACUUUUAACCUCUUUUCUUCUACCAAGUUUAGCUAGUCAUAUCGAGAUUGAAUCCAUUCAGCCUCAUCUAACUUUAGUUCAGCUAAUACUCGGAGAAAAGGGAUUUCUACUUCUAUGGGUAAAAACGCCUCCAUUCCAUAGACUAAAGAAAACGGUGUUGCCCCAGUAGAGGUCCUAAUGGAGGUACGAUAUGCCAGGAGGGCGAAAGGUAAUUUCCCGUGCCAGUAUUUGUAGGUUUCAGUCAUUUUCCCUACAAUUUUCUUGAUAUUUUUGUUAGCUGCUUCUACGGCACCAUUCAUUUUUGGGUGAUACGGUGACGAAUUAUGAUGUCUGAUCUUGAACUGACUGCAAACUUCUGCUAUUAAGUUGUUGUUCAAGUUCAGCGCAUUAUCGGAUAUGAUCUUUUCAGGCAUCCCGUAUCGACAUAUGAUCUCUUUUUUUAGAAACUUGCUAACCGCUGACUUCGUGACAUUAGCAUAUGAAGCAGCCUCCACCCAUUUAGUGAAAUAAUCAAUAACCACAAAGAUAAAACGAUGCCCAUUAGAAGCCUUUAGAGAUAUUGGCCCGAUGACAUCCAUUCCCCACAUGGAGAAAGGCCAUGGAGAAACCAUAACAUGAAGGGGUGAAGGUGGUGCAUGCAUUUUGUCACCAUAAAUCUGACAUUUAUGGAACUUUUUGGCAUAAUUAAUGCAAUCCCCUUCCAUGGUUGACCAAUAGUACCCAAAUCUCAUAAUUUGUUUAGCCAUCGUGAAACCAUUGGCAUGCGUCCCACAGAUACCUUCAUGUACUUCUUCCAAAAUUUUCUUGGCCUCGACAGCAUCCACACAUCUCAACAAUACUUGAUCUUUUCCCUUUUUGUACAAGAUAUCCCCAUCUAGGACAUAAUCAAUGGCUAAUCUCCUUAACGUCCUCUUAUCAUUUUCCGUCGCAUGGUCGGGGUAUUCACGACUUUUUACAUAUCGCAAUAUGUCCUGAUACCAGGGGUGAUCAUCUUUUUCCUCUUCAUCAUCAAUAUUGUAACAAUGGGCUAGAGUCUCAUGAAUACUAAUCUGGAUAGGCUUCAUAUCUUCUGGUUUGUUCACUUUGAUCAUAGAGGCUAGAGUGACCAAAGCAUCUGCCAUCUGGUUUUCAUCUCGUGGGAGAUAAUAAAUGGUGACACUGACAAAUUCCUCAAUCAAUUCCAAGACCAAUUUUUGAUAACAGACUAACUUCGGGUCUUUCAUUUCCCAUUCCCCUUUUAGAUGGUAAAUUACUAAUGCGGAGUCCCCGUAUACCUCUAGCACCUUAAUUUUCCGCUCUAUGGCUGCCCGGAUGCCAAUAAUGCAAGCUUCAUACUUAGCCAUGUUAUUUGUGCAAUCAAAGUCCAAUUUGCUAGUGAAAGGGUAAUGAUCUCCAGUAGGGGACACAAGUAUUGCCCCAAUUCUGUUGCCUAUAGCAUGUGAUGCUUCGUCAAAAUUCAGCUUCCAAGGACCACCUUCUUGAAAAUCUUUUUCUGCAAUUGCAACAUACAUCAAAUCCUCAUUUGGGAAAUCGAAGUUUAGUGGCUCGUAAUCCUCCAGAUCUCUACUUGCCAGGAAGUCCGCUAUUGCACUCCCUUUUACCGCCUUUUGGUUCACAUAGACUAUGUCAAAUUCAGAUAGAAUAAUUUGCCAUCGGGUCAUUCUCCCAUUCAGAGCAGUUGACUCCAUCAGGUAUUUUAGAGGGUCCAACUUAGAGAUUAACCUGGUUGUAUGGUACAACAUGUAAUGUCUCCAAGUUGUCCAGAUCAGGGCACAACAUAGCUUCUCAAUUGGCGAAUAUCUCGUUUCGCAUUCAGUGAACUUCUUGCUGAGAUAGUAGAUUGAUCUUUCUUUUCGUCCUGACUCAUCAUGUUGACCAAGCACGCAUCCCAUAGAAUUUUCAAAUACUGCCAAAUACAGUAUGAGCGGCUUGUCUGGCAGGGUGGCAUCAGCACUGGGGCGUUGGACAAGUAAUGUUUGACUUUUUCAAAAGUUUUCUGACAUUCCUCAUCCCAUACUCCUGGAUUGUGUUUCUUAAGGAGACGAAAUAUAGGGUCGCAUUUCUCGGUUAGCUGUGAAACGAACCGAGCGAUAUAGUUUAGUCUUCCUAGAAAACCUCGAACCUCUUUUUGAGUACGUGGUGGAGGUAAUUCUUGUAUUGCCCUUACUUUGUCAGGAUCAAUCUCAAUUCCUCUCUCACUGACCACGAACCCCAGCAAUUUUCCUGAUCUGACUCCGAAUGUGCAUUUCGCUGGAUUUAGUUUUAGCUGAAAUUUUCUCAACCUUGUAAAUAAUUUCUUAAGGACCUGCACAUGUUCCUCUUCUGUUUUAGACUUUGCAAUCAUGUCAUCAACAUAGACUUCUAACUCUUUAUGCAUCAUAUCAUGGAACAGUGUUACCAUGGCCCUCUGAUACAUUGCCCCCGUAUUUUUCAACCCAAAUGGCAUCACUUUGUAACAAAAGGUCCCUCAUAGGGUUAUGAAUGUAGUUUUCUUCAUAUCCUCAGGAUGCAUCUUGAUUUAGUUAUAUCCAGAGAAACCAUCCAUGAAAGAAAACAGCGAAUGCCCUGCUGUGUUGUCUACCAAGGCGUCGAUGUGCGGCAAGGGGAAGUUAUCUUUUGGGCUAGCCUUAUUUAAAUCUCUAUAAUCUACACACAUCCACACCUUCCUAUCCUUCUUAGGGACAGGUACGAUAUUGGCUUCCCACUCGGAAUAUUUGACCACUUGCAGGAAUCCAGCAUCGAAUUGCUUUUGCACCUCCUCUUUUAUUUUUAAUAAAACAUCAGGCCUCAUUCUUCGGAGUUUUUGCUGAACAGGCUUGUAAUCUGCCUUUAUAGGAAGACGGUGAACUACGAUAUCAGUGCUUAACCCAGGCAUAUCUUGGUAUGACCAUGCGAAGACAUUUUUGAACUCUCGAAGCAACUCAAUGAGGUCUUGUUUUACUUCUUCAGUUAUGCACGUGCCAAUCUUCACCACCUUUCCCUCUUCUAGGGUCACCGUCUCUACCGUCUCCUCAUGAGGCAGGAUUUAUUUUUCUUCCUGCUCUACCAUCCUCAAUAGGUUCGGAGAUAGGUUGCAAUCUGUGUUAUCUUCAAAAUCUUGAGAUUGCUCUAAACACAUAUCUCGGUCAAAAGAAUUUUCUGAGUCCAUAGUAGAGUCACUCAUGUCAUUGAUAUCUUGGGACCUGUUAUGGGUACCGAAGAAUGUACAGGGAAUGUAUGAAUUUAAAAGUUCUUAUUUAGUAUGAUUAUGAAUUAAUGAAUGAAUGAUUUGGAAUAAAAGGCAUUCAAGAUGACUAUUCAUGCGAAAUAAUGAAAAGAGUUUCAAAAUAAUAUAUACUCAAAAAGAAAAUACGAUGAUAUAUUUCAUUGAAGUCACAAUGUUCAAACAUAAGCCCAUUUCAUUUCACAAAAGUUUUCAUUUUCUCUAGGCUUAAACAGUUAGUAUGUCUUGAAUAUUACUCUGGAAAAGCUCUAAAAACUUCAGGCAUUUCUUCUGCAGUCCAAUUGUUUAAAACACUCCCAGGUUCAAAGGGACAGAUGCCUGAUGUACUUCCUUCUUUAGAUUCUUCUUCAAAUAUGGCAUUGAUGUUCAGGUUUCCUAACAUCUCCUCUGUGGUAUUCUCUCUUGGAAUCCUUAGUCUAGAAUACAUGGUCCCUCCCGAUACGAAGGUCCUGGAUAAGUGGGGAAAAGCCAUAGGUUCCCAAUCAACUUUUUCUCCAUUCAAACGCGCCUUCCUCCUCUCUUGUCUUUUCUCCAACUCUUUUGUUCUUUGCUUGGCAUUUGGCUUAAACCCUAAACCAAAACGAUCUUGUUUGUCCUUCACCACUGGUGCGUCUAUCCUUUCUUGAAGACAUCUUUCCAGUCCUCUUCCAGGCACAGGUCCUUUCCCAACUGUCAUUCGUAGUCCCAUCCUCGUGGCCCUAAAUAUGCUGGGCAUCAGGAUCUUCUUUCCCUCAAUGACAAAGGUCGCAUUUACGAACUCUAGGGAUCAAAAGGAACAUUCGACCGCCUCAUCAUUCAUUCCCAAGUACGGUGCAUCACUUGUUACCGAUGCAAUGAUGUCUUUGUCAGCAUUAAUCGUAAUCAACCGGCCUUCUGUUACCAAUUUCAACUUCUGGUGCAAUGAUGAAGGCACCGCCCCCGCUGAAUAAAUCCAGGGUCUUCCCAACAAGUAAUUAUACGAAGGCUUGAUAUCCAUUAAUAAGAAGUCCACCUCGUAUGUAUUCGGGCCAAUCCAGAGAGGUAUUUCUAUUCUUCCUAUUAUGCUCAUUUCAGUACCAUCAAAUGCCCUCACUAUGUUCUGGCAUGAUUUCAUGUGGGAGCUGUCCACCGGCAAUCUGCUUAAGGUGGAUAGGGGCAAGACAUUCAGGGCUGAUCCAUUAUCAAUCAACACACCUGGUAACAUAUAUUCUCCGCAACGAGUGGUGAUAUGUAAGGCUUUGGUGGCUCCUCUCCCUCCCGGCGAUAUUUCAUCAUCAUUAAAGAAAAUGAAAUUGUUGGCACUUAUAUUGCUAACCAAUCGGUCCAACUUGUUCACUGAGAUAUCAUGUGCGACAUAAGUUUCAUUUAGCACCUUAAUCAACGCAUUACGAUGUAUUUCUGAACUUAGAAGUAAUUCGAGCACUGAGAUACGAGCCGGUUGCUUAUGUAAUUGUUCUACCACGCUGUACUCGCUGUGUUUCAAGAAUUUUAGAAAUUCUCUAGCCUCAUUUUCAGUUACCGGCUGAUUGACAUGGGAUUCAACUUUGUCUGUUUUUACUUUUUCCAGCUCAACUGCUAAGGCUUUUCCUUUUCUAGAUUCCACUUUUGCACUUGCCGGAUCAUAGCGCUUUCCACUUCGUGUAUAGAAUCCUUCAUUUUCUUCUGAAGCAUUUACCAAGCUCUCUUUUCCUGGAAUUGUCACAUUGCAGUUGUAAUUUCAAGGAACCUUUUUGCUAUCCUUGUAGGGAAAGGAUACAGGUUUUUGGAUUAUGACCUUUGGCGUUGUCUGUAUUCCGGAUUCUGUGUUCAUUGGCUUUGAAAUAAUAACCACUGGGUGGUUAACCUCUUGGGCUUUCUUCGCAGAUCCUUCCUCUGAAGCACAAACUUCUCCCUCUUCUAGUCCCUUGAUUUCUUCAUAAAACUCCAAUUCUUUGUUGUCCAUUAAGUUUUGCACCAUGGUUCUGAACUCGGUGCAUUUUUGGAUGUCAUGGCCUUCUUCUGCAUGGAACUCACAUAACUCCCUUGCUCAUUCAUGCCUUUCUACCGAAUCUUGCUUGAUGAGACCUUUUUUCACCAUUUGUUUCCAAACCCAUCCAAGAGGGGUCCUUAUCUCAGCUAUGUUUGCCUUGACUCUCCUUUCUUUCUCAAUUAUCGCGUUCACCCCUUUACUAUCAUGAGUGGGCAACGGAUUCUCUGCUACAUUUGGUCCAGAUGAUUCACCAAUCUUGACGAUCCCCAAAUUGAUAAGUUUUUCAACUAACUUCUUGAAUGCAGUGCAAUUCUCAAUCGAGCGCCCCUUAGUCCCUACGUGAUACUCGCAUUGAGCGUUUGCGUCAUACCACUUAGGGUACGGAGGUUGCAUAGGUUUCAGGUAAAAUGGGGAUACCACAUGUGCAUCGAAUAAGUUCUGGUACAAUUCUCUAUACAUCACUGGGAUGGGUGUGAAUUGGGGUCUCUCUAUAUUUGGCCUUGGAUUGGAUUCCUGUUUCGAAGAACCCUGCUGAUUAGCGGUUACUAUUCUGCCUUGCCCCAUCAUGAUUGAUUUAGAGUGGUCCUUGUUAAACAUGCUUGUAUUUUUUAUCUCGUACUCCUUCUUUCUUGGUGCUGACCUUUUAGUACUUUCUCCUACUUCUAUCUUGCCACUCAUUAUGGCGUUCUCUAUCAUUUCUCCAGACAUCACUAUGUCUGAAAAGCUCUUAGUGGCACUGCCCAACAUGUGAUUGAGAAAUGGGGCUUUCAAAGUGUUGAUAAAAAGCAUGGUUAUCUCUUUCUCUAAAAGUGGUGGUUUAACUUGCGCUGCUACCUCCCUCCAUCUCUGAGCAUACUGUCGGAAGCUCUCAUUAGGUUUCUUUUCCAUAUUUUGCAAUACAAUUCGAUCAGGUGCUAUAUCCAUCACAUGUCUGUACUGUUUUAUAAAGGCCUGCGCCAAAUCUUUCCACGAAUGGAUGUUGGCCUGACUCAAUUGAUUAUACCAUCUAGCCGCUGACCCGAUCAAACUAUCCUAGAAGCAGUGAAUCAGCAGUUGAUCUUGUUGAUAUACCUAGUCAUUCUUCGAUAAAACAUAGUGAUAUGAGCUUCGGGACAACUUGUUCCGUCAUAUUUCUCAAAUUCAGACAUUUUAAAUUUAGGAGGGAGGACUAAAUUAGGUACCAAGCUCAGAUCUUUAGCGUCCAUUCCUCGGUGGUAAUCAGCAUUUUCCAUGGCUUUAAACUUUUCCUCUAGCCAUUUACACUGGUCCUCUAAUUACUUUGACAGAUCCACUUUCACUUUCUCCACUUCUACCACGUCAUCGAGGUCAGGGACCACGAGAUUGGUAGGAUUCUCCCUGGGAUUAUUACCUAAUCUGAUUUGAAAAUUUAUUGGCAUUAAAGGAUUCGUCUGAAACUACUGAGGUUUGAUUGUAACAGAGGAUCUUUGUGGGUAGAACUCAGCUUGAGUAUGCGCGUGCGGAGGGGUAAAGCCUGGAGGGUAAAGGGGUUCAUCAUUGUUUCCCUCUUCAUUAUUAACUACAAGAUCCUUUCCCUUGUCAUUUCCUCCUUUCAAUAGCUAUGUUAACUUUGCCAUCAUGUCAUUUUGGGAUUCCCGCAUCUUUUCUGUCAUAUCUCGCUGAAUCUUUUCCAAUCGCUCUUGCAUUUGAUCUUGCAUAUCUCUUUGCAGCAGUUCAAGUUUUUCUAAUCUUUGAUCCAUGCUCUUUGAUUUCGCUCAAGUUCCGUAGGGGUGUUGAUUUUCCAGGUUAACUGAAAUAAUUUUAUUUAAUUAGGGUCCUUUAAUGGUCGUUGAUACAUAUGAUGUGAUGCAAUGCAUGAAAUGGAUGCAAAAAGAAAAGGCGUUGACUCUAAUUCAAUUUCAUUUAGAAAACUUUACUGAAAACAAACUUCUUUACAUAAGGUGGAUUACAGAUACGACUUAGCCCUAAUACUUAAAACUCUAAUCUUCCUAAGUAACGAAGCUAGCUCCUGUCCUCGACUUGACUCCAAUUCGUACUUCACGCUCAACACAUCAGCUUCUACUGCUAACAUCCGCAGAUGAUCACCUAUCUCCCGAAUUUGAACCACAGCUUCUCCCAUAAUGUGAUCUCUAUCUCUUACUUGGUUCUGGAAGUAGUGCAACUGCUCGGUUUGACGAUCUUUAUUAGUUUCCAAGUACUUAAUCUGGAUUUCGCAAUUUUGUAAUGCUGCUUCUAACUCUUCAAUUCUUUCUUUCAUUUCUUUAAUUUUAUUUAGGCUUGCCUUCAAUUCCAUCACAAAAUUCUGAUUUCAAUGCCGAUGGAGAGAUCCUUCUAAUUCAGUCACUCUAUUUUCUAGUUCCCUCUUUUCUUUCUGAUUCUCUGACAAACUCCUCUUUAGAGCCUCGUUCUGUGCUUGAACUUUUUGGAACCUCCUUUCCCAUCUAUCGGCUUUGUUUCUUUCUUCUUGAAUCUCCUUGCGCCACUACUCAGAAGUCUUUCCUAAUCCGGCAGUCCUCAUUGAUAACCGCAACUUCUUGUAAUCUAUUUUUAGACUAUCUAGAUCUUCUUCAACCCUAGCUUUUCCUUUUCUUAACCGCUCCACCUCAAGCUUCUGGAUAUCUGCAUCCAAUCUCAAGUUCAUUUUUUCUUCUUCCAUCUACUCUAGCUGCUUUUCCAACUCUGCAUUUCUUCUUUCAAAAUCCUGCUUUAAAAUUCCCAGUUCAGAAGGGACGACUCGUAAAUGUUCCUCUAACGACUGAUUGCCUUUGUGACUGGAUUUGUGGAUAUUGUCAUUGAUUCUUCUGACCCUCCAUUCAUCGUACUCAGGAGUCGUCACUGGUCCUACAGCCAAUCUCUUCAUUCGACGAGUCUGGUUCCACGCAUUGGAUAUCUCUCGAAUCCUCUUUUGGUAGCCAUCACCCCCGUACGCGAAUUCACACCCGGCUAGUCCCUGGGUUACGGGUAUAAACUGUCUUGACCUGUAUUGUCUGAGCACUAAUAACGGGGCAUAACCAAUAGCUCCCCAGAUUCCAAGCAAAUGGACCCAAUAAAAAUCACCACACUGAUACAAAAUUUCGUCUGGAAGUAACCACGGAGCUCUCCACUCAAUGUCCUCUUCUUGCAGGCUCUGAAGAAUUACCAUCCAUUUUUCCAUCGAAAUGUCAUCUCUUCUCAGUGUACCUACUAUCUCCUUUAGUGGCGAAUAGUUUUCAGAGAAGACCCGAUAUGACACAUUAUCCAUUUUCCAAAAAUGACUGUGGAACCACACAAGUAAUAAUUGUGCACAUCCAACGAAUCUGCCUUCACCCGCUCGUCGACAGGCAUUCAAUGAUCUGAAUUUUUCCACUAAAAUUGCUGGAACCGGAGUAACUCCCUUGUUGAGACGGUCGAAUAAAUCAGUGAUUGCCUCAUCAAUAUGCCCCAAAGCUCUGGGGAAGAUAACUAAGCCGUAUAUGCUCAAAGCGAAGACAUCUACCCUUUUUUUUACAUCUGGAUGCACUAGGACCACAUCUUUCAAAUUCCUCCAAGAAAUGCAUUUGUUAUCCCCUUUUUGUUUAAUUCGGGCUGUGACCCACUGCUCACUCAUACCUGUUAUGUUCAUUAACCUUCUAAAAAAGGGUGCAUUUGUAGCUUUCGAGUAGAUUCUGUCGACUUGACUCUUCGAACACCGAAGUAAAGCCAUAUAUUCUUCUAUCGUAGGCACUAAGUCGACUUUCCCAAACGUAAAACAACUGUAGGUGGGGUUCCAAAAUUGUGCUAGAGCCCAGAACAGGUGUUUGUCUAUCUUCAUAUCUAGCAAGUACGGUAAAUCCCCAUAAUCAGAAUAGAACAAUUGUCUGUCCUCCUCGUUCCACUGGUCUCAAAUUUCUUUCAACUCUUGCAAAUUGUUCUAGGUUACGCUGAUACGGGUGAAGUCCCAUAACUCAGAUUCAUAUCCUUCAACCAGACUAUCUCCUUUCUCCCGCUGCGUCGUUUCUGACCAAGUUUGCACCGCCGCAUUAUCUUCCACCUUAUCAAGAAAUCCCCUUUCCAUGAUAAGAUUUCUUUCUAGAAACCAAAUAUGAACCAACGCCUUUUAUAAUGAAAUGGCAUGCAGUUAAAAUGUCAUGCAUCCAAAGUAAAAUAGCAAACAUUAGUAUCAAGUAUAAGUAUACAAUCCAAAGUAAUUCAGAAAGAAUAAAAGCACCUAUCAGGGUAUGUACUAGGGUUCGGUGUAGUUCUACCUAGGGCGAGUCUCUAUAGUUCACUACAUGAGGUUUAGCUCUAAAGUAAGGGUACCUAAACCAGCAGAUUCCUCGAUCUUCACCUACUAUAGGCUCAUAUAGACCGAGUUCGGUUCAGGGGAAUACAUUUCCCUAUGGCUGCACAGAGAUGAAAAUCUCACGAAGACAUAGGUACAGAUGUAUCCCGGAAGCGAUCAACUGUCCUGCACGGAGGUGAAACCUCACGAAGGAGUAGUUUCUCACUCCCACUUAGAACGGUGUGACCAAAGGUCAUGCAAUGCAAUAUGCAGCAAGAUACCAAAAUUUAAAUCAACACAACAAUUACAACGAUGAAAAUUGUGAUAAAAACGAAUGAAAUGCAAUGAAAGGAUCGUAUAUUUAAAUCAAGUUUUCAAUUUUCAACAAAAAGACAAAAGAUAAUCAACUCGUGGCUCGACUCACUUAUUUUAUGUCCUCAGCGGAGUCGCGAAGCUGUUGACACCAUUUUUUAUUCAAAACGGGGUCGACUUGGGGUUUUGAAAAAUGAAACGGGAGUCGGCACCAAUCCUUUUUUAUGAGGUGUGAUUGGAUUACCUCGAAAAGUGGUUGUUUUUAAUAAACGGUUUGAUUUUAUUAAAACAACAAGUUUGGUCCACGAAAUUCAAAAAACGGGUUCGGGAGUCGGUUACGUACGAGGAAGGAUUAGCACCCUCGUAACGCCCAAAAAUUGGUACCUAGUUGAUUAACUAAUGUCUUGAUGUCGAAAAAUGAGAACUUUGAAGAAUUUUAAAAAUAGGAUCCUUGUAUUAAAAUAUUGAAAAUUUCCAGGAAAAUGGGCAUAUUUCACGUUAUUCAAGAAAGACAAUCAUAUCCAGUAAGUUAGGACACAAUGUCUCGAAUUCUCGAUACGUAAAUGAAUGCCAAAAUUUUACUUAUUUAAAAGACAUUUUAUUAUCUCGAGUUUAGAAAAGGGAUCAUGCCCAGUAAGUUAGGACACGAUCUUUUCUUAAUUCUCGAGAUCGUUUUAAAACUUGAGUUUAAAAAGAUUCGUGUAUUUAGAUUUAUUGUGAAAAUCGAAACCCAGUAAGUUAGGGUACGAUUCUCUCGAAUCUAAACACGAAAUAAUAUUUAUUCAAAAGAAAUUUUAUUAUAUCGAGUAAAAUAAAACACGAAAAUCGUAGUAAAAAAAUGUGAAAGCAAAUUACAUUGUUAUGAUGCAUAGCUGAACCAUAAUGGGUACGAAAAUAUGAAAAUUAUACAAACAAUAGCACAAUAUAAAAUAAAUAAAAGGUUAAAUCUACAACGUUCAAAAUAACGAUCAUGUAUAAACAAAUUAAAUUAAAGCAUGCAUCCGAAAUAAUAAUGAAGAUGAAGUAAAUAAAUAGUGAAUACAAUUCAAAAUGUAAAGAGGUAUGUAUACGUAUGUAAAUAUAAAUUAAAAUAUGUAUGCAUAUGUGAAUUAUAAAAUAUGUAGAAAAUACCUAUGUAGAAUAUAUUUUAAAAUAUAAAGAAUAUAAAAAAGUACAUAUAGGUGUAAGUAUGUAAAAUUAUGAAACAUAAAGAAUAUAUAAAAAAUUGUAUAUUUUUUGAAAGUAUGAAGUGUAUGCAAGUAUGUGUAUAUAUAUAAUAAAGGUGUAUGAAAGUAUAUUUUAUACACGUGUAUUUAUAAAAUGUGUAUAAAUAUAUAUUGAUUUACCAAUACAUAUGGAUAUAUAAUUAUAGAAUAUAUAUAAAAAAUAUUUACAUAUAUACGUUUAUGCGUAUAUAAAAGUAAGCUAUUAUAAAAUAUGAGCAAGCAUAAUACAUAUAUAUAGAGAGAAUAAAAAUGAAGUUGAAAACAAUAUAAAACUACUUAAUAUAUUAAUAUAAUAGUAACAAAAUAAAUAAACAGAAAAUAAAGCUAAUAAUAAUUAAUAAUAGUAGUAAUAAUAAUAAUAGUAAUAAUAAUAAUAACACUAAAAUAAUUAAUUAAACAAUAAAAUUGCUAAAAAGGGUUUAAAUCGAAAUAAAAACCUAAAUACUGGGCGAUUUCGAAAUAAAUAAAAACUAAAAGGAUUAAAUUGCAACACGCGCCAAACAUAGAGGGACCAAAACAGUAAAUAAGCCGAAGCCCCGAAACGGGGCGCAACAGUGGGCCAAAUUGGAACAAAAAUAAAAUUCUGGGGCUAAAUUAAAAAUAAAAGGAAAUAGCGAAAUAGGACCAAAUUAAAACACGCCGCAAAUCAAAGGGACUGCGCGCGCAAAUAUCCCCCUUAGCGAAAACGCGUGGAUCCUCCACCAGGGUCGGGUCACCUCGCGGGUCAGAGACCAAAACGACGCCGUUUUGGUCUCUGAACCCUAAAUUAAAAAACGGCGCCGUUUUACAGGGUAUUUGAACCCAUUUUUACAUCAAAAAAACACUUUAGCCGUUUUUUUAAAAAAAUAAAAGGGGAGCCCCUUUUCUCCCUAAGAAGUCUAGCCAUGUGGGGUUCCUUGGCCCCUGUUGCGGGUUCCUUGGCCCCUGUUGCGCCGCCGCUCGGCUCGCCGCACCGCCACCACUCCGACGGCUGGCGAAGCUCCAGAAAGGCGUUCAAAGCCCCAUCCUCCGGUGAGUUUCCUUUUUCCUUUCUUUUAUUUUUAUUAUAAAUAUAUUAUAUAUAUAUAAGCAGAUGAAUAAAAGAAAAUAAAUAAAAAAGGUUUAAAAUCUGUUAAAACGAAAACAAAAGGGAUCGGAAAUCACCUUUGAAACUUAUCUUUUAUUACUUUGGUAAUAUUUGUAUUUUUUUUGAUACCUCAAAUUCUAACCCAAGAAGAAGAAAAAAAGGUGUACAGAUUAGGCUUUUUAUAGCUGAUUUUUGGCUACUGUUUCUGUUGUCUUUUUGUGUUGUUUUCUUCUUUGCAGGUGACCGGCGGCGCAAGUAGGGGUGAGCAUUUGAUCAAAUCGAAUCGAAUAAAAAAUUUUCGAGUUAAUCGAGUUUUCGAAUCUCAUUUUAUCAUCCUAACUUUAUUUGAAGUUUUCUCAAAUCGAGUCGAGUGAGAUGAAAUUCGAAUCGAAUCGAAACGAAUAUAUCUGUUCGAGUUAAAUUUUAAAAAAUAAUUUUGGGUCCUUGUAACCAUUAUCACCCAUCGUAAUAAAAUUUGCCCACAUUAAUCAAAUUUUUUAUUAACUUUCAUCACUUCAUAAUUUAUUUAUUAUUUUUUUAUAUACUGGUUAGCUUCUUUGCUUGCUUAGUUGUUUCAAUUAUCUUCAUAUUUUUGUCACUAUGUAUUUUGGAAUUAAAAAAUAUAUUAAAUGUAACAUAUGAUUUUUUUAAGAAAAUUUAUUUUAAAAAUAAAAUGUGAAAUUGAUACCAAUAUAAAAUUUUAACAUGAAUAUUUUAUGGCAUAAUUAGUAAUUCAAUUUUAAUAUAAAUAUUCAAUAUGACUAAACAUUUCAAUAAUAUAAAUAAUAUAAAAUGUGAAAUUUAAUUUAAUAAUAUAAAUAGUAGAUAUAAAUAAAAUUAUUACUAUUUAUGUUUAGUGAAUUUUUUUGGAUAAUUUUGAUUUUUUAUUUUUGAGUAAAGGGUGAGAAGUAAAAGUUUAGGGGGAAAAUAAAAAAGUUUUGGGGAAUAAAAGUUUGAGGGAAAGUAAAUAUGGGGAGUAAAAUUUUGGAGGGAAAAUAUUAAAAAAAAAUUGGAGGGGGGAGGGUUUGGGGUAGAUGAGAGGUGGGAUGGGAAAGGAAUAAAAGUUUUAGGGGAAAAGUGGGAGGGAGUAAAAAUUUUGGGAGAAAAUAAAAGGUUUUGAUGGUUUUUGGGAGUAAAAUUUUGAGAAAAAGUAAAUGGGAGAGUAAAAUUUUGGUGGGAAAUAGAUUUUGGGUAGAUUGGGGGGUUGGGAGGGGAGGGGAGUAAAAGUUUUGGGGGGAAAGUAGGAAGGAGUAAAAGUUUUGAGGGAAAAGUAAAUAGGUUUGGGAGUUUAGGGUAAAAAUGUAAAUUAUUAUAGUUUGAUAUUCGAAUUAUUCGAAUUAUUCGAGUUAUUCGAAUUCAAAAACUCAACUCGAUUCGAACUCGAAAUUCGAAAAAAAAUUCGAGUUGAUUCGAAUAACUCGAUUAACUCGAAUAACUCGAUCCGUUUAACUCGAAAUUUGAAUUUUUUUCAAUUUUUUCGAGUGGAAUCGAAUUUUGCUCACCCCUAGGCGCAAGUGGGGUGAUUGGAGCAGGUGGUGGUAGGUGCGGCGCAGCAGUGGCGGUGGUAGAGGAGGCCAAGGGUCAAAGAGGGCGGCGCCUAGGGUUUCAGUCUAGGCUAAUUUUUUUAGAGAAAAUGGGCCUGGGCUGUUGGGCUCCAGGUUUGGGUUAGGGGCAUUUAGGUUUGGGCUGGGUUUGGUUUAAUUGUAAUUGGGCUUGGUGUAUUUGGGUAGGUUAAUUUGAAUUAAGCUUGGGUAUUGGGCCGGGCAAAAUAUGGGCUUCACACCAAUUAUUUUAUUAGACCCAUGUUCAUGACUGAUUUUAAUAUUUUUUGUUGACCCAUUUUUGUAGUGGUUGUCUACGUACCAUUGGAAGUGAUUACUUCAGGUACAUUACUCGUUUUAUUUGUCGGCAUGUUUGACCAAAAUAUUUUGAUAAUUUGCUUGCAUCUUUUUGAGUAUCUUGUGCAACCAAUCUUUUGUUUAUUAUUGGAAAGGAGAUUCAAUCAAGCAAAAUUAUUUUUCAAAGAUCCUUAUAUUGAUUACUUAUGUAACACCCAGGUUUGGCAGGUUCUAAGUUCUGACAAGAAGACUAAGAGCGGUGAGAAGUAGCCUAUCCGCUCGAUUAUCAUUUUGGCGCACAAAUUAGGCGCAUAGCAGAUAAUAGAACAUUAAGCAAGGGUUGUUCUCAGAAUGUAUUAAGUUGUAAAGAAGAAGAGAUUGGUGAGAGUUUUGAGAACCUUGUAAUAAGGGGGUUAUCGCCUAAAUUGACAAUUUUCCAUUUUAGGAGUGGGGCAUGCCAAGCCCACCUAGACUCAUAGUUGUUGAUUUUCAAAAUUGGCAUGGAUUAAAUUGUUCAAUUUUUUUAGGGGACCAACUUACUCAAUGUUAAAAUUGAGAAGGACCAAAAAGUUUUUUUUUAUCCUUUUAUUGUAGAAAGUUGUUUAUAUAUAUAUUUGUGAAAACUCAAAAGAAAGUGUAAAAACUUAUUAAACAGGAGUUAAAUAUUCAUCCCUUCAUUGCUGUUUUCCAGUCAUAUGCUGCAUGCAAACUUAUUAUAUUUAAAUUCCAAAUUCUUUAGUGCAAGUGUCUGGUCUUCAUUCUUUUCUCUUAUAAGAUGUUCAGAUUCAGACAAUUUUGUUUAGCCUUAGACAUGACAAAGUGUUCUAAUAGUACAUCCCGCACGUCACUUAAUUGGCUGAUGUCGAUAAGUAAGAAUGCCCUUAAUUUAGAUCCUUUGAUAGUUGGGUGAUUGGGAUGAUUUAUUUAUUCAUUUUGGAAGUUUUUAUUAGAAUUUGACUUGCUAAUUUUCAUAUUUAUAUUAUAUUUGUGCUUUUUUUUUACAUAAUUUUUUAUUAAUUAAUAAUGUGUUAUAGGAAACAUUUUUAUUGAAUUUAAUAUUACGAGCCAAUUCCAUAUUAAUUUAGUCAAAUAAAUUAUAUAAGAACUAUUUUUAAUAAAUAAUAAAUAUUAUUACAAUAUUAUUUUUGUUUUCUAUUAUAUUCGAGUUAAUAUUUAAUAUAAUAUUAGUGGAAAUUUCAAUUCUAUAAUUUAAAUGCUAUCACAUAUUCCAUUUUAAGAAAAAUAACAUUUUUUUUACUACACUCUAAAAGUGUAUGAGUCGAUUGAGUCUUAACUCGGUUGGUAUUGACAUUGUUGUCUAUGCAGGAGAACGUGGGUUCAAGUGCGUUGAAACACAUUUAUCCUCCCAUUGAAGGAGUGGAGAGACACUAUGGGUAGUUCUUUUAAUUUAACUCGAACAAUUUCAUUCGAUGCGACUAGAUUCAAAUUUUAUUUCACUCGACUCGAUUCGAAAAAAAUCAAAUUGACUUAAGAUCUUAAAAGAGAAUCGUAAACUCGAUUAACUCAAAAUUAUAUGAUACUUCAUUACUUAAUUGACGCAGCAAAUAUUGACAAAGCUGGGUUUGCGCCAAUUUUUUUCCCUUAAUUUCUAUUGUGUGAUUGGUACAUGGAUGAGAACGAACAUAGUUAGUGCCAACCCACGAUGCAAUUGCAAGCCUAAAAAAAGCUAAAGAUGGUGACAAUUCAAAAUGGUAAUAAAUUGAAAUAAUUCAUUUUAUUUUACCUUGCUCAAUUUUUAUUAAAUUUAGUUUUAAUUCAUGUGUUAUCUCUGAAUGAUAUCACAAUAUAUUUUUAAAAAAUUAAUAUUAAUAAUAUUUAAUAACAUAAAAUAAUUUAUAUGUAUUAAAAAUUUAUUAACCACUUCAUAUUAGAAUAAUUCUAUCAUUAUUUCAAAAGGUAAAAAUGUUAUUAUUACACCAAUUAAAAAAUAUCAUAUAUUCAAAUAAUUAAUUCAUCAUAAUUUUAAUAAAAAGUUUCACAUAUAAUAAUGAUAAAUGUAAAAUAAAUUAGUUUAUGUUUAUGAUAUACAUGACUCAUUUAUACCUAUUAAAAUAAAUAAUUUCAAAUAAUAAUGUAUAAAAUUUGCUUAAUAAAAAAAUAUAUUAAAUAAUAAAUAGCAAAACUAUAAUGUUAUUUAUGAACAAGAUGGAUCCGGGGUGGGGAGGCUUGCACCCCCAUUGGAUUUCUCAAAAGUUCUCAAAAUUUUAUUAUAUUCUUAAUUCCUCCCACUUCUUAUCAAUUCGCUCCUUUUAUCUCGGAUUUUAAUAAUUUUUUGUGGAUUAAAGUUUUUGAAGUGACUGCCUAUGUAACAUCUCUAGCCCGUUAGGGAACAUGACGUGCCAAAACCAACCAACAGUCCGCCCAACGAAUUGGAGUGUUAUCGACGGUUUCAACCUUUUUCAAAAUGACUUCCAACUCUUUGAAAUCAACUAUGAAAAAUCUCUUUAAAAGCAUUCUUAGAUUUUUGUAACCCCCUGUUUAAAGUAAACUAUAAGUCAUCCCCAUAGCUUUAAAUGGCAUACGCAUAUAAAAGAAAAUCUUUUAAGGCAUCAACAAUGAAAAUAGGUAAAUAUUUGCAAUUAAUAGAUAAAAAUAUUUUUCAACAGAAACCAUGCAUGAAACCAAUAACAAAAGAACUAAUAGCUCACAAAUAUCAGCAACUCUGAUGUAGUCUCCUUCUACAAAAUCUUCUGCUACUACCAACAAUCCUGAGGAGAUAAAAUAACUAAGUUGAAUUGAAUUUACUGAGUUCCACAAUAUACACAGAUACUGUAUUGAAAUACCUUUAAUUAACAAGCACUAGUACUCAUAACAAAACGGACUUUCCAUGAUAUUUGUCGUAACCAUUUUUUGUAAAACGGGAUCGACUUGGAUUUUAAAAAUAAAAACGAAUAUGGGAGACGCUACCAGUCCUUUUUGAUAAGCUGUGAUCGGGCCACCUUGAAAAGUGGUUAUUUUUAAUAAACAAUUUAAUUUUAUUAAAACAACGAUUUUGGUUUCUGUUUGUUGGGUCAGGGCUAAAUUGGGUUGUACAGCUGCCCCUCUUUGCUCGUUGUCGUGUAACGAGAACAGAGCAAAGACUAAGACAGACCAAUUUUGCCUGGUCUCACCGAUUAUUGACCUAUUCUGGUGCUUCUCUUCUUCAAGUAGCUUUAUUCCAGACCACAGUGUCUUGUUGCUUCGAUCCACUCCACCGCAACUUCAAAAAGAGAUACGACCUGUAGCUUCAAUCUUCAAGAGGACGAGAUUCAUGGUUUUAGUCUGCUCCACCGCAACAUCAAGGAGAUAAGACUUGUUGUGGUAGAUUUAAUUCGAUCCACUGCAACUUCAGAGGUAUAGGAUUCAUCGUUUUAAUCUACUCCACUGUAACUUUAGGGAGAUAGGAUUAGUAGCUUCAAUCUGCCCCACUGCAAUUUCAGGGAGAUAAGAUUGGUAUCUUUAACCUGCUCCACUGCAACUUCAGGGAGAUAAGGUUUGCUAUCUUCAGUCUACUCCACUACAACUUCAGUGAGAUAAGGUCUGCAAUUUCAACCUGCCCUACUGCAACUUGAGGGGGAUAAGGUUUGAUAUGAUCUGCUCUACUGCAACUUCAGUGAGAUAAGAUCUGCAAUGUAUAGCUUCAAUUUGUUCCACUACAACUUCAAGGAAAUAAGGUUCGAUAUAUUCGGUCUGCUCCACUACAACUUCAGGAAGAUAAGAUUUGUAUCUUCAACCUGCUCCACUACAACUUUAGGGAGAUAAGGUUUGCUAUCUUCAGUCUACUCCACUACAACUUUAGUGAGAUAAGAGUUGUAUCUUUAACCUGCUCUACUGUAACUUUCAGGAGAUAAGGUCCACAAUUUCAAUCUGCCCUACUGCAACUUGAGGGGGAUAAGGUUUGAUAUGAUUUGCUCUACUGCAACUUCAGUGAGAUAAGAUCUGCAAUGUAUAGCUUCAAUCCGUUCCACUACAACUUCAAGGAAAUAAGAUUCGAUAUCUUUGGUCUUCUCCACUCCAACUUCAGGGAGAUAAGAUUUGUAUCUUCAACCUGCUCCACUGCAACUUCAGGGAGAUAAGGUCUGCAAUUUCAACCUACCCCACUGCAACUUCAGGGGGAUAAGGUUUGUCACUUCAACCUGCUCUACUCCAACUUCAGAGAGAUAAGGUUUGUGGCUUUAAUUUUCUUCUCUGCAACUUCAAGGAGAUAAGAUUCGCUGCCUUCAGCUUUAAUCCGCUCUACUUCAACUUUAAUCUAUUCCACUACAACACUAGGGAAACAAUAUUCGCUACCUUUAGCUUUAAUCUGUUCCACUGGAACGCUAGAGAAAUAAGAUUCGCCGCCUUAAGCUUUAACGAUAGGGACAUAAGAUUCGCUACCUUCAGCUUUAAUCUGCUCUGUUGUAAUGCUAGGGAAACAAGAUUCGCUACCUUUAGCUUUAAUCUGUUUCACUAUAACGCCAAGAUGAUAGGAUUCGCUGCCUUCAGCUUUAAUCUGCUCCACUUCAACUUUAAUCUAUUCCACCGCAACGCUAGGGAAACAAGAUUCGCUACCUUUAGCUUUAAUCUGUUCCACUGUAACGUUAGGAAAAUAAGAUUAUUGGUUUUAGUCUACUCUACUGCAACUUUAGGGAUAUUAGAUUUGCUUUCUUCAAACUGUUCCACUGCGACUUCAAUGGUAUAGGAUCUGUGGUUUCACAGAUCUGUUCUCUGGGGAACAUGACCUAUGGAAUCCAUUGCAUGGGCCUAUUCAUGCCUAUUAAUUAGAAUAUUAUGAUUAGAACGAAUCAAAAUCUCCUAACUAAAUGUGCAUGCAUGAAUGCAAAAUGUCAUGAAAAUGAUCCCCCAAUGUUUGAGUUGUUAUUGUUCAUUGUUCAUUAAGGUCUCAUUACCAAUACGUUAGAACACUAUCUUGUUCGGCCGGUAACACUAUAAUCUUCAAGGUUCAAUCCACUGUACCUUUAGGACAUAAAAGUUUGAACCAUCUUCUUCCCACUAAGUAUAAGAUCUGGCUCUUUCUUAAUCCUCUCCCACUGCAAUUUAGGGAUACAGGAUCUGAAUAUCUUUGGCCUUACACCACUCUCGAGGUGUCAUACCAAAUAUUUAUGCACAAUUGUAAAAUUUUCUUAUCCGAGAAAACCUCUUCUUAUCACUCCAUUGAUCAUUGCUAGUUUAUUUAUUGAAGCCUUGUCACAAACACGACAUCUUGUCAUUUUGUUCAAUCAAUGUUUGGAUAACAAAAUCUGAAAGGAUAGUCUUAAUUUAGACUCUUCCUUCUUAGAUAUUUCAUCCUUUAAACUUGGUGUGUUCUAAACAAUAGUCCUGUUUCAGGUUCCUAUAUUAUUUAGAAACUUCUAGAGUAAUAUGCAAAACAUCCAUUGUGAAAGUAUUAUCAGAAAACAUCCAUUGUGAAAGUAUUAUCAGUCUAUUAAUCAUUAUUCCAAUGCAACGUGCUUGCAAAAGAUCAUAACGGUAGAUAGAAUAGGAUUAAUUUGGGAACAUGACUUGAAAUGGAUAAAUUAUCAAAGAGAGUAAGAAUAAAAAAGGAAUUGAUUGGGAACAUAUAUCUUGAAAAAGAAUAAAGUAUUCCAAGAACAUCAAAUUCAAUAUAAAUAGUAUGAAGACUAAGAUCCCCAGAUAUCGUAGCUUGAACUUCUCUGUAAAAACUUUCUGAAGACCAUUCUGAGUUUGACAUGUGUUUAGGAGAUCUACAGUACUUUGUCAAUGUCCCAAGAUAUCGCCUACCCUUUUCUGUUGAUUUAGGCAUAGCAAGAUCACCAUAUGCCCCAAUCUGAUCAAAAUUUUAGCUGUUCUGAUCACCUCAUGUCCCACUCUGAUCAAAAUUUGAGCCGCCCUUUUCAGGUUUUCAACUCAAAUCCCCUUUAGUCUCAAGGUGCCCUUUGCGGGUUUUCACCUUGGCCUCUCAUUUUUCUUUUCUUUUCUUCUUCUAUUUUGAAAUAUUUUUUGAUUGAAUCUAAACUCAUAGGAUAAGGCAUGUCCUUGUUAUCCUUUUUGAUCAAAAUCAAUGUUUCUCCAGAUAAGGCCUUCCAUAUAAGGUCCUUCCCAGUUUGGUAUCCACUUUCUUCUGAAGUCCUUUUGUAUGGGGAGGAUCUUCUUCGAUACCAGGUUCUCCUCGUGGAAUCUUCUAGAGUGAACUUUUUUUUGAGCUCGCAUCAUUUGCUUUUGGCACAUUUGGCAAUGAUGGAUAACUUUGAACAUUCCUCUUUAAUCAGGAUUAAAUUAAAAAACUUAGAGAGAAUGAAUCUUGUCUUCAAUUGGUAAACCUCGAUAAGCCCAAAAGAAAAGCAUUACCUCGGUAAAGGCUUUUCACUGCACUAUUCACAUUGGGACGACAUGGUGUUAAUCUUGAACAGGCUGCAAACCUUUUGAUAAUAUGAUGUUCAAAUUUAGCGCGUUGUUGAAUAUGAUCCUUUUUGGCAUUUUAUACCUACGUAUGAAUUUUUCAAGAAUUUGCUGGCUGUCGACUUUGUGACAUUGGCACAUGAAGUGGCUUCUACCCAUGAAGAUAAAUCGAUAACCGUCAAAAUCUUUUGGCGAGAUCGACCUAAUGACCUUCAUGCCCCACAUAGGGAGAAGUCAUGGAUUCCAUUGAUUCUUUGUAGGGUAGGAUCUAUUUUCCAUCUUAUUCUACCAUCCGUAAUAAGUCUAGAGAUAGGCUAUAAUCUAUGUCAUCUUUAAAGUCAUGAGAUCCCUCAAACACAUGUCUCACUCAAAAGGAGAUUCUGAGUCUGUAGCAGCGUAACUCAUGUCAUUGAUAUCUAGGGACCUAUUAUAGGUACAAAGGAAUGUAUAAAGAAUAUAUGAACUUAUGAGUAAUUAUUUGUUCAAUAUGAUUAUUAAUGGAUGAAAGAAUGAUUUGGAAGAAAGUCUAAAAGAAUGAAGGAAUAAAAAAUAAUUAUUAAUAAAAAAAUGAAUAAAUAUUGGCUCAAAAAUUAUCACAAAGAUAUAUUUCAUUAAAAUAAUAACGUUCAAACAUGAGCCAAUUUCACAAAAGAGUUCUUACUGCCUCUAGGCUAAAAGCAACAAGUGUGAUCUGAAUAUUACUCUCAGUAAGCUCUAAAUACUAUAGGGGUCUCUUCUGUAGUCUAAUUAUUUAGAACGCUUCCAGGUUUAUAAGGGCGAAUAUCUAAUAAGGUCUCUUCUUUAGUUGUGUCUUCAUAUAUGGCAUUUUUGUGAACGUUUCCCUACACUUUUUCAUACUUUGCAUUCACCACAUUAUCAAUAUGAUUGAGUAACAGAUUUUCUGCACUAGAUGAAUCAUCAAAUUUGACAAUGCCCAUAUUGAUGAGCCUUUCGACCAGUUUCUUGAAAGUGGUGCAGUUUUCUAUAGAAUGUCCUACAAUACCUGCAUGAUAGUCGUAGUAUGCAUUCGCGUCAUAUCAUUUGGGGUAUGGAGGUUACAGGGGUUUUAAGUAGAAAGGGGAAAUAAUGUGUGCACCAAACAAACUUUGAUACAACUCCCGGUACGACAUUAGAAUUGGCGUAAACUAGAGCUUCUUAGUUUUUGUCUUAUGUCGAAUUCUUGUCUUGAUGGACCUUGUUGAUUAGUAGCCACCUUUCCUAGUUGGUUCACCGUGAUCGAUUUCGAGUAACCCUUGUUAUAGGUGUUCAUGUUGUUCACCUCAUUCUCUUUUUUCUUCGGAGCUGACCUUCGGUUACUUUCUUCAGCCUCGAUCAUCCCACUUUUUAUGGCAUUUUCAAUCAUUUAUCCAUUCAUAACUAUGUCAGAGAAACUUUUCAUGGUACUUUCCAACAUAUGUGUGAUAAAUGGUGCCUUCAGUGUGUUAAUAAAGAGUAUUGUCAUCUCUCUUUCCAGGAGCGGGGCUGGACUUGAACGACAACCUCUCUCCACCUUUGUGCGUAUUGCCUAAAACUUUCAUUAGGCUUCUUCUACAUAUUUUCCAGGGUGACUCUAUCAGGGACCAUAUCUGUUACAUGACUUUAUUAUUUCAUAAAUACUUGUGCUAAGUCUCUCCACGAACUAAUCUUGGUACGGGUUAAUUGAUUGUACCACUUAGAUGCUGCCCCUGUGAGGCUAUCUUGAAAGCAAUGUAUAAACAGUUGGUCAUUGUUAACGUAUUCAGUCAUACGCCUACAAAACAUGGUAAUAUGAGCUUCAGGGCAACUGGUCCCAUUGUAUUUCUCAAAUUCUGGCAUUUUGAAGUUAUGGGGAAGUACCAAAUCUAAGACUAAACUCUCGAGCCAUUUACAUCUUUCCUCCAGCUGUUUUGGCUAUUCUUCCUUGGUUUUCUCAUUCUCAGCCACUUCGUCAAAAUCGGGGACAAUGGAUUGGUAUGGUUCUCUUUGGAGUUAAAACCUAAUCUGGUUUGGAAGUUUAUUGGCAUUGAGGUGCCACCUUGAAACCGUUGAGGCCUGAUUGUGACAGAGGACCUAGGUGGGUGUACCUCAACUUGGGGUUGAACAUGUAGAGGAUUAAAGCCUGGACUGUAGAGGGGUCCAUCAUUAUCUCUUUCUUCAAUAUUAACCAUGGGGUCCUUUCCUUUGUCAUUUCCCCCAGCCAACAGGUGUGUUAACUGAGUCAUCAUGUUCUUCUGGGACUCCAUCAUAUUUUCUGCCAUAUCUUGUUGAAUUUUUUCUAACCGGUCUUGCAUUUGGUCUUGCAUCUCCUUUUGGAGCUGUUUGAGCCUUUCCAAUCUUUGAUCCAUGUUUUUCGAUUUUACUCGAGUAUCGUAAAGGUGUUAUUUUUCCAGAUUAACUAAAAUAAUUUUAUUUAAUUAGGAUCUUUUGGUGGAUUUUAAUGCAUAUGAUGUAAUGUAAAUGCAUGAAAUGAAUGCAAAAGAGACGUUGAUUCUUGGUUCAAUUCUAUUAGAACAACUUUACUAGAAAACAAAUCUCUUUAUAUAAAGCGGAUAUAUAUAUAGCUUUGCCCUCAUAUUCCAAGCGAAUACAACGAUCCUUUUCUUCAUCUGGAUGUUAAAAUGAAUCUCACGAAUUUUUCAAUGGAUGCCUCUACUAGCUCCUUUUUGCUUGAUCCGAUCCGCAACUCAUUAUUUGUUUAUCCUCGUGAUGCUCGUUAGCUUCUUUAAAAAGGUAGGGGCAUUGACGACUCUCGAACAAUCUUUGUCAACUUGAAUCCUCUGGUAAUGAAACAAAGUUACGUAGUCUUCCAUUAGACCAUCAUCUUUCUCUGGUCACAUUUUCUUGGACCAUAUUCGGACAAUCGCAUUGUCUUCCACUUUAUCAAGAAAUAUGUUUUCUUAUGACAAGCUCUCUAUUUAGAUACUGAACGUGAAUCAACACCUCUUUUUUAUGAUGAAAAUGCAAUGCAAUUAUAACCAAAACAAAAGAAAAUUGAUUAGUACAAAACACAAGCAAGCAAGAAAGAAAUAAAUAGAGCACCUAUUCGAGUGACCACUAGGGGUUUGGCAUAGUUCUACCUAGGCUAGGCUCUUCGGGCUCACUAUAUGCUGUUCGGUUCUAAAGUAAAGGUACCCGAACCGGCAGAUUCCUCGAUCUUCACCCAUUAUAGGCUCAUAUGGAUCGAGUUCAGUUGAGGGAAAUACAUUUCCCUAUGGCCGUGCGAAGAUGAAAAUCUCACGAAGACAUAGGUACGGAUGUAUCCGGGAAGUGAUUCACUAUCCCAUGCAGAGGUGAAAACCUCACAAAGGCAUAGCUUCUCACUCCCACUUAAAAGGGUGUUACCAACGGUCAUGCAAUGCAAUGUGCAGAAAGAUACCAAAACUUAAACUAACGCAACAAUUAUAAACCACAAUGAUGAAUAUCAUAAUAAAGACGGAUGAAACAUAACGAAAUGAUCGUAUCUUUAAAUCAAGUUUUCAAUUUGUGACAAAAAGACAAAAAAUAAUCAACUCGUGGCUUGACUCUCUUAUUUUGAGUCCCCAACAAAGUCGCCAAGUUGUCGUAACAAUUUUUUGUAAAACAAGAUCGACUUGGAUUUUAAAAAUGAAACAAAUGUGGGAGUCGCUACCAAUCCUUUUUGAUAAGGUGUGAUCGGGACACCUUGAAAAGUGGUUGUUUUUAAUAAAUAAUUUAAUUUUAUUAAAACAAUGAUUUUGGUUUCUUUUUGUUGGGUCCAGGCUAAAUUGAGCUUGUACAAUAUUUGUUGCAGUGUGUAAAAAUAAUUACAAAUUAUGUACAAAUAUACACAAUUGUAACAAGUAAUAAAGUACUAAGUAUACGAGUACUGUCUCCUUAGGGACUGAACAGGUAGUCAAGAUUUGAGAAAAUAAUUUAAAUAACAAUUUAGGAAGAAAACAACUACAAAUGGGGUUUAUGCGAUUAAUUAAACUAAAUGAUUCUAUCUUGCAAAAUUUCAACAGAAUAAUGAGUACUUCAAGAAAUGAGUUACUAAUAUCAAAUAAUGCUAGAAUACUUAAUCCACUUCUGCCUCUGAUCAAUUUAGUCUGGAUGAAAUUGUUAUGAAAAUCAUGGCAUAAUUAGCGUGUAACAUCCAUAACCCAUUUUUGUCGCCAGAAUAGGGUUACAGAGUAUUACUAUACAAUUCGAAACAUUCCAUAACAAUAGCAUCUAAGUCAUCAAAUUACUUAUUAACAAUAUUCAUAAAUAACAUGAAAUCAAGCAAGACACACAUUCACAGAACUUAAAUCGAGCCUACAAGGCCCUAAAAAUAUCUUAGGAACAAUCAGAGACUAAUUUAAAACAAAACAGGAGAUUUGGGACAAAAAUGAAAAAAAUUCAAAAAAGGGUCACACGGCCGUGUGUCUAGGCCUAGAGCGUGUGGCUCUAGACAUGGCCGUGUGGCCAUCCCACAUGCUCGUGUGCAAGAGCCAUGUAACUCUUUGACUUGGGUCACACAGUCAUGUCACAGCCAGUGUAAACUUUGCACCUAACACGCUAAGGGCACACCCCCGUGUGUGACACACGACUAUGUGAUAACUUGUGUCCCAGGUCAUGUGUACCCAAAAGUGACUAAAAUCAUGCUAAUUUUUCAUCCAAAUUCUUUAGUGAAAAUGUCUGGGUCUUCAUUCUUUUCUCUUAUAAGAAGUUCAAAUUCAGACAAUUUUGUUUAGCCUUAGACACGAGAAAGUGUUCUAAUAGUACAUCUCGCAUGUCACUUAAUUGGCUGAUGUUGAUAAGUAAGAAUGCCCUAAUUCCCCCUAAUUUAUAUCCCUUGAUAGUUGGGUGAUUGCGAUGAUUUAUUUAUUCAUUUUGGAAGUUUUUAUUAGAAUUUGACUUGCUAAUUUGCAAUUUAUAUUAUAUUUGUGCAUUUUUUACAUAAUUUUUUAUUAAUUAAUAAUGUGUUAUUUAUACUAUAAUAAUGUUUAAAACACACUUAUUGCUCUAAGCCUGGGAGCAAUAAGAAUCCUUUUGUGAAAAAGGCAUAUGUCCAAUAUAUUUAUUUCAAUAAAAUGCAUCUUUGUGUUUUAUUUUAGAAAAUAUUCUUUUUUUUUCCAUUUCAUUCAUACUCAUACCACACAAAUAAUUAUUCUUAGAUUCAUUUGUUCUUUGGGUCUUCCUUUAUUCCUAUAACAGGUAUCCAGAUAUUAAUGAUAUGAGUGACGCUGCUGCUGACUCAAAGUCUCCUUUUAAGCAGGAUAUGUGUCCAGAGGAACCUCAGGACUUUGAAGAUGAUCAAGAUUGUAACCUUUCUCCUGAUUUGUUAAGGAUGAAAGAACAAGAUGAGAAAUAAAUCCUACUUUACAAAGAGUCAGUAGAAAUUGUGAGUUUGAGAGACAAAUAAGAAAAUAAAUAGGUAAAGAUCAGAGCUUGCAUCACUGUAGAGACGAAACGAGACCUCAUUGAGUUACUCCAAUAAUUCAAAGAUUUCUUCGCAUGGUUGUAUCAAGACAUGCCUGGUCUAAGUACUGAUAUCAUGGUACAUCGGCUUCCCAUAAGGGAAGACUGCAAGCCGGUUCAACAGAAACUCCGAAGGAUGAGGCCCGAUGUCUUGUUGAAAAUAAAAGAAGAGGUUAAGAAAUAAUUCGAUGCUGGUUUCCUACAAGUGGUUAAAUACUCGGAGUGGGUAGCCAAUAUAGUCCCCGUCCCUAAGAAAGAUGGGAAAGUAUGAAUGUGUGUAGACUACAUGGAUUUAAACAAAGCUAGCCCGAAGGACAAUUUCUCGUUGCCUCUCAUUAAAACAUUAAAAGACAAUACAGUAGGUUAUUCACUGUUCUCCUUCAUGGAUGGCUUCUCUGGAUACAACUAGAUAAAGAUGCAUCCUGAAGACAUGAAAAAGACCAUAUUCGUAACCAUAUGAGGAACAUUUUGCUACAAAGUAAUACCAUUCAGAUUGAAAAAUGCAGGAGCGACAUAUCAAAGAGCCAUGAUAACUUUGUUUCAUGAUAUGAUGCACAAAGAAAUCGAGGUUUAUGUUGAUGAUAUGAUUGCAAAAUCCCUAAUAGAAAAAGAGCAUGUACAAUUCUUAAGGAAACUAUUUUUAAGGUUGAUAAAAUUCCAGCUAAAGCUCAAUCCAGCAAAAUGCACCUUCGGGGUUAGGUUGGGAAAAUUACGAGAAUUUAUAGCCAGCUAAGAGGGGAUCGAGAUCGACCUGGAUAAAGUCAGGCCUAUACAGGAGUUACCUCUACUGUGCACUUAAAAAGAGGUUCGGGGUUUCUUAGGGAGAUUAAAUUACAUCGCCUGGUUCAUUUCACCACUGACCAAGAAAUGCGACCCCAUAUUCCAUCUCCUUAGGAAACAUAAUUCAGGUGUAUAGGAUGAAGAAUGCCAGAAGAAUGUUGACAAUGUAAAACAUUACUUGUCCAAUGCCCCAAUGUUAAUGCCGCCUAGUCCAAAUAAGCCACUGAUACUGUACUUGGUAGUAUUAGGGAAUUCUAUGUGAUGCGUGCUCGACCAACACGAUGAAUCAGGAAGGAAAGAAAUAGCAAUAUACUACUUCAGUAAGAAAUUCACUGAAUGUGAGACAAGAUAUUCACCAAUUGAGAAGUUGUGUUGGGCUUUAAUCUGGACAACCGAGAGACUAAGACAAUACAUGUUGUACCAUUCAACUUGGCAAAUCUCAAAAAUAGACCCUCUAAAGUACAUGAUAGAGUUGACUGCUUUGAAUGGAAGAAUGACCCAAUGGAAAAUUGUACUUUCCAAAUUUUAUAUAAUCUAUGUGAACCAGAAGGCAAUAAAAGGGAGUGUAAUAGAAGAUUUUCUAGCCAGUAGAACUCUAAAAGUUUACGAGCCUUCGAAUUUCAAUUUCCCGAAUGAGGAUCUGAUGUAUGUUGCAACCACUAAAGAAUAUGCUCAAGAAGGACAUCCUUGAAAACUAAAUUUUGACAGAGCCUCGAACAUUAUGGGUAACGAAAUUGGGGUUGUCCUAGUAUCCCCAAUCGGAGACCAGUAUCAUUUUACUAGUAAAUUGGAUUUUGAUUGUACAAGUAAUAUAACAGAAUACGAAACAUGCAUUAUAGGUAUCUGUACAGCCAUAGAACGCAAGAUCAAGGUACUGGAGGUAUAUAGGGGUUCUGCACUAGUGAUAUAUGAACUCAAAAGAGAAUGCGAGACGAGGGACCCCAAGUUGACCAAUUAUCAAAGGCUGACUCUUGAAUUAAUUAAGGAGUUUGAUGACAUCACCUUCUGCUACCUUCCGCAAGAUGAAAACCAAAUGACUGAUGCCCUAACUACUUUAGCUUCCAAAGUCAAAGUGAAUAGACAAGAUGAUGUAAAACCUAUUCAGAUGAGUAUUUAUGAGGCUUCGACCCAUUGUUACAACAUCGAAGAAGAAGAAAAGGAUGAUCACCCUUGGUACCAUGAUAUACUGCGAUAUGUAAAGAAUCAUGAAUACCCUAAUUAGGAAAUCGAGAAUAAUAACAGGAUGCUAAGGAAACUGACUAAUGGCUAUGUCUUAGAUGGGGAGAUCCUAUAUAAAAGAAGAAAGGAUCAGGUGCUACUGAGAUGUGUGGAUGCCAUUGAGGCCAAUAAAAUGAUGGAAGAAGUCCAUGAGGGCGUUUGCAGAACACAAGCUAAUGGUUUCACAAUGGCCAGGCAAAUCAUGAGAUUCAGAUAUUAUUGGUCCACCAUGGCCUUUCUCUAUGUGGGGCAUGGAUGCCAUUAGACCGAUCUCGCCAAUAGCUUCCAAUGGGUAUCGAUUCAUCUUUAUGGUUAUCGAUUACUUCACAAAGUGGGUAGAAUCUGCUUCUUAUGCCAAUGUCACGAAGUCAGCAGUCAAUAAUUUCUUAAAGAAAGAGAUCAUAUGUCGGUAUGGAAUGCCAGAAAGGAUCAUAUCUAAGAAUGCAUUGAAUUUGAACAACAAUACGAUAUCAAAAGUCUACAGUUAGUUUAAAAUCAAACACCACAACUCGUCACCAUAUCACCCAAAAAUGAACGGUGUAGUUGAGGGAGUUAAUAAAAACAUUAAGAAGAUCGUGGGGAAACUAACAGAGACUUAUAAAGACUAGCAUGAGAAGUUACCAUUUUCCUUUUAUGCUUAUUCAACGUCUGUCAGAACCUUCACUGGGGCAAUACCUUUCUCAUUUGUUUAUGGAAUGGAGGCAGUUUUGCCCAUUGAAGUCGAGAUUCAUUCUCUCUGAGUUUUAUCAGAGUUGAAGUUAGAUGAAGCAUAAUGGACCUAAUCUCGAUAUGAUCAGUUGAACUUGAUUUAAGAGAAGAUGUUGAAAGCUAUCCGUCAUGGUCAGAUGUACCAAAAAUGAAUAAUGCGAGCUUAUGAAAAAAAUGUUCGCCUCAGAGAAUUCCAUGAGGGUGACCUGGUAUUGAAAAGGAUCCUACUAAUACAAAAAGACUUCAGAGAAAAGUGGAUGUCGAAUUGGGAAAAACCUUAUGUGGUAAAGAAAGCUUUUUCUAAAGGAGCACUGAUUUUGACAGAGAUGGAUGGCAAAAACUUGCCUAAUCCUAUAAAUUCAGAUUCAGUCAAGAAAUACUUCACCUAAAAAAAUAGGGAGAGGCCAAGGUGAAAACUCGCAAAAGGGUGCCUUGAGACCAAAGGGGUUUUGUGUUGAAAACCUAGGAAAGGGCAGCUUAAAUUUAGAUCGAAGAUUGAACAUGUGGUAGUCAUGUCUACUCAGAACGAGAAACAUUACAUCUUGGGGCUUCAAUAAAGUACUUUAGAUCUCCUGAACACAUAUCAAGCUCAAAAUGGUCCUCAAGAAGUUUAUGUAGAGAAGCUCAUGCUGCGAUAUUUGGGGCACCUAAUUUCAUCUUACUCACUCUGUAUUUUACCAAUGUUUGCUAUUUUGAUUAAUCUAUUUAUUUUAAGCUUUGCUCCCAAUAAAUUUCAAUCUUGUCAAUUGUUACAAGCUUUUUCGAGCAUUUUUACAUUGAAAUAAUGAUUAAUGGACCAACAACAUUCAAGUAAAAGGAUUUUUGCAUAUUGCUUUGAAAGGUUUCUAAAUAGUAUAAGGACCUGAAACAGGACCACUAGUUAGAACUAACCAAAUCUAAGUGUUGGAAAUAUUUGGGAACGAAUAGUUUAAAUUGUGAUUAUUUCUUCAAGUUUCCUGUCAAAGAUACCAGAUUUGAACAAGAAGGUGUGGCAAUACAUCAUUGAUGGAACCUUGACGAACAAUGAGUAAUGUCAACCUAAGCAUUAAAAAGUGAAUCAUUCUCGAAAAAUGACAUUCUGCAUGCACGUAAAUAUCAUUCAUAUACAUCUAGUUAGGAGAAUUUGAUUCAUCCUGAUCAUAACAACCUAAUAGGUUGGCAUAAAUAUAGGCCUAUGAAAUGGAAUCUACAAGUCAUGUUCCCUAGAGAAAUGUAUAACAGAUCAGUGAAACCACAAAUCCUGCACUCUUGAAGUUACAGUGGAGUAGAUUGAAGCUACCAAUCUUAUCUUCCUAAAGUUGCAGUGGAGUAGAUUAAAGCCACAAAUUUUAUCUCCCUGAAGUUGCUGUGGAGUAGACUGAAGUCACAAAUCUUAUCUCCCUAAAGUUACACUAGAGCAUAUUAAAACCACAAAUCUUAUCUUCCUAAAGUUGCAGUGGAGUAGAUUAAAGCUAAAAAUCUUAUCUCCCUGAAGUUUCAGUGGAGCAGAUUGAAGAUAGCGAAUCUUAUCUCCCUAAAGUUGCAGUGGAAUAGAUUGAAGCUACAAAUCUUAUCUCCUUAAAGUUGCAGUGGAGCAGAUUGAAGAGACAAAUCAUAUGCCUCUAAAGUUGCAGUGGGUCGAAUUAAGGGCCAAUUCUUCAUUGCUUUUGAAAAGUGCUUUUGAAAAGUGUUGUGGAAAAGUACUUUUGAGAAGUGCUUUUGAAAAAUUUGAGUGUUUGGUAUUGCUGUCAAAAAGUGCUUUUGAGAAAUAAAAUGUCCAUUUCAGACAUGAUAUUAUAAAGUAACAAAUAUGUAUUUAAAUAAUGUUCAAAUUAGUUAAUAUUAUGAUAUUUUAGCAAAAUAAUAAAAAAUAAUUUAUCAUAACUUAUUGUUUCUAUUUUAAUAUAUAAUAUUAAUUUUAAAUAUUUGUAAGUAAUUAAUAGUAAUUAUUUAUUAAAUUUAAUUAGAUUAUAUAAACUAUAUUUAAAUAUUUAAAUAUAAUAAUUAAAUAUUUGUAAUUAGAUAUUGACACAAUUGUAUUAUGUUAAAAAUUAUUUUUUAUUUUUAAUUAAUGCUUUUAACACAUUUGUAUUAUUUUAUUUUAAAUUAACAUAACAUAGAAAAUAUAAACCUAACAAAUUAAAAUAUUACAUAUAUUUAGAUUAAAGUUUUAAAAAGGGAUAAUACUUAUAUACCAAAUAUAAAUACUAAAAAAUUUGGGAGAAGACAAAGGUUAAAAAUGUAAAUAGAAGCCAAAAGUACUUUCGGCAAAUGGAGAAGUUAAAAAUGAUGUCUGUUCUUUAUAGGUUUUCAGGGAAAACUACUUUUACAUGCAGAAGCUCAUCUGAAAAGCAAUAAAGAACACAACCUAAAUCUACCAUAGCGAGUCUCAUCUCCCUAAAGUUGCAGUGGAGCAAAUUGAAGCUACGAAUCUCAUCUCCUAGAAGUUGCAGUGGGUUAGAAUGAGGCUACAUAAAAAAGAGGAGCACCAAAGAAGUCAAAAUUCGAUAGCACCAGACAAAAUGGGCCCUUCUUAAAGUCUUUAAUCCAUCCCCGUUACAUGACAAUGAGCAAAGAGAGGCAGCUGUAAAGGUCCAAUCUCGUCCAGAUCAAAACCAAAAAUAAAUAAACAAAAUAUAAAAACCAAAAAAUAAAAAAGUCCAUUUGCAAAAUAAUGGCCCAAAUACAAAACCCUAACCCAAACCCAGUGUUACACAAGCCCAAGCCCAACUAACCUAAAGUUUUUUGAAAACCCUAAAACCUUAGGUCUCCCUCUCAUGCCGCUCCUUGCCACGUCAGUUGGUGCCCCUCCCAAAGACACCCACGCCCCGAGGUCUGCUCCUCUGCGACCCUUGCACCAAAACGGCAAAGGCAUAGAUCUCUCUCUGCAGUUGACCGCACACCACCGCCUGCAAUGAGAAAGAAAUAAGGAUAGAAACAUGAAGCAAAAAUAGUAAAAAAGACAGAAGCAAAAAAUAGAAAACACAGAAGCAAACACGAAGAUUUGCAAUCACUCAGCUAUAAAAAGCCGGAUAAACAUAUUGUAAAAUAGACGAAAAAUACAAAGAACAAAAAAACAUUUAAAAUGAAGUUGAUCUUCUUGUUUUAUUUUUUUAUAUUUUGAAAAAGAAUAAUAAAUAAAAAAUAAAACGUGUUUACCUGAGUCGCUUUACAUUCCUUUGUUGUUAGAGGUCUUCUUCGAGGUGGAAAGCUCUAGAACCCUUUAGGGUUUGGCCUGGGCUUCGACGGCAUGGGGUGUGAAAGGCGCGUCGGCUAGGUGAAAGGGCUGAAAAUUUUCUUCUUCUUCUUCUUCUUUUUUUUUUCUUUUUCUUUGCAAAUGGUAGGCUUUGCCUUCAGCUCUAGCUGAAAGGGCACUGAUAAAGCCCGUUUUUGUGUAACUCUAGUGGCCACGGAGGGCUUCCGCUGACUCUAUAGCCAUAUCCUAGGCCGUGAUUUCAGAGAGAAAAAGGGAGAAAUGAGAGGAUUUUUUUUAAAACAUGGAGGAAGUGAUUUUUUUCUAAAAUUUUUGGCUUUUAUAGGCCUCCAAAACGGUGCCGUUUUGGGAUUGGCCUCAGACGUCCAAAACGGUGUUAUUUUAGCGAGACCCGAAUCACUCCCCAAGAUCCGGGUUUUUUUAGAAAUGGGAUAUUUUUAGUUUUAGUCCUUCUGCUUUUUAAAUACUUUUUAAUUUCGUUCUACUAUUUAUUAUUAUUUUUAUUUUGCCCUUUUGUUUUGUUUUUUGUGCAAUUUAGUCCCUCGACCACUGUGGACCCAUUUAGGCUAUACCACGUGUCCCAGGGCUUGGAAUAAUUACCCAUUUCAACCCUGCUACUUUUUAUGCGUCACAUUUUGGUCCUUUAUUCAUUUAUUUUAUUACAAUUUAGUCUUUUAAUUUCGUUUUAAUUCUGAUUUAAUCCUUGGUUUAUUUAAUUUCAACCUUUUAUGAAUUAUUUUAUUUAUUACUUCUUUACCUUUCUUUAAUACUCAAAAUUCAUGUUAUUUAUAUUUCCAUUUUAUUGUGCAUUAUUCGUCUUUAUUAUUAUUAUUUUAUUAUUCAGGUUAAUAUUAUGAUAGUAACUAUAAUAUAAUUAUCACUAUUAUUGCUAUAAAUUGUUGUUUUUUUACUAUCAUUAUAGUUGUAUUAUCAUCACUCACUAGUAUACCAUUUUUAUUUUUAUUUUAUUGAUUUAUUUAUUUGUUCAUUGAUUUACUUGCUUAUCAUUUUAAUAUCAUCUUUGCCUUUUUUACUCGUUACUAUAUUACUUUAUUUUGCUAACAUUCAUGUUGAGUAUCGCGUUAAAAUAUAUUCGUUCAUUUUAUUACUGGCCUAGAUAAAUAAAAAAGCAUAUCGUUAAAAGGUUGCACUCAUUUUACCAUAUGAAUAGGAAAUAUUCUUUUUUUUAAAAAAGACAAGGUUUAUUUUUUUGGAAUUAGAGGAGUCGUGCUCCGAACUUACGGAGUAUGACCUCUUUCUAAAACCGAAAUAGUUGAAUAUCUAUUUUAAAAAUAUAAAGAAAACGAGAUUUAAGUAAUGUCCAAAUGACGAUUAUUCUCGUUUUAAAGGGUUUAAGGCAUCAUAUCCUAACUUACGGGGCACGAUCUUUUCUUCUUGAUUAACUUGAAAUAAGCUCUUUUUGUGAAAAUCAAUUUAGUUAAGCGAUAUUUUAAUAUCAUGCAAAGAGGGAUCGUAUUUUAAGUUUGGUUCAAAUUUUUAGUUUUAGACAUCAAAACAUUAAGUAACCGGCUAGGUACCAAGGUACCAAUUUUGGGCGUUAUGAUGGUGCUUAACCUUCCUCAUAUGUAACCGACUCCCGAACCCACAUCCUUGGAUUUCGUAGGCUAAACAUUAUCAUUUUAGAAAAAUCUAAUCUUUUACCAAGAUGGUUAAAAUUUGAGGUCACCCAAUUACACCUAAUAAAAAGGAUCGGUGGCGACUCCAUUUUUAUUUUAAAAUAAAAAGUCGAUAAUCUAUUUAAACAAAUAUAAUAAAUAUUUUGCAAGUGUGCAAAUAUAAUAAAUAUUAUGAUAUUAGAUAUUAAGUUCAAGAUUCCAUUUAAAGUAUUAAUAAUAGGUAAAUUAUAAAAAUAGUCAUUUUUAUUUACCUCAGAUUACAUUUUAGUCACUUAUUUCAAUAAAAAAAAUUUUCAUGAUUUUUAUAGCUUUUCAACCGUUAAAAAGUUGAACCAUGUAAUUUCUUCUCUGAAACUUUUUGUGCACACUUUUCGGGACGUCUCGCAAGUUUUUGCGAUGCGUUGGAAAACCUCACAAAAAUUUGUUUAUUUAAAUCAAUAUUAAAAUAUAUGUUUAAAAUUAUGAACCCAUGAAAUUAUAAAUCUCAAAUUGGUAUCCUAAACAACCCAAGUCCUAAAUUAUGAACCUUAUAAUAAACGCUCUAAAAUUAUACUAUGGUUUAUAUUUUAUAUGGUAUGAAAUUAAAUGAUCAUAUAUUUUAAUAUGAUCAAAUGAAAACAGUGCAUUGGUUUACUAAUUAAACUAUUAAAUUCAAACAAUUAAUAGUUUGUUACUAAUUAAAAUGAAUUUAGAAGGAAUUUUUUAUAUUGAUGGUUUUUGAUGAUGUGUUUUGGAAGUCUCCUAACUUGGCUUUAUGUAGAGGAGAGGAAAUGAAUGAAGAGAUUUAGACCGAUUUAUGAAGAAUUUUGUUAAAAUGUUAAUAGGUAUAAGUGAACAGACACAAUGAAUGAAAAGCUGCAAUAUUAAACCAAAAGCAAUGAAUCUAUUCACCAAGAGAUAUAAUUGUUCAAAAGAUACAACUGUUCAUCAAGAGUCAGAACUAUUGUUUAAUUUGAGCAUCAAUUUAUCAUUCUAUCACUCAACAAUUUUGAACACAUUAUAUAGAAUAUAAACCCAUAAUUUAUUAUUCAAACCUUCAAUUUUAUCAAUAAAAUAACAUACCUCAAAGUUCCAAAAUAUCAAUUAUUUUUAAUCAACACAAUCUUUAUCGUUUGGGUUUUUGUAAAUUAUACAUGAUUCAUCUUUUACUCUCUUAAAACUAUUUUCUUAUAGGAAAAUAAGAGAGCUAUCUUUUUAAUAAAUUUAUACUCCACCCUCUUAAAUUAAUAAUGGUGAUCACCUACAUGUUAUGAGCACACUGUUAGCCCAAAACAUUUCGAUGUUAGGGUAUCUAUUUAGUUAAUUUAGUUUAAUGAGCUUUCUAAUCGCUUUUGGGUUUUCGGUCUUUUGACUUUGGAAGAUUCAUGUUCAUGCAACUAAGGAAUUCCUCAAGUCUGUUGAGAAGAAUGUGACUUGUCACAGGCUUGCUUAGCAAGUUGACUCAUCCUAGGUUGAUGUAAAUCGUGAUUCUGUGGUAACUUUAUAGGAUCAUUCGAUCUUUCCCCGAUGGUAAACUGAACUUGCUGAUCUCAUGUUGUACUUAUCAUUGUGAAGGGAUGACUCUUAUAGAUCACUAAGGAAGCCAUGAUUAUGUAAUCCAAUUCAACUGAGCUUAAUUGAAUAGUUUUAUAGCUUCCUUCCAUCUUAUCAUUGUGAGAACAAAGUACUAAUAGAGGACUUUUACUAGAAUGCAGAUGAAGUAAGGAAGGGAUUAGGAAGUGGCUGUCAAUGUGUAAUCUGUUUGGAAAUUAGUAUAUCUUAUAUUACUUUGUGUAGGCUAGAAGUAGAUAAAGGACUAAGAAGUAGCUCUCAUUGAUUUAUUGGUGUGGGAACUUUUUUAUUAGAUACGUGGUACUAUUUCAAUGACAAAACCAUGAAAUUGAUAAAGCAUUUAUUAUGGAAAUAAAGUUAAGUAAAACGUGGAAAAAAGAUUAAAUUACAAGUUUUGAAAAGUUUAGGGAUUAAAAUGAAAAUAUGACCAAAAUGAAAAAAGUAAGUUAUUGGUGAUGAAUUGACAUAUAUAAGAAUAGGUGGGGAUAUGUAUUGGUAAGAUGAAUUUUUUUAAGACUAAAUUGAAAAGAUGGGAAGAUAUAAAGACUAAAUUAUAAAUUUCCAAUUUUAUUGAAAAAAAGGUGAAAUAUGUAAUUUUGUGUUGGUGUGUGUUUUGUAGGUGAUUGUGUUGUUGUUGUCUUUAGGAGGGAUGUUCAAAUGGUUAACCGAACCAAAUUAGUAUUAAUUUAAUUAACCAAUUUUUUUUUACCUUUAACUGUUAACUAAAUCAAAAAAUUUUCAAAAAAUAUUAACCGAACCGAAAUUUAUAUGUUUAUUUUUUUAUUAAAACAAGUAUAAAAAAUAUAAAAAAUAAAUAAAUUGUUAAUGUUCAUUGACCGAAUUAAAACUACAUAUAAUUUGUAUUAUUGAUUAUUAAUUAAGUUAAUUACCCAAUUUCAAACUGAUAACCGGACUUUCAAAAAAUUAUUAACCAACCUCGGACCGAAUUAAAUCAAUUAAUCAACUAAUUAAUUGAAUUAGAUCGAUUCGAUAAGUUAACUCAAUUUUAACUGAAAUUUGAAUACCCUAAUAUUUAGGCAUGAUGUAUUGCUUCUUCUUUUUUUUUUAAUCUCUAACUUGGUUUUUCAUCCUUUAUGAGAUUUCAUAAAAUCUAAUAUAUAUUAAUCUUUGUAAACUUCGUCCUCCCGAAGUAAUGAAAUGGCAUUUUAGUAAAAAGAAAUUCCAAGUAGUUAUUACUAUAUACAUUACUAUCAAACUUUUGCUACAUUGCCACUUUAAUUUGUUUUUGGAAGAGGUUUUUUUUUUUUUUUAAUCAUCAUUUAUUCAUUAUAAUGGGUAGAAGAACGCCAAGAGUACAAGAGUGAUAGUUCCAAACAGACCACAGACAUCAACACCAAACGAAAGGGAAAAAAGAACAAAUACAACACAUAUCUUAGACCAUUUAACACUGCUAAUUGAUUAUCGUAACUUGCCUAUCAGUAUGCUCGAAAAUUAGUCAAGCAGUACAACCACAUAUAUAUAGGUAGAGAAAUGUCCAUUAUAUGAACUUACAUAACGGGAUACGAAGCUUUCAUGGCGAUACCACAUAAGCCACCUGGUGUAUUCGCGUCCCUUUGAAUCCUAAUAUAUCCUUUUUCACCCCAAGUUUCUCCCCAUGAAUUCUUAACCAGCCAGUAGUUUAAACCUUCUUCACUUGUUCCGUAUCCGACAACGGUGACUGCAUGGGAGAGAGCAUUGCCACAAUCUCCGGUAAACACUCCCCCGCUGUAAAACCGAAAGUCUUGUCCAUGGCCUUCGAUUGCAACUGAGACAGGUUGACUUGCGACGACCUUAAGCAACGCUUCUUCGUCGUUUUCAGGCACCAUUUGAUAUUCAUUGAUGGUGGCAACUUUGUUUAUCUGUUUCUCAGUGUCGCAAGUUUCUUGUGUUUCUUGAUAUGGGUAGCUCUCUUCAGUAGUUAUUCCUUGGUUUCGGAUAACGUAUUCGAAAGCAUUUACCAUUCGUCCACCAUCGCAACCUCUGUUUCCUCCAUCUGUGCUGCAAUCCAACAAUUGUUGUUCAGAUAAUGAGAUUAAACUACCAGUUUUGAUUUGGACUAUCCCUUCAAUGGCUGCCACUGCUGAAAAUGCCCAACAACAUCCUGCAAAGUAAACCAACAAUAACCCUUUGUUAAGUAUAAAACAAUUGCUUCUUGGCUGAGCAAUAUUUAUAAAAUAUUUUAUAGGAGUUGGGUUAGCAUACUA
rnacentral:lncRNA from 1 species